rnacentral:lncRNA from 1 species
GACCACUGGACUGAGGGUGAUAGGGAGACGCAAUUCUAUGGUUGACAUCGUACUUAGCAAACGUUUUACGGAAAGCACCAUGAAUGAAGUGUGAACCACCGUUGGUCAUUAGAUAUCUAGGGACUCCAAAUCUAGGGAAGAUAACUUCUUUCAGCAUCUUGAUAGAGGUGUUAUGAUCAGCACUACUAGUGGGGAUAGCUUCUACCCACUUAGUGACGUAAUCAACAACAACUAGGAUAUGAGUAUACCCGUUGGAUUUUGGAAAAGGUCCCAUAUAAUCAAAGCCCCAUACAUCAAAUGGUUCAAUGACAAGUGAAUAGUUCAUAGGCAUUUCCUGACGUUUGCUAAUAUUACCUAUUCUUUGACAUUCAUCACAAGACAAGACAAACUUACAGGCAUCCUUGAAGAGAGUGGCCCAAUAGAAACCGGAUUGCAAUACCUUGUGUGCAGUUCUAUCUCCCGCAUGGUGUCCUCCGUAGGCCUCGGACUGACACUUCUGUAGGAUCUGUCCCUGUUCAUGUUCAGGUACACAACGUCUAAUAACACCAUCUACUCCUUCGUUAUAAAGGUGAGGAUCAUCCCAAAAGUAGUGUCUCAAGUCAAAGAAGAAUUUCUUCUUUUGCUGGUACGCGAAACUAGGUGGUAUGUAUUUGGCAACGAUAUAGUUUGCAUAAUCAGCAUACCAUGGUGCACUGCAUGAAGCAUUGAUGACAUUCAAUUGCUCACCGGGAAAGCUAUCAUCAAUAGGUUGUGGGUCAUCAAGAACGUUCUCCAACCUAGACAAGUUAUCCGCUACUGGGUAUCAGCACCCUUUCUUGUCAACAACAUGCAGAUCAAAUUCUUGUAGCAAGAGAACCCAUCUGAUAAGUCUAGGUUUAGCGUCCUUCUUCUCCAUGAGGUACUUAAUAGCAGCGUGAUCAGUGUGAAUAAUGACUUUGCAAUCAACAAUGUAAGACCUGAACUUUUCACAUGCAAACACGGCUGCUAAAAAUUCCUUCUCUGUAGUAGCAUAGUUUCUCUGGGCACUGUCUAGAGUUUUACUAGCGUAGUGAAUAACAUUCAACUUCUUAUCGACUCUUUGCCCUAAAACAGCACCAACAGCAUAAUCACUAGCGUCACACAUGAUCUCAAAAGGCAAGUUCCAAUCAGGUGGUUGAACAAUAGGUGCAGUUAUCAAAGCCCUCUUAAGUAUUUCAAAGGCUUCCUCACAAUCAUCGUCAAAAACAAAAGGAAUAUCCUUUUGCAAGAGAUUGGUAAGAGGCCUAGAAAUCUUAGAGAAGUCUUUAAUGAACCUUCUAUAGAAACCAUCAUGACCAAUGAAACUUCUUAUUCCUUUGAUAUCUGUGGGGUAUGGCAUUUUCACGAUUGCAUCAACCUUAGCCUUAUCGACUUCAAUACAUCUUUCGGAAAUUUUAUGUCCUAAGACGAUGCCUUCAUUAACCAUAAAGUGGCACUUCUCCCAAUUCAAGACAAGAUUGGUGUAUUUACAUCUCUACAAGACCCGAUCAAGGUUGCUGAGGCAAUCAUCAAAGGAAGACCCGUAAACGAAGAAGUCAUCCAUGAAAAUCUCAACAAUCUUUUCACAAAAGUCAGAGAAUAUAGCCAUCAUAUAUCUUUGAAAGAUGGCAGGUGCAUUACAUAAGCCAAAAGGCAUACGUCUAUAAGCUAAGGUACCGAAAGGGCAGGUGAAAGUGGUUUUCUCCUGAUCAGAUUGUGCAACUGGUAUUUGGGAGAAACCAGAAUAACCGUCUAGAAAGCAGAAGUGUGUGUGUUUGGAUAGUCCUUCUAGCAUUUCGUUGAUAAAAGGAAAAGGGUAAUGAUCUUUCCUAGUGGCCUUAUUCAACUUCCUAAAAUCAAUCACCAUCCUAUAGCCAGUAAUAAUCCUCUGUGAGAUCAACUCAUCCUUAUCAUUAGGGACAACGGUGAUGCCUCCCUUCUUAGGAACGCAAUGCACCGGACUCACCCAAUCGCUAUGAGAAACAAGAUAGAUAAUACCCGCUUCCAGGAGCUUUAGUAUUUCUUUUCUCACUACUUCUUUCAUCGUAGGAUUCAAUCUCCUUUGAUGAUCAGCAAUUGGUUUGAAUUUAGGAUCAGUUUUGAUCUUGUGCUGGCAUAGAGUGGGACUAAUGCCCUUAAGAUCAUCAAGAGUAUAUCCAAUAGCAGCAUGGUGCUUCCUCAGAGUUUUUAGUAACUUCUUCUCUUCAUGCUCUGAGAGGCUAGCACUAAUAAUAACAUGAUAUAUCUCCUUUUCAUCAAGGUAGGCAUACUUAAGAGUAUCAGGCAACUGUUUAAGCUCGAACACAGGAUCACCCUUUGGUGGAGGUGGAUCCCCAAGCAGUUCAACAGGCAGAUUAUUCUUAAGGAUAGGAUAUUGUUCUAAGACAACUCUAUCUAUUUCAUCCCUUUCAUCCAUAUGCAUAUCAUUUUCAUGCUCAAGCAAGUAUUGCUCUAAGGGAUCAGUAGGAGGCACGACAAUAGAGGCUAAGGCAAUAGUUUCAUCCCUACUAGGCAACUCCUUUUCAUGAGGUUGUCUACCAAACUUAGAUAAAUUGAACUCGUGUGACACACCUUCAAAGCCAACAGUGACAUUUUGCUUCUCACAAUCAAUAUGAGCAUUGACGGUAUUGAGAAAAGGUCUGCCAAAUAUGAUGGACAAAAGCUAUCUUGUGCGGUAGCAAGAACGAGGAAAUCAGCAGGAUACUUCGUUUUACCACACAAGACUUCAACAUCCCUAACAAUUCCCACAGGGCAGAUAGUAUCUCUAUUGGCAAGCUGAAUAGUGACAUCAAUGGGUUCUAUCUCAACAGGUGCAAUCUCAUCUUUGAUUUCAUCGUAUAAGGAUUGAGGUAUUGCACUAACACUAGCACCCACGUCACAAGCCAUGAUAACAAUGAUCUCCUAUCUUAACAGAAACUACAGGCAUGCCAACAAUAGGCCUAUGUUUGUCUCUAACGUGAGGUUUAGCAAUUCUAGCAGCAUCUUCACAGAAGUGAAUAUUAUGUCCCUCAACAUCUUCAGAUAGAAGAUCUUUGAUAAUAGCAAUGCUAGGUUCAACUCUAAUUUGCUCAGGGGGUGUAGGUGUUCUAAUAUAGCCUCUACGUAUCACAGUUGAAGCUUUAGAAUGAUCCUUUAUCCUAAUAGGGAAAGGUGGUUUCUCAAUGUAAGCACUGGGUACCACAGGAUCAUUAUAGGCAAUGACUUUCUCUUCAACUGGAGUGGGUUUAACUACAUUGACUUCUAAAGGAGGAUGAAAUUUAAACCACUUCUCUUUGGGGAGAUCAAUAUGAGCAGCAAAGGAUUCACACAAUGUAGCUACUAUCUCAGAGUCAAGUCCAUACUUAGCGCUAAAGUCACAAAAAGUAUUUGUCUCAACAAAGGAUUUAACACAAUCAAAAGUGAAAUUCAUACCUGACUCCUUACCUUCUUCAAGCUCCCAAUCUUCAGAGUUGCGUUUAAUUCUCUCCAAUAAAUUCCACUUGAAGUCAAUAUGUCUCUUCAUAAAAGAACCGGUACAAGAAGUGUCAAGCAUGGUGCGAUCAUCAUGAGAAAGCCGAGCAUAUAAGUUCUGAAUGAUAAUUUCUCUUGAGAGCUCAUGAUUAGGGCAUGAAUAUAGCAUUGAUUUAAGCCUCCCCCAAGCUUGAGCGAUGCUUUCUCUGUCACGAGGCCAAAAAUUGUAAAUAUAAUUUCGAUCACGAUGUACUAAAUGCAUAGGAUAAAACUUUUGAUGAAAUUCCAAUUUCAACCGAUUGUAGUCCCAUGAUCCAGUAUCAUCACAUAGCCUAUACCAUGUCAACGCCUUAUCCUUCAAAGAUAAAGGAAAUACCUUCUUCUUGACCUCAUCCUCGGGCACACCUGCAAGCUUAAAUAAACCACAAACCUCAUCUACAUAGAUCAGAUGCAAGUCUGGAUGUGAUGUUCCAUCUCCUGUAAGAGGAUUAGCCAGCAGUUUCUCAAGCAUACCCGAAGGAAAUUCAAAGCAAAUAUUUUCAGUAGGUGCAGCAACUUGAGGAGUAACUCUUUGUGCUUCCGUUCGGGGUGAAGAUACCCCAAACAAGCCCCUCAAAGGAUUACUAUCCAUAGUGACAAGUGACAGCAAAUUUCAGCACACUAUAUGAAUAUUUCCUUACCAAGUUCCACUUACCAAAGGCGCUUCACUCCCUGGCAACGGUGCCAGAAAAGAGUCUUGAUGACCCACAAGUAUAGGGGAUCAAUCGUAGUCCUUUCGAUAAGUAAGAGUGUCAAACCCAACGAGGAGCAGAAGGAUCUGACAAGUGGUUUUUAGCAAGGUAAAAUCUGCACGCACUGAAAUUGUCGGUAACAAGUGAUUGUGUGGUGAGAUGAUUCGUAGCAAGCAACAAGUAACAAAAGUAGCAACGGUGCAGCAAAGUGGCCCAAUCCCUUUUGUAUCAAGGGACAAACCUGGACAAAGUCUAGUAGGAGGAAAAACGCUCCCGAGGACACACGGGAAUUUCUGUCAUGCUAGUUUUCAUCACGUUCAUAUGAUUCGCGUUCGUUACUUUGAUAGUUUGAUAUGUGGGUGGACCGGCGCUUGGGUACUGCCCUUACUUGGACAAGCAUCCCACUUAUUAUUAACCCCUCUCGCAAGCAUCCGCAACUACGAAAGAAGAAUUAAGUCAAAGUCUAACCAUAGCAUUAAACUAGUGGAUCCAAAUCAGCCCCUUACGAAGUAACGCAUAAACUAGGGUUUAAGCUUCUGUCACUCUAGCAACCCAUCAUCUACUUACUACUUCCCAAUGCCUUCCUCUAGGCCCAAAUAAUGGUGAAGUGUUAUGUAGUCGAUGUUCACAUAACACCACUAGAGGAAAAAACAACAUACAACAUAUCAAAAUACCGAACGAAUACCAAAUUCACAUGACUAUUAUUAGCAUGACUUAUCCCAUGUCCUCAGGAACAAAAGUAACUACUCACAAAGCAUAAUCAUAAUCAUGAUAAAAGGUGUAAUGAGUAGCAUCAAGGAUCUGAACAUAAACUCUUCCACCAAGUAAUCCAACUAGCAUCAACUACGAAGAGUAAUCAACACUACUAGCAACCUUACAAGUACCAAUCGGAGUCGCGAGACGGAUAUUGGUUACAAGUGAUGAACUAGGGUUUGGAGAUGAGAUGGUGCUGAUGAAGAUGUUGAUGGUGACGAGUCCCCUCCGAUGAGAGGAGUGUUGGUGAUGACGAUGGCGACGAUUUCCCCCUCCGGGAGGGAAGUUUCCCCGGCAGGAUCGUCCUGCCGGAGCUCUAGAUUGGUUCUUCUCAAGUUGUGCCUCGUGGCGGCGGCGAAACCACGAAAAAGCUCCCUUCUGAUUUUUUCCUGGACGAAACCCUCCAUAUAGCAAAAGAGGGGGGCCAGUGGGUCAGUGGGCUGCCCACAAGCCCCCAUGGCGCGGCUUAGGGGGUGGCCGCGCCGCGCAGGCAUGUGGGCACCCCCUGGUGCCCCUCCGGUACUUCUUCGACCCAGUAUUUUUUAUAUAUUGGGAAAAAAUCCCCGUUGAUUUUCACGGCGUUUGGAGUUGCAUAGAAUAGGUAUCUCAACUUUGCUCCACUUUCAGGCCAGAAUUCCAGUUGCCGGUAUUCUCCCUCUUCAUGUAAACCUUGCAAAAUAAGAGAGAAAAAGCAUAAGAAUAGUACCGUGAAGUGAAAUAACAACCAAAGAAGCGAUAAAUAUCAACGUGAAAACAUGAUGCAAAAUGGACGUAUCAUGCAUCCCCCUGACUACCUCUCAAUCACAGAAUUUUCAAACAUUUCAGAAAAAAUCAUACUUGAUUUUCAGGGCAUUUGAAGAACUUUUAUUUUCGAGACACUUUCUAAGGGUCGCAAAAAGCAGAAAACAGGAAAAACUAAAGCUAAAUUUAUCAUUUGUCUUCUAAACAACAAAAAAUAAAAGUUCGGAACAGAAGGUUGUGACUCUUAGAUUCAUCCAUCUCAUGGUCAUCAAAAGAAAUCCGUCAAUGAGGUUGAUCAAGUCUCCUUGACAAACUUUUUCCGAAUCACAUGAAAUCGGAGAAUUUUCGAAUAGUCACUAAGUUACCUCAAUGGGGAUGUGCAUAUCCCCAACAAGCAAAUCAUACCUCAUCUUGACAGUAGGUCUAGGGCAUUCAAAGCUCCCAAUAAGGAUUGAUGAAGUUUUUUCAAUAGCAUUGAUGCAAUGUACCCGAUAUUGUUUCUUCGGAAAGUGCACCGUAUGCUCAUUACCAUUGACAUGGAAAGUGACAUUGCCUUUGUUGCAAUCAAUAACAGCCCCUGUAGUGUUUAAAAAGGGUCUUCCAAGGAUGACCGCCAUGGCAUCAUCCUCGGGAAUAUCCAGAAUAAAAAAGUCCGUUAAGAUAGUAACGUUAGCAACUACAACAUGCACAUCCUCGCAAAUGCCGAUAGGGAAAGUAGUUGAUUUGUCGGCCAUUUGCAAAGACAUUUCAGUGGGUGUCAACUUAUCCAAUUCAAGUCUACGGUAUAAAGAGAGAGGCAUAACACUAACACCGGCUCCAAGAUCGCAUAAAGCAGUUCUAACGUAGUUUCCUUUAAUGGAGCAAGGUAUAGUGGGCACUCCGGGAUCACCUAGUUUCUUAGGAGUUCCACCCUUGAAGGUGUAAUUAGCAAGCAUGGUGGAAAUCUCAACCUCAGGUAUCCUCCUUUUAUUAGUCACAAUAUCUUUCAUGUACUUAGCAUAAGGAGACAUUUUGAGCAUAUCUGUCAAACGCAUUUGCAGAAAGACAGGUCUAAUCAUUUCAACAAAUCGCCCAAAAUCCUCAUCAUCCUUUUUCUUGGAUGGUUUGGGAGGAAAGGGCAUGGGUUUCUGAACUCAUGGUUCUCUUUCUUUACCAUGCUUCCUAGCAAUGAAUUCAUUCUUAUCAUAUCUCCUAUUCUUAGGUUUUGGGUUAUCAAGAUCAACAUGUUCAAUCUCCACAUCCUUAUCAUUACUAGGUUGAUCAUCAUGAACACCACUAUCGAUAUUAUCACUAGGCUCAUGUUCAUCAGCAGAUUGUGUUUCGGCAUCAGAAACAGAGAUAUCAUUUGGAUUCUCAGGUGUAACGACAACAGGUUUGCUAGCAUGCAAGUUCCUAUCAUCUUUCUUUUUCUUCCUAAUACCAGGAUGACUAGGUGCAUUAGUGCUAACUCCUUGAGAAUCUUGUUCAAUUCUCUUAGGAUGACCCUCAGGAUACAAAGUUUCCUGGGUCAUUGAUACGUCUCCAACGUAUCUAUAAUUUUUUAUGGUUCCAUGCUAUUAUCUUGUCAAACUUUGGAUGUUUUGUAUGCCUUUUAUAUCUUUUUUGGGACUAACUUAUUAACUUAGUGCCAAGUGCCAGUUCCUGUUUUUUCCAUGUUUUUGACCCUUUUCAGAGGAGAAUAUUAAAGGAGUCCAAAUGGAAUAAAACUUCCGAAAAGAUAUUUUUUGGAACAGAAGAUACGCAGGGGGCGUGAGAACCAAGGCAGAGGCCACCAGGGGAGGCCACAAGCCCCCUAGGCGCGGCCAGGGGGACCGUGCCUAGCAGGCUUGUGGGCCCCCUAUGGCUCGUCUGCCCUACCUCUUCCGUCUAUAAAUUCCCGAAAAAUCCAAAACUAUGCGAGAGAUCCACGAAAAUACUUUUCCGCCACCGCAAGCUUCUGUCUCCGCAAGAUCCCAUCUGGGGCACGUUCUAGUGCCCUGCCGAAGGGGGGAUUCGGAUACAGAGGGAUUCUUCAUCAACACCAUUGCCUCUCCGAUGAUGCGUGAGUAGUUCACCAUAGACCUUCGUGUCCAUAGCUAGUAGCUAGAUGGCUUCUUCUCUCUCUUGGAUCUUCAAUACAAAGUCCUCCAUGAUCUUCAUGGAGAUCUAUCCGAUGUAAUCUUCUUUUGCGGUGUGUUUGUCGAGAUCCGAUGAAUUGUGGAUUUAUGAUCAGAUUAUCUAUGAAUCUUAUUUAAGUUUCUUCUCAUCUCUUAUAUGCAUGAUUUCAUAUCCUUGUAAUUCUCUUCGAGUUGUGGGUUUUGUUUGGCCAACUUGAUCUAUGACUCUUGCAAUGGGAGAAGUGCUUGGUUUUGGGUUCAUACCGUGCGGUGACCUCAUCCAGUGACAGAAGGGGUAGCGAGGCACACAUCGUGUUGUUGCCAUCAAGGGUAAAAAGAUGGGGUUUAUAUCUAUUGCAUUAAUUUAUCCCUCUACAUCAUGUCAUCUUGCUUAAGGCGUUACUCUGUUCGUCAUGAACUCAAUACACUAGAUGCAUGCUGGAUAGCGGUCGAUGUGUGGAGUAAUAGUAGUAGAUGCAGAAAGUAUCGGUCUACUUGUCUCGGACGUGAUGCCUAUAUGUAUGAUCAUUUCCUUAGAUAUCGUCAUGACUUUGCGCGGUUCUAUCAAUUGCUCGACAGUAAUUUGUUCACCCACCGUAAUAUUUGCUAUUUUGAGAGAAGCCUCUAGUGAACACUAUGGCCCCCGGGUCUACUUCACAUCAAAUUUUCAGCCUUACACUUUUACUUCGUUGCAGAUCUCACUUUGCAAUCAAUCAUGAAGGGAUUGACAACCCCUUUAUAGCGUUGGGUGCAAGCUCGUUUGUGUUUGCGCACGUACUCUGGACACUUGGCUUGAUUCUCCUACUGGAUUGAUACCUUGGUUCUCAAACUGAGGGAAAUACUUACUCCUACUGUGCCGCAUCACCCUUUCCUUUUCAAGGGAAAAACCAACGCAAGCUCAAGAGGUAGCAAGAAGAAUUUCUGGCGCCGUUGCCGGGGAAGAUCAAGUCAAGAAUAGUCUCCCGUCAACGUGCCAACUUCUGGCGCCGUUGCCGGGGAGGAUCAAGUCAAGAAUAGUCUCCCGUCAACGUGCCAAUUUCUGGCGCCGUUGCCGGGGAGUAUCAAGUCAAGAAUAGUCUCCCGUCAACGUGUCAAUUUCUGGCACCGGGGAUUAUUCUAAGUGAAGCUUAUCCAAGUAAGUGUCGCAAACUCAUCUCUUGCAUUUACUUUUUUGCCUCUCGUUUUCCUCUCCCCAACUUCUGAAAAACAGAAAUUUACAAAAAUAUUUGCCUUUUUCGUUUGCCUUUCCUUUGCUUGUGUGCUAUGUGCCUUCAAUAUGCUUGCAUCUUCGCUUGCUAAAAAUCUAGUGAUAUGGAUCCUCACCCACUUGCUAAUCUCUUUAAGAGAUCCAAUUAUGUUGAUCCAAUUGCUAGUGCGUUGAGUGGACUUGACUAUCUUUAUGGAGUUUUGCUUGAGAUGCGUGAAUCUGAAAAUCGUGAUGAAGAAAUUUAUGAAGAUAUUCACGAGGGCUCCUUGAAUGAAAAGCAUGAUUGCAAUGGUUUCAUUAUGAAUUCUAUUAAUGGCAAUCAUGCUAAAAAUAUGCAAAACCCUAAGCUUGGGGAUGCUAGUUUUGGUAUGUCCACUACUUGUUGCAAUGAUCAUGAUUGGGGUAAUGAUUUUUCUUAUGAUCUUGAAAAUGUGUUUAAGCCUCAUGAUGAUUAUGAUAUUUGCGAUAAUAUUGAAAGUGGGUUUGGAGAAGUCGUGACUUUAGUUGAUGAUAAUCCCACUAUUUUUUAAGAGCGUCAACUUUGCAUGCAUGUGGAUCAUGAAAAGAAUAUCCUAUGUGAUAGCUUUAUUGUUGAAUUUGAAUAUGAUCCCACAUGUAAUUAUUAUGAGAGAGGAAAUUAUUGUGGUAGGAACUUUCAUAUCACUAAAUCACCUCUCGUUAUGUUGAGAUUGCUAUUGUCUCCUUCUUCUGCCUUGCAUAUGGUAACUAUUGGUUGUCUUGACAAUCUGUUUUCCUAUAAAAUGCCUAUGCAUAGGAAGUACGUUAGACUUAGAUGUGAUUUUCACAUGCUUUAUGAUGCCCUCUUCGUGUCCGAUUGCUAUCCUUUUUGUGAGCAUCAUUGAAUUAUCAAUGUCUAGCUAAAAGGCGUUAAACAAUAGCGCUUCUGGGAGGCAACCCAAUGAAUUUAUCUUUUCUUUUUUGCUUUCUGGUUUGUUGCGUCCACACCAUCAUAAUUAUGUUAUGAUUGUGUAUUUUGUGUUUCUUUUUGUGUUUGAGCCAAGUAAAACCUUUAUGACUAGUUUGGUGAUGGUUGUUUGAUCCUGCUGGAAAAAGACAGAAACUUUUCGCUCACGAAAUUAUUUUUCAUUUUUAUCCAGAAAUAGUUUUUGAGUUGAUCUUUUUGCUGCUGGUUUAUAUGCCUUUUUCCCAAACUGUCGUAAUUGUUCAGAAUUUUUGAGAUACCAGAAGUAUACGAAGUAUACAGUUUGCUACAAACUGGCCUGUUUUUGACAGAUUCUGUUUUUGUUGUGUUGGUUGCUUGUUUUGAUGAAACUAUGGAUAGUAUCGGGGGGGGGGGGACUAGUCAUGGAAAAGUGNNNNNNNNNNNNNNNNNNNNNNNNNNNNNNNNNNNNNNNNNNNNNNNNNNNNNNNNNNNNNNNNNNNNNNNNNNNNNNNNNNNNNNNNNNNNNNNNNNNNNNNNNNNNNNNNNNNNNNNNNNNNNNNNNNNNNNNNNNNNNNNNNNNNNNNNNNNNNNNNNNNNNNNNNNNNNNNNNNNNNNNNNNNNNNNNNNNNNNNNNNNNNNNNNNNNNNNNNNNNNNNNNNNNNNNNNNNNNNNNNNNNNNNNNNNNNNNNNNNNNNNNNNNNNNNNNNNNNAUAGUAUCGGGGGGGGGGUACUAGUCAUGGAAAAGUGAUAAUAUAAAUAGACAUCAAGAUUGCUAAAGUACCUAAAGAGGUGGUAGUUUGUUUUCUUGUGCUAAUGAUAUCACGAGCUUCUAUUUAAGUUUUGUGUUGUGAAGUUUUCAAGUUUUGGGUGAUGUUCUCAUGGACGAUGAGAUAAAGAGUGGAAAGAGAUCAAGCUUGGGGAUGCCCAAGGCAUACCAAGCCAAAUUCAAGGACACCAAAAAGCCUAAGCUUGGGGAUGCCCCAGGAAGGCAUCCCCUCUUUCGUCUUCAAUCCAUCGGUAACAUUACUUGGAGCUAUAUUUUUAUUCACCACAUGAUAUGUGUUUUGCUUGGAGUGUCUUGUAUCGUAGGAGUCUUUUCUUUUUGUUGUGUCACAAUCAUCCUUGCUGCACACCUUUUGAGAGAGACAUGCACUCAUAGUGAUUUUUGCUAGAAUACUCAUUGAGCUUCGCUUAUAUCUUUUGAGUUAGGCAAUUUAGCUCACAUGUGCUUCACUUAGAUCUUUUAGAGCACGGCGGUGUCAUAUUUUGGAGAAAUAAGAAAUCUCGAUCUUCACUUAUAUCUUUUUUAGAGUGAUCUCUCUGAGAAACUUGGUAGUUGGCUUGUGCUAUGAAAGUAGUCCCAAAGGUGAUAGGAAUCCAAAGAGGAUACAAUAAAACUUCCAUCUUCUUGUGCAUUGAUUAGAAAGAGAAGUUUCAUUCCUCUCAAAUAGUUUUGAGACAUGGAUUUGGUAAUAUUAAGAGUUAUGUUAGUAGGGUGUUGUGAAUCUAGAAAUACUUGUGUUGAAGUUAGUGAUUCCCGUAACAUGCACGUAUGGUGAACCGCUAUGUUAGGAAGUCGGAGCAUAAUUGAUCUAUUGAUUGUCAUCCUUUGUGUUGCGGUCGGGAUCGCGCGAUGGUUAACACCUACCAACCCUUCCCCUAGGAGUAUGCGUUUAGCACUUUGUUUCGAUUACUAAUAAAAACUUUCGCAAUAAGUAUGUGAGUUCUUCAUGACUAAUGUGAGUCCAUGGUAUAGAUGCACUUUCACCUUCCACCAUUGCUAGCCUCUAGUGCCGCGCAACUUUCGCCGGUGCACAAACCCACCAUAUGCCUACCUCAAAACAGCCACCAUACCUACCUACUAUGGCAUCUUCAUAGCCAUUCCGAGAUAUAUUGACAUGCAACUCCCACCGUUCCGUCUCAUGACUUGUGCCGUCACUUUCAUAUUGCCAUUGCAUGAUCGUAAGAUAGCUAGCAAGUCAUACGCCAAGCUAGAUCGUUGCACAUUCUGGUACAUUGCCGGAGGCAUUUCCUAUAAGAGUCAUCAUUGUUCUAAGCAUUGAGCUUUGAGUAAAUUAAAGUGUGAUGAUCAUCAUUAUUAGAGCAUUGUCGCAUGUGAGGAAAAAAAAGGGAGGCCAAAGUUGCCCACACAAAAAAAGAAGAAGAGAGAUUUGGAAAGAGGCCAAAGAGCCCAGAAAAAAAAAAGAAACAGAAAAAAAAGAAGAGAGAAAAAGAGAGAAGGGACAAUGCUACUAUCUUUUUCCACACUUGUGCUUCGUAAUAGCACCAUGUUCUUCAUGAUUGAGAGUCUAUCGUUUUGUCACCACCAUAUGCUAGUGGGAAUCUUCAUUAUAUAACUUGGCUUGUAUAUUCCAAUGAUGGGCUUUCUCAAAAUUGCCAUUGGUCUUCGUGAGCAAGCAAGUUGGAUGCACACCCACUAGUUCUCCUUUUGAGCUUUCACAUACUUAUAGCUCUAAGUGCAUCCAUUGCAUGGUAAUCCCUACUCUUUCACAUUGAUAUCUAUUAAUGGGCAUCUCCAUAGCCCUUUGAUACGCCGAGUUGAUGUGACCAUCUCCUCUUUUUUUGUCUCACAACCUCCACCACACUCUAUUCCACCUAUAGUGCUAUAUCCAUGGCUCACGCUCAUGUAUUGCAUGAGAGUUGAAAAAGGUUUGAGAAAGUAAGAGCGCAAAAACAAUUACUUGGCCAAUACCGGGGUUGUGCAUGAUUUAAAUUAGUUGUGUGGGGAUGACGGAGCAUAGUCAGACUAUAUGAUUUUGUAGGGAUAACUUUCUUUUGGCCUUGUUAUUUCGAAAGUUCAUGAUUACCUUGCUAGUUUGCUUUAAGUAUUAUUGUUUAUAUGUCAAUAACAAGAUAUUGUUUUGAAUCUUACGGAUCUGAACAUUCAUGUCACAUGAAAGAAGUUACAAAGGACAAAUAUGCUAGGUAACAUUCCACAUCAAAAAUUCAGUCUUUAUCACUUCCCUACUCGAGGACGAGCAGGACUUAAGGUUGGGGAUGCUUGAUACGUCUCCAACGUAUCUAUAAUUUUUUAUGGUUCCAUGCUAUUAUCUUGUCAAACUUUGGAUGUUUUGUAUGCCUUUUAUAUCUUUUUUUGGGACUAACUUAUUAACUCAGUGCCAAAGUACCAUCAAAUUCGCACAUCAAGCCGUCUCGGCGACUCAAGGGUAGGAUGCGCCAUUCCACCCAGCAGCGGAUCAGAUCAACUCCAGUAAGACCAUUGUUUGUUAAAGAUCGUAACUCGGAUAGCACUGGAAUGAAAUCCGAUUCUUCUUCUUCGGUGAGCUUGUCAGGAAGUUUGAAAUUUGUGGGCAGACGCUCCUUCCUAUAGCCUAGGAGUUUGUUCUCACCCGGAGGAGAAGUGUCCCGGCAGUAAAACCAAGACCCGCCCCAGCCUUUGGGGUGGCUGGGCAUGGCGAGUGAUGAGAAUGGGUUGUCUCUGCGUCGUUGAACAUUAACCCCUCCAAGUUCUAAGCUAGGGCCAUUGGAGAAAUCGGUCUGGCGAUUCAGGUGCAAGAAGUACCAAAACAAAUUGACCGACGGUUCCAUUCGUAGGUAAGCUUCACAGAAUACCUGGAAUUGGCACAUGUUGCUGCUCGAGUUGGGGCCCAGGUCUUGGAGGCGGACGUUCAUGAAGGCCAUAGCAUCUUUGAGGAACUUUGAUCCUGGCGGCUUAAACCCUCGUUCGAGGUGUUCAGCAAAAACAACUAUUUCUCCUUCAGCCGGGUUGGGAAUUUCGUCGCCUAGUCCAGAUCGUCAUCCGAUGACUUCCUUCGGAUCAAGGUUCCCUGUCUUUACGCAAUCCUCGAGGAAGGCAUCGUCAACUUUGGCCGGGAGCCAGUUGGCCUUGAAAACGGUACCCAUAGCUACAGAGAAAAAGGUCAUGGGUAAGUCAACCCGUCAAACACUUGUUGAGUGGCUAAGAGAAUCCAUUAACCCACCAGACACUUGUCGAGUGGCUAAGAGAAUCUAUUAACUGGCCAAUAAGGGACCAGGUUUGGGCACAAGGGCGACUUAAGAAUUUCCUAUUACUCAGAGAAGGUAUCCCACGGCAUCCAAGACGUGCGGUAAAAUGAUGAAGUCUGAAUCUACAAACAGUUUUCCACACAGUAAGCAGUGCAAUGCGGAUCUACGAGCAAGGUAAAAUAACAGAAAAAGGCUUGGAUGAAGCAAAACGGGCUGUGCCUAAAAAUGAAUAUGGCGGAGAUGAUUUGGCCGAAGCUUUUUUGGUUUUUGAAUAGGAAACUAUUUAAUCAAGGAUGCGGUUAACGCUAUUACAUCAGCUAUUACCAUUGACCAAUCAACAUGCAAAGGGAAGCUCGAAGUGUUCUAAGAACAUGGCAUGUGGCGGAUGCCGAAGGAUCAGGAUCUGAUUGCAACUGAUGAAGAUCUGACCUGCUAAUGGCGUCCGGAAGCGACUGUGCGGGUCCGCGGCGAGGACAACGUUCUCGCUAGGUUGAAGAUAUGUCAGACGCAGUGGGCGGCGAUGGAGUCCAUCGAGCGGCGACAGAACUUCAUAGGCGGUGGCGGAGUCCCUCGGGCGGCGGCGGAGUCCCCCGAGCGGCAACAGAUCUCCGCACGCGGCGGCGGAGUCCCUUGGGCGGCGACGGAAUCCUUCGGGCGGUGCAGAAAUCCUUUGGGCAGCGACGGAGUUCUUCGGGUGGUGUCAGAUUUCUUUGUGUGGUCACGAGGAAGAAGAAGUCGAUGGGACGAGUAGGUGAAGAUUCCCUCCGCUCCUGUUCCCGAGCCUAUUUAAUAGGUCGGGUGCAUGGAUCGAGGCGCCUCGCGCGGGAACCAAAAGGGCAAACUAAAGAUUCACACUUAUGGCGCCAAGAUUUUCGGGAUAUUUGCGCCACGAGAUCCGCUGGAGAUUGCGUCAUCAUUUUCCGAGGUUAAAGGGAUAAGGUGAUGUCAUCAAGAAACGGUUCGGCGACUUGGAUAUUUCCAUGGAGGAUGGCGGCUUAAGCAUAUGAUGCAUGAAAGGAGUGGAAUGAGUCGCUCCUAAACUAGGUAAGAGUUUAUUGGCGAGAACAGGUUCAAGUCAAUCUGGGGCCUAAUGUUGGGGAUAUUAUCUGCGGCGUGACCCGCCCUAGUUGGGCCGGGUCACCAAGUGGGUGACUCAUCCUUUGGUGGUUCAAGCUUUGGCCCAGAAGGCCCAGGAGCUGGAUGGCGGUUCAAGAUCCACAUGGAGGAUAAAUUAUCGGGGAGUUCUCCAGUCUUUGAAAGCACGGCGAUUUAGAGAUAGAAAGAAUCACGACUUGUGUUAUGGCAAGGACUCUUGUAAACCCUAAGGCCUCGACCUGUAUAUAAAGGUGAGUUCCUGGAGAGGAGAGGGCAGGUUAGAAAUCAUCGAGAACUAGGUCAGGCGAGUUACUCCCUCCUUGUAAUCGAAACAUCAUCAAUACAAAACAAAGCAGGACGUAGGCUUUUACCUCCUCACGAGGGGCCGAACCUGGGUAAAUCUGAGUCCCGCUCCCGUUCAACCCCUUUGAGUCGCCACCAAGGUGCGAUGGCUCCAUCAUUAAGUCCUUUCACUAGGACAUCUGCCGUGACAAAACCACGACAAUCGUCAAGCGUUUUCUCACAGAAAUUGAGAAGUGGGACGUCGCCACAGGCAGCAUGUUCGACAUCGAACUGCUCAAACUCUGGGUAACCUUGUCUACAGCGAGCCCAAGGCGCUGCUCCUCACGUGAAAAGAAUCCGCCACCAAGAAUGAGGCUACCGGGGGCUCCGGUGACCAGCCGAAAGCGCCACCGUUAGUCCAAGAAGUCGUGCGCCGUGUGCUCGGCGGAAGCGGAAACUCGCGACGAGGCGACCGUACGAGCCGCCCAACAGACGGAUGCAAAACGCCGCCCUCACGGUCCGGACGACAUCAACAUAUCGGUGUAGUGCUUGCCUAUACGAGCCACCCAACAGACGCGCGCAAGACGCCGCUCCCGCAGUCCGUUCUCCAUGAACAUAUCAGUGCAGUGCUUGCCUACAUGAGCCGCUCAAGAGACACGCGCAAGCCGUCGUACCCAUGGUCCAUUAUCCAUUAACAUAUUGGUGCGGUGCUCUCUUAUAUGAGCCGCCCAACAGACGCAUGCAAGCCGCCUGUGCGGCCCGUUUCCCCAACAACAUUGGAGCAAAGGAAAAAAUAACAUUCAUGUCUUACUCAAUGUCAUCAAAACAUGGAGAGCUUGUCAUGAAGGAAACAUCUCUGGUGAAGGCUACAAAUUGAGUCGGCCAUCAUUAAGUCGGCAAAUUCAAAGUAAACAGCAAAGGAAAAACAAAGUGGCCCUCGAGGAACCAUGAGAGUCGGACUACCUGAGAAUCAAGCACGGGUCAAAAAUCCAUCAUCAACUGUCAAAUCUUAUGCCGGUUUAUGCCACAAUCAAGUAUGAAGAAUCUCAAGCCGCCUCCUUGAGUCGACUUAAGACUCGGGGGCUACAUGGACAUGGCUCGGCAGACUCAACUGGGAUGAAUAAUUCAAGAACCCCGGGUCGUUACAGAAAAAUCAAGCCGGUCUCGGGGGCUGAUGCCUCAUUGACAAGAUGAUUUAAAGAUCGCCUAAGAAGACAAGUCGCCAUGAUGCGACCGCCCAAACAUGGGUGCCCGACCUAGCCGUCCAAGCAUGGACGCUAUCAGUAUCAAAGAGCAUAAGUCGUCAUGAUGCACUUAUUUCAAAACUGGAUACUGGUAAGCCAAAGAGGACCAAAGUUGCCACAUUGCACGGUUCAAACAUGGGCGCCUUAUAUGGUUUUGAGGAUUAAGCCGACUUACUUGGGGCUUACUAGCUCCCAAGUCGUUUUGCAGUAAGAGCGUACGCUUCUGCAAUCCUAUGUCUAGCUUUUCCCUAAUCAUAGGUCACUUGGGGGCUUCCACUCACUGAGUUCAGCCUAAAUACCCUCUUGGCUAGCGAAAAAUUAACGCAUUACAAAUGGUUAUACUGGACUGUGUGUUGGGAAAUCGCCCUAUGAUCCCAUGUACUCUUGGCGAGUCAAUCCGCUUUUGGACCCUGAACUUGCCUUGGUUAAAACAUGAAAGGUACUGGCAAGAGCCAACGCAUGGAAAAUAGACAAACCAUUGGUUCACUGAACCUGCUUCACUGAAGCCUGACUCACGCGUGAUCAGCCGGUCUAAAUAAUUCAGGCUAUUGCAAAAGCCUUCUUGGGGUAACACUAGAGUUUUGCAAACUCGUCUUGUCGUGUCGUGACUCAUCGAGCCGACAAAUUUUAUGAUUAUCUUUGUGGCACUGCCAUAAAGUUUUUAUAAAAAGUUUUAUAACUCGCCGAGACUCACUGAGUCGGCCGCCGUGACUCACUGAGCCGGCUUAACCUCUUUUGGGUACCACUAGAGCCUUGAGAGCUCGUCUUACCCGCCGAGACUUACUAAGCGGGCUAUGGUGUAACCAACACUAUUCUGUCAUAUGCAUGCAUCAUAUUGCAUUGCAUCAUGCAUCAUACAUACAUAUCAUGCCGGUCUUCAAACCGGGUCAAAGCAUAAUUUUUUGCAGGAGCAAAUAUAUCUUUGAAUAGCCAAUUGGCUGGAUUUUCAUCAUGGUUUAUCAUAACCAGUGUUAAAUGAUUGAGGUUUUUAAGGCCAUCUCGGAAGAAUUGACUAUUGUCAAAGAGCCGCCCUAUCACAUAUAAUGCCGAGUCAUCUAAUUGACUGACCCUUGGAUUUCUUCAACUCGUGCUCUGUAGUAAACUGCAACACUUAUGGAUUUCUCCGACAUAUGGAUUUCUCAAGGAUAUAUUUGCCGGGUUACAUUGCAACCAUGGUCAAGGAUUUCUUUUAUCACAAAGGCAUCAUCAGCUCACAGAGUGGAUAUGAUUUUAUUCUACAAUGGAAGGAAUAGUCCCAAGUUGUUGCAGGCACACAACCCGGCACUUGAGGGCUACAUUAUUCAGAUCAAGAUUACAUCAAAAUAUGAAAGUCCCAUGUCGCUGCAAGCAUGCGCCAUGACACUUGGGGGCUAAUGCAAUCCGCUUUUCAAAUCAUCACAUCAUCAACAGACCCGGCUACAGGUCGCUUUUUAUUCAAGUAUGGAUUCAAGGAAGAACCGGCUCAUCAUUUUUAUAAUGACCCGGUCCUUGGGAGCUACACAUUGCUGCUCAAGGUUCCAUCAUCAGAUUUACAAAGUCAUUGCUCAUUAUUUCAUAAUGACCCGACCCUUGGGGGCUACACCAUAUGAUGUUUAAUUUUCAAAGGAGAAGCACGUGGAAGUCCCGAGUCACCACAAACAAUCGACCCGUCACUUGGGGGCUACACUAUUCAGAUCAUAAUUUCUAAAGUCCCAGGUUGCCGCAGGCAAGACAACCCGACACUUGGGGGCUACAUCACUAAGUUGUUUCACAGAUCAUGAGGUUCAAAUUGAAGACCCGGCCCAUCACACACUCAUGACCUGGCUGUUGGGGGCUACAUGUAAUAUGGAUAUAUCAAAAAAUUGAAGAGCACAUUUUAUUUCGUCAUGGAGGUGAAGUAUUGGGAGACCGGUUCAACAUCACAUGGAUUUCUUUAUCCCCAAUAAUUCGAUAUAGUCUUGAGUUCAGUUGUUUGACGAGGCAUUACAAAUAAUAAUGACCCGCCAUUAGCAAUCAUGACCCGCCAUUGUCAAACAUAACCCGCCGAAGCAAGAGAAGCUGGUUCAACAUUGUGUAGAUUUCUUAUUCCCCAAAUUUUCAUCAAGCCAAAGCAUUGGAGGCCGACUCAAUUGCAUUUGUAUUUAUUUUGCAAAGGACAUGGACCUGCAAGAUGAUUGUAAAAAUGACUCAUUCAUAUGGAGAAGAGACCGGAUUUCUGAGGAGCCACUUCAUAAACCAGCCAAGGGAGCGAGCCUGUCACUUAGCAUAUUUGCUAUUCUUAUUUCAGGAGCUUACCAUGAAUAAAUUCAAGCUAACCUGGGGGCUAAUGUCGGGGAUAUACCCCGCGGUAUGACCCGGCACACGGUUAUGACUGGGCAGACAGUUAUGACCGGCAGACAAUUAUAACCCGCCAGACAGUCAAGUUCCGGAGAUGAUUCCCUGAAGAUGAAUCUUAAAGAGCAGCCCGGUUGUAAGCUGCCCGGUCAUAAGUCGCCCGGGACUCAGCAUUCCGUUUGUAAGGAGCCCGGUUGUAAGGAGCCCGGUAGUAAGCAGCCCGGUCGUAAGCCUCCUGGGACUCAGCAAUCUGUUUGUAAGCAACCCGGUCGUAAGCAGCCUGGUUGUAAGUCGCUCGGGACUCAGCAAUCCGUUCGUAAGUCGCCCGGACUCAGAAGCCCACGAAGAGAAGCUCGUAAUGGAGAGUCAUAAUAUGCUAAGCCUAAAUCCGGCUUGGACUCUAUAUGUAACUCGCCCCUUCAGCUUAUAUAAGGAGGGGCGAGACACCCCAAGAGGGUUAGGGUUUUUUAGAGGUCUCAAGAGACAGAUUCACAACUUAGGUGUAGACAAGACAGAUCAUGAGAUAGACAGAUUAGACACCCACGAGAUUAGAGGUGCAGAGUCUGCACCCUUGUAAUCGAGAUCAUCAUCUUCAUCAAUGAAACACAAGCAGGACGUAGGCUUUUUCCUCCAUCGAAGGGGCCAAACCUGGGUAAACUCGCGUCUCUCGAUUCCGACCAACCCCUUCAAGCCGCCACAUGGUUGCGAUGGCCUCACACCUAAGUCCUUGUACGAGGAGAUCUGCCGUGACAAAACCACGACACCGUGCUAGGCCAGAAGGAAGCAUCUCCAAGGGCCAUGAAAGAGAGGAGGCCAUUGAGUUUUCUGUUGACUUUAUUCCUGAUAUUAAGACGAUUGUUGUUCCUCAGUCGCGGCAUGAGGGGAGACUGAGUGGAAAAGGCAUGCUAGGACCAAAAUCAAUAAUAUGUAGGUAUGGGCAUUCUUGGAUGCAAACACACUACAUAAUUUUACAAAAUUCUACCUUGGUGGCCCCGUAUAUCAAUGAACACAAGAAUAUUCUAUGCUCCAAAUACCAGGAGCAGUCUGGUGACUCGAUUACACAUGAACAAAUGGGGACUUUCGACGGUUGGCUGCAAACACGUCUCAGGAGUAACAAAUUGUUGGAGAUGACUUGUAGUUGUUGUCCAGGACACCAUCUUCGGCCGUAUUGACUUUCCAAGGGUACGAGAUAAAUGGGAAUACAUUUUACAAAAUCGCCCAAGAUAAAAAGAGAACCAACCAAAACAGUGGUUUCCGCUUUGAUGCAGGAAACACCAAUAGGGCAAAGGACAAAUAUUAUGGUUACAUAGAGGAGAUAUGGGAACUUGACUAUGGGCGUGAUGAUUUUAAGGUCCCUUUAUUUCGGUGCAAAUGGGUAAAUCUGAUAGGAUGCGGGGUACAGGUAGACCCGCAGUAUGAAAUGACAACAGUGGAUCUCAACAAUCUUGGGUACACAGAUUAACCAUUCAUCAUAGCCAAUGAUGUGGCGCGGGUUUUCUAUGUGAAGGUCAUGUCUACCAAACCAAGAAAAAGGAAAAAAUAAGGAAGUGAAUACAUCAUACGAUGAGACAAAGAGCCACAUAGUUCUUUCAGGGAAAAGAAAGAUCCUGGGAGUGGAGGACAAGGCAGACAUGUCAGUAGAUUAUGAAAAGUUUCAUGAAAUUACUCCCUUCAUAGUGAAGAUUUACCUAAGCAUCCUCUUAAAUGAUGAAGAUUAUUCAUGGUUACGACGCAAUAAGAAAAGGGACAAACUGGAGAGAAUCUUAGCUAGUGCAUUUUGGCAUUUGAAACAUGAUUUUAGAAUAAUUAUUUAUUAAAUUAUGAAUUUUCAAUUAUUCCUGUCCUUUUAUUAUUCAAGAUAAGCCGCUUGAGGUACGAAGGAGAUUGUACAGUUUGUACACGAAGUGCAUCCAUUUUUGUUGUAACCCUCUCAACUUUCUAGACGAUGCUAUGUGGGUGAAAUGAUGAUACCAUGCCAAAUUUCAACCUUUUCCGAGUUCAUUUGUAGUGCUUUUCAAUUUCAGGGUCAUUUGACUCAAAAAACCAUUGAAUGCAUGAAAAAUAGCAAAUGAAGUCAGAAAGGGUUGAAAAUUGCUGAUGUGGCUUUGAAUGGUGCAUAUUGAAUGCGCAAAAAGUUUGGAGUAGAAAUAAGCUUAAAAAUGAAAUGCCUUUGUAACAAAUGAGUUUUUGUCCGAAACCAUCAUACUUUGAAAGAGAUUGUCCAGUUCGUACACGACGUUCAUCCAGUUUUUGCCGUAACUCUCUCAACUUUUUAUCACAUGCUAUGUGGGUGAAAUGAUGAUAGCAUGCCAAAUUUCAACCUUUUCAGAGUUCAUUUGUAGUGCUUUUCAAAGUAAUAUGUGGGUGAAAUGAUGAUCCGGAAGAAACAUUUUGACAGCAUUAAUCGCCCCGUGUCAUAUUUUCAAAAACAUAUUGAUAAACCACCACCCAAUGCUAGCCCUUGAAUGCGAAAUGUUGCGGGAAUGGUACCUAUGAAAAAUAUCUCUAUAGAGCUAUUAGUCACUCUUUGAUGAAAACCUAUAUAAUCAAUCAUUGCAUUCAUACAAUCAUUCACUCUAGCAAGCAUUCCAGUAAUCAAAAUACAAUCAAUGAAUAAAGCAAUAAAUAAAACAAUAAGGUUAUUAGGUUAAAAAAAGUAUUUUAUAAUAUUCUUCAAUAGCAAAAAGAAUCAACUAGAAAGCUUUUAUAAAACUCUUGUUAUGAUCAAAAUAUUAUUAACUUAACAUUAUAUAAAAUUUAACCAACUAAAAUUUUCAUGAAGUAUUUUUUCUUAAAAACUUUAAUAGUAAACAUAAUUAAAUGAAAACUAGGCAUGUAUGCAUCUGUUUAAAAGAAAACUAGGCAUGUAUUUUUUUCUCCAACGUAUCGAUAAUUUUUUAUUGUUCCAUGCUAUUAUAUUAUAUGUUUUGGAUGUUUUAUAUGCAUUUAUAUGUUGUUUUAUAUUAUUUUUGGGACUAACCUAUUAAUCUAGAGUCUAGUGCGAGUUUCUGUUUUUCCACAUUUUUGAAUAUUGUAGAUAAAGAAUAUUAAAUGGAGUCCAAAUGGAAUAAAAUCUGCGAAAAGAUUUUUUUCUCGACGAGAAGACACGUAACAUACUUAGGGUAGGGGGCAAGGCAGUUGUCGGGAGGCCACAAGCCUGCAGGGAGCAACGAGAACACUUUUACGCCGCCGGGAAACCCCUGCACGUCUUCUAACCCUAACUCUUGGCCUAUAAAUUCCCAAAUAUUCCAGAAACACUAGAGGGAGCAACGAGAAUGCUUUUACGCCGCCGGGAGCCUCUGUUCCCAAGAGAUCCAAUCUGGAAGCCUUGUCCGGCAAUCUGCUGGAGAGGGAAUUGAUCACGGAGGGCAUCUACAUCAACUCCAUUGCCCCUCUGAUGAUGUGUGAGUAGUUCACCACAGACCUAUGGGUACAUAGCUAGUAGCUAGAUGGCUUCUUCUCUCUCUUUGAUCUUCAAUACGAUGUUCUUCAUGAUCUUCAUGGAGAUCUAUCCGAUGUAAUACUCUUUUGCGGUGUGUUAGUCGAGAUCCGAUGAAUUGUGAGUUUAUGUUCAGAUUAUCCAUGAAUAUUAUUUGAAUCUCUUUUGAAUUCUUAUAUGCAUUAUUUCAUAUCCUUGCAAUUCUCUUUGAAUUAUUUGUUUUGUUUAGCCAACUAGAUUGAUAAUUCUUGCAAUGAGAGAAGUGCUUAGUUUUGGGUUUAAUCUUGCGGUGUCCUCACCCAGUGACAGUAAGGGGUAGCAAGGCACGUAUUGUAUUGUUGCCAUCAAGGGUAAAAAGAUGGGGUUUUCAUCAUAUUGCUUGAGUUUAUCCCUCUACAUCAUAGCAUCUUACUUAAUGUGUUACUCUGUUCUUCAUGAACUUAAUACUCUAGAUGCAGGCAUGAGUCGGUCGAUGUGUGGAGUAAUAGUAGUAGAUGCAGAAUCGUUUCGGUCUACUUGAUACGGACGUGAUGCCUAUAUGCAUAAUCAUUCCCUUGGAUAUCUUCAUAAUUAUUUGCUUUUCUAUCCAUUGCUCAACAGUAAUUUGUUCACCCAUCGUAUUAUUUUCCUUUAUGAGAGAAGCCUCUAGUGAAACCUAUGGCCCCAGGGUCUAUUUUUCAUAUCAUAUUUUCAGAUCUAUAAACCAAAAAUACCAAAAAUACUUUGCUACAAUUUAUUUACUUUAGUUUUACUUUCAGAUCUAUCAAUAUUUAAUACCUAUCUCUAUCAGAUCUCACCCUUGCAAAUAACUCUCAAGGGAUUGACAACCCCUUUAAAGCUUUGGGUGCAAGUUUUUGAUUAUUUGUGUAGGUACUACUAUUGGAGUCUUGUUUGUUACUCCUACUGGAUUGAUACCUUGAUUGUCAACAAACUGAGAGAAAUACUUAUCUACUUGGUUGCAUCACCCUUUCCUCUUCAAGGGAAAAUCAACGCAAGCUCAAGAGGUAGCAAGCGCCGCCCCAAUCCCCUACACUUCAUUAACCCUGAUGCCCUCGGCGCCGUCGCCUCCCACACCGUUGCCGACGCGCCCCCCACGCUAUCCCCGAGCCCUUCCUCGUCGCCGACGCCUCUUCGCUAUGAGUGCCCCCCGAUCCCCUCCUCCCGUCGAGGGAGUUGAAAAUGUUUUGGCAAAACGUGGGUUCAUUUAUGUAUCAUCGAAUUUCUGGCAUUCAGUAUGUCCAUUUUUUACCAAUGGUCUUGUCAAUUUUUCCAUUGAUUUUUUAUUCUAUGCAUGCAACACAAAAUGGAAGAAUGCCCGUAUAGUUUUGACGCAGCUGUAUGUGCGACGAUCCUCACCUUGACUAUAGUAAAUGUUAUUCCAUCACUCUACAAUGUGACUACAACUAUUAUAAUUUUAAGUUUGCUAGCAAAUACAAUUUUCUGUUUUCCUUCAAACUGUAAUUUAUGUUUUAUAUUUGUCAACUAGUGUGUCCCUUGCUAUGCAAGACCUUUUCUCCUAGACAAAUUUUUUGUUAGUGACAUGGAAGAAGUGACUCAGAUGACUACUUACCUCAAGAUGAAAGGUGGUUUCAAUUUCAAAUGUACGAUCUAUAAUUAGGUAGAUCAUACAUAUUCUAGUUGUGCUAAUAGAAAGGAUUGACCAAAGCAUACGGUUUUGAGCCUGUUAUGAAAAUAACAUUUGAUAUUGGCACAUAUUCUGUAAGUGAUGACGACACAUGGGUGAAUUUAGACAUGAUGCCCACCUCCGUGUAAGUUUCUUAGAUAGGCUUGUUAAAUAACACUUAGAUUAUACACCAAAAUAGAUGUUAUUCAACUAGAACUUAUCUUCUUUAUUUAGAAUUGAUAGCUUAUUUUCUAUCUCCAAGAAAUAUAAGGGACAUAGUAGACGACACCUAUUACACUAUCUGCAGUAUGCUUACUUGGCAGGAAAAAUGUUACCUUAUGUUCUUUCUUGCUAACAUUGAGUCCCUUAAGGGCAUUUAUGGGGCUUGUCCGAAUGAUGCACGACACCUGCCACUAGUCCAUACCUUGAACAAAGGCAACAUUUGUGGAAAAUGCAUGGUAAGAGUUUCGACUAUAGCAUGUCUUUCACAUAUUUGCUUUCUUCUUACAGAAGUCAAGUGUCGGUUACUAAAUGUUGCUUAGUAUGUUACUAUUUCGUUCAAGGACAGAAGCUCUCAAGAUGGGUUGUGCCUCCGAUGAUGGAUGACCACGAGGAUGUUAUGGCAAUUAUUUUUGCCCACAAGAUCUAUUUCAGAGGUACAUACUUGAUUACACUAGAUGGGCAUCUUAAAAUAAAUGAAUGGAAGCAACUAGUGAGUGACUGCAACUUGAAGAUUGGGGAUUGGUGGCUCUGCGUACUCCACCAUGGAGAUGCAGGGUUUUUUCUAUACUUCAAGAUUGUUCCUACAGGAGAGGAGUACCGUAUUAGUAGUUACGAUGGUUAAUGUUUGUAUAUAUAUAUAAAUGAUGUGUACCAUAAUAUUAAUUAUAUUUUACGUGUUGUAAUAUCUCAUCGGCAUCAAUUUGGGAUGCAAAUGUGGUUCUCUAUAUAAUGAUACAAAAUUGCGUUGUCGUGGAGGCAUUUUUCGCUGCCAUGGCAGCAUUUUUGCUGCGUUUUGUCAAUUAGUAAUGACGUGUGGAAAAAUGUACGACGUCCGUAAUGAUCUCCCUAGUUUCUAACAUUUGGAAAGAUUGCACGCUAUAUAUAUGUAUGAUAUUGUUGUCAUGGAGAUAUGACCAACGCCAUAGCUACCUGAAAUACUGUUGGCGCUGGCUCCAACGUCACCACAAUUUUUAAUUGAUGCGCCAUAUUGGUAGUAUCGGGUGUCCAUGCCAGUAAGGCCGUUUUUACCACUCCAUAGAGAAGCUUUUCUACACUAGUGUUAAUUUCAAUCCAGUUGAAAGUCACCCUUUACUCGCAAGUAGUCUCGUACUUUGUUCUUCUCCUUGUUGCAAAUCCCUUCUCGAGUCGCAAUUGGGCCUGUAGUAGGUGUUUUUGCACUUGCAAGUUCAUCCCUCGACUCGCAACUGGGCCCAUACGUGUUGUCGACUUACCGUUUUGAAGCCCAUGCCUGGGCUCGCAACAAGGCCCAUAUGUGUUGUAGUCUUCCUCUUUGCAAGCCCACCCCCUCGACUCGCAUCCCUCCCUAUAGUUUUUUCUAACCCAGUUUCAAGUCCAUCCUUCACUCACAAACCGGGCCCGUACUUUUUGCUCUUUCCAAGUUAUAAGUCCCCCUCGAGUCGCAACUAGGGCCCAUAGGGUGUAGUUGUUGUCCCACUUGCAAACCCAUCACUCGACUCGCAAUUCGGGCCCAUGGGUGUUUCCAACUAGGUUCUAAGUUCAUCCUCCUCUCGCAAUUGGGACGUAUCUUUUGUUUUUGUCCCAGUUACCAGUCCUGCUCGAAUAGCAACUCGUCUCAUAGGUAUUCUUUUCUUCCCAAUUUCAAGCCAAUCCCUUGGACUCGCAACUUGGCUCCUAGUUAUUUUCAACCGAGUUGCAAGUCCAUUUUUGACUUGCAAAUGGGCCCAUAUUUUUUAUUCUUGCACCCAUUUCAAGUCCCCCCUUGACUUGUAACUCGACCUGUACUUGCCCUUGUCCUAGUUGCAAGUCCCCCAUCGAUUCGAAAUGGGCCCGUCGUAAGUGUGGUCCGACUUGCAAUGCAUUCCUCGACUCACAACUGGCCCCAUAUGUGUUGGUCUUCCCUGUAGCAAGCCUACCUCUCGAUUUGCAACUUGCCAUGUACUUAUUUCCAAUCCCGUUGCAUGACCAUCGACUAGCAAGUCCACCGAUGUUGGUGUCGUCCUGGUUCCAAGCCCGCCCCUCAAAUCUCCUUUACGCCAUUCACUGCGGCACAAUGUCAUUGUAUCACACAACGGUAGAAGCGAGCAAAUUGCAGAUGGAUCGGCCCAAGUCGCUAUGAUCCAUUUUGCUUGUCUUGUUUUUCUUCAUGGUUUGUCCUUGUUUAUCAGCCUGGGCAUUUGGGUACCCUAACCCGCUACCCGAGCCCGAACUGAACCGAAUUACUUGACAAUUCGGGUAAUUCGGGUAUCGGGUUAGGGUUCGGUUCUCAUUUCCUGGCUAUUCGGUUUUCGGGUUGGGGUUCGGGUUCUAGUCUGAAAAACCCGAAAUACCCAUACUACUCGAAUUAUUCAUACUAGCCAAAUUAUUCAUGCUAUUAUUACACUCACAUGUUACCCAUACUAACUAAAAUAGCGAGACUAUCCAAAAUACCCACACUACCCAAAUUAUUUAUACCAAAAUUUGAUGUGUGCUCCAAAUAUUUUGGGAUCUUUGGGUACCCAAAUUAUCCGAACCAAAAUUUUGGGUAAUUUGAGUUUGGGUACUUUUUUGGCAGAAAAAUUCGGGUUCCCAUUUUGAGUACACAAAUUACCCAUAAACCGAACUAUCCGAACCGAAAUAACCAAAGUACCCGAACGCCCACGUUGACUUGUUUAUCCCUUUUUUCCUUUUUUUUCUUCGCUAGCUUUUCUUUCCUUUUUAAUUUUUUUGUUUUUUAAAAAUAUUAUUUUUUAUUUUCAUUUUAUUAUUAAUCAUUGUUUAGAAAGUGUAUAAUUUGAAAAAAAAAAUCUUUUUCAAAAAGUGCUUGGAUUUUUCAAAAGCAAAUUAAGUUCUUGUUAUUCAAAAAAUAAUUGCAGGUUUAAAAAAUGAUUGUGUUUUAAAAAAAAUACUCAAAUGCUGAAAUAUUUAUUCCAUUUUAAAAAAAUGUUCACAAAUGAUGUCCGUCUGUCAGUAACUCUUAAGCUUUACAUAUACUGGACCAAGGGUGACACCAUGUUAGAUGACCCCUAGUCACAAAAAACAAUUCAAAAACUUAAAAAUUGUUUGUAUUCUCAUAAAUAUCCCUCAUAUUUCAAAAUUCUUCAUAAUUUGCAGAAAAAUUAACUUCUUUUCAAAAAUGUCUACAAAUCUUCACGCUUUACUUUGUUCUUAAGUGUUUCCCGCUUCUAAAACAUCACAAACAUUGAUGUGUUGUAAUGGUAAGAGUUGGUGCUCAGCAGUAUGAGGUCCUAUGUUUGAUUCUUUAGGAGCGCAAUAUGUAUCUCUUUUUGUUGCACUUAAAAAGAAUCCAAAAAACAAAUAUUCCCUCGGUGCCUAAAUAUAAGUCUUUUAGGAGGUUUCAGUAAGGGGACUACAUGCGGAUGUAUAUAAACAUAUUUUAGAGUAUAGAUUCACUUAUUUUGCUUCGUAGGUAAUCUCUAGUAAAAUCUUUAAAAAGACUUAUAUUUAAAAAUGAAGGGAGUAAUAAAAGUUAGAUGUGAGGUAUUAUGUCACGUCUAGAUGAGAUGUGACAUAGUUGGAUCCUUUCCUUUUGGUGGAGUAUUUUGCCCACGGCCUGGAUGCAGGAGGCCCAACCGUGGCUUGAGAGCAGAAAUAAUAAAUCACGGCAUAAUGAGCAUUGUAGUUAGCAAGUCCUUGCCGGUGGUGGUCGUCGGCCCUUGCGCCGGCAUCGUCCAUCUCUCCUCUUUCGACAGGUGCAUGCCUCCCUUCCCAGUCACUCUGCUUCUUGUCUUCAACCAGCCAAUCGAAGACCCCGUCGAGACCAUCAAGAAGGCGCUGUCGCAGGCGCUGAUGCACUAUCCCCCGAUGGCCGGCCGCACCGGCGACGACGGGGAGGGGGAGCUCCACAUCGCUUGCACCGGCGAGGGUGUCUCUUUCGUGGGUGCGUCGGCUAGCUGUGCCCUCGACGACGAGGCCACGAGAUCGGCGCUGCUCCUCAGCGACCUCGCCGUUGGCUACCCCGCCGAAUACUGCCGCCUCAGCGACCCCUUCCUGCUUAUGCAGGUGACCGAGUUCUCCCGCGGCGGGUUCAUCGUCGGCGUGACGUGGAACCACGUCAUGGCCGACGCGGCGGGGAUGGCGCAGUUCCUGCGGGCCGUUGGCGAGCUCGCCCGGGGGAUGCCGGCGCCGGCCGUCGCUCCGGUCAGGUCUGAAAUCGACGGCUCGGUGCCACGACUCCCGCCGCUGAUGGUCGCCGCUGUGAGGUCCCAGAUGCGCAUGGAAACGGAGGAACUCGCGAGCCUCGACGUCACCAUCCCCUCGAGCUUGAUCGGCCGCAUCAAAGAAGAGUGCGCCGGCGACUGCACGGUGUUCGAAGCCGUCGCAGCCGUGCUCUGGCGGUGCCGCACCCGCACGGUCAUCUCCGAUGCUGACACCGACGACCCUGUGGCCUUCGCCUUCCCGAGCAACGUGCGCGGCCUCGUCGGCGCCAAGGAAGGCUACUACGGCAAUUGCGUCGCCAUGCUGCAGGUCCAAGCCAGUAGCGCCGCGGUGGCGAGCGGCGACAUGAAGGACCUGGUGAAGCUCAUCAAGCUUGCAAAGGAGAAGGUAUCAGACAUAUUCGUGAAUGCCGGCGACGAGACCAGCGACGGUGCCAGUAGAGAUGAGCAGCAGCGGGCACACCCGCGCUCAAGGUACAACACGCUGAGUGUCACGAGCUGGAGGAACCUUGGGUUCGAAGCCGUGGAUUUCGGGCCUGGGAGGCCGGCGCGCGUGAUGUGGAAGCCACACCGGACGAUUGGGUUCGUCUGCGUUGUGUGCCCGCCGUGCAAUGCAAGGGGGGAGGACGGCGUCAACGUCGCGUCCUUUUGCGUCAAGCCGGAGCACGCCGGCGCGUUUGUAGCGGAGUUGGCGGCCCUCAACAUAUAAAUGCGAAUUCGUAGUAUCAUGUACUAGUAUCAUAUAAUCCCUCCGUUCCUAAAUAUAAGUCUUUUAAUCAAUUUCACUAAGAGACUACAUACAGAGCAAAAUGAAUAAAUCUACAAUCUAAAGUAUGUCUAUAUACAUCCGUAUAUAGUCCUUUAGUGGAAUAUCUAAAAAGACUUAUAUUAUGGAACGGAGGGAGUAUAUGAUAGUAGUGUAUGAUACCACAUCCGUAAUGCAUAGUAUCAUACGUUACUAUCAUAGAAUAGUUCAUUUAUUGUAAUGCAAGACACAUACAGUAGACCAAGCAGCUAGCUUGGUAAGCUACCAGCAAAAACUUGCAAUCAAUCAAAAAAAAAGACACAUACAGUAGUAGCACAUCAUUUAAUAUGAUACGAUAUCAUGGUAUGGUACUCAACCCUUUCUUUUUUCAUUUAAUUCUAUGUCACCUCAUCGAAAUUGCCUAGUUGGCAUGCAUGUACUACCUAUGAUACUACCAUUACGGGCAGCUUAAUACUUCAUUUUCAAUCAGAGUGUAAACCUAAAAUGGACGAAUUAAUUAGUCUCGCACUUUUUUUCAUACUACUCCAUCUGUCCCGGUGUAUAAGUCAUCUUACGAAACCAAAUAAUUUCAAAAUACUUAACCGCGGUAUUUUUUUUUAAUUUUUUGACAUGAAUAAAGGAAUCACCAAUAAAAGGCGGGAGACAUGUAUGUUUUUAAUGAUGUGAGACUAACUAGCACGACAUGCGGUGAUCAAUUCAUUGCAUGUAAUUGUAUUAAUUAGAAAACUAGCAUUGAUUUUUCUCGUUUUCCUUUUCGUCUUUGUCACGGUACAUAACCUAAGAUGACUUAUACACCGAAACGACGGGAGGAACAAACAUGCAUGCCCACACCACGUCUCUCUUCUCGUACUUGUAUGCCGUGCCCUUUUGCAUAAAGUCCGAGCAAUUCGACGCUUUGUUAGUGGAGUUGACUGCCCCCAAAAUAUAAUGCCAACUACAUCUUUGAUGGUGCAUGUUGCAAGAACCGCCUAUUUUUAUGAAAUAAUAAAUAGUUUUUAUUUAUAUAUUUGUCCAUAAAUAAAGUUUUAAAAGAUGGAUAUAAAUUUAUUCUUAAAGUUUAGAUGAUGCAAAUAGUUGAAAAGUAUUUGCCCUACUCAUACUAAGUAACAUAAUACAAAUAACAUUAGGAAUCAGUUCUUUGAGCUUGUGUUGGACCCUGAAUUUUAUGAAACAUACUUACAUUAAUAAAAUGGUUGCAUGCAUCGUCAUGAUACAGAGACCGGGGACGAUCCUUGUUUUAUUUUUGAAAAGGCUUGCAUGGCAAGUACAAUAAAGCCCAAUCAACCACAUGUCUUCAAAACUGCCACAAGAAUAGUGGCCCAAUAGGACAAACAUGCCAGAUCACGGUAAACUGAAGCUGGAACAGAGAUCUAAAGGCUAGAAAUGAUCUAAACGUGAAAUACAACGACCGAAAUUUGUUGGGCGCUCAGUUUAGAUGCACUUUUAUUGUCCUCAAUUCAUAGUGCAUUUACAAUUCCCAAAAUAAUUUCUUCAAAUUUUGGGGUGAACCUAAAAUGGACCAAUCAAACGAUCCCAAACGGUUUUCUCAUAUAUGGUUACCUUUGCUUAUUGAUUUUUUUAGUACGGUUCAUAAGUUUUUCUUGAAUGAUUUUAAGAUUGAUACGCCUCUGCGACGAGGACCCCGACGCCUCUGCGCCCCUCGCGUUCACGAGCAACGUGUGUGGUCUCAUCGGCGCCAAGGAAGGCUACUACGGCAACUGUGUCAUCGUCCAGGUGAUACAAACAACAAGCGGUACAGUGGCGAGCGGAAAAAUCAAAGACCUCGUGGAGCUCAUCGGGCUUGCCAAGGAGAAGGUAUCAAACAUAUUCGUGAAUGGUGGCGAUGAGACCGGUGCCGGUGGUGGAGAUCAACAUCAGCUGGCAGCCGCGAGGUACAACACUCUUUGUAUCUCGAGCUGGAGGAACGUUGGGUUUGAAGCUGCGGAUUUCGAGGGUCGGCUGCGCCUCUAGCCACACAAUAUACAGCUCUUUUUAAUAUUGUACAAAGUAAGGAUUCUUAUGUUGCUACAAUUAUGCAACCAGUUCCUCUCAAUAUUCAGUUUAGGAGAUCUCUAGUAGGGGAAUGAUGCAAUGCAUGGCUCCAUCUAGUUCGCAGAUUGAUGGAAAUUCACUUGUCGGAAGAACCUGACACGAUUCAUUGAAGAUUAACUAUAAGCGGUAGUUUUUCAGUGAAAUCAAUGUAUCUGGAUAUUAUCAAUGCCGUAAUAAUACCCACUUGUCCACACAUUUUGAAAAUUAAAGUAUCUCUGAAGAUUAAGAUUUUCACGUGGUUUGUUCAUAAAGGACUUAUACUUACAAAAGAUAAUUUGGUUAAACGAAAAUUGGUAGAGGUAAUUCUAGAUGCUGCUUUUGUGAUCACAACGAGACUACUAAACACCUCUUUCUCGAGUGCCCUUUGACAAGACUUUUUAUGGUGUAGAUACGUCUCCAGCGUAGCUAUAAUUUAUAAAGUAAUCAUGCCAUGUUUAUCAUAAUUCUAUAUGAUUUUGGUAUGGUUUGAUUAGAACUAACCCGGACUGACGUUGUUUUCAGCAGAACUAUUGUGGUGUUGUUUUUUGUGCAGAAAUAAAAGUUCUUCAAAUGCAACAAAACUUUUAGACAAUUUUUUAUAUAAGGAAAUAGCCCGAGGAAGCUUCGAGGAAGAACCAGAAGAUGCUCAGGGUGCCCACACAACACCAUCGCACGCCCCCUGGGCGCGCCCUGAUGUUGUGUGGCCCCCCUGAGGCCCAUCUCCGCGUGAUUCCGACACUGAAAAAUCAUAUAUAUCAAGAAACCUCCGAAAGUUAACUAAGAACUUGGACUCCGCCGCCGCACGCCACUGUAUCCUCCAAAAAGCAAUCUGGACCCUCUUCCGGCACCCUGUCGGAGGGGGAAAUCAUCACCGGAGGCCAUCUUCAUCAUCCCGACAGCCACCAUGACAUGGAGGGAGUAGUCCACCCUCGAGGGUAGGGGUAUGUACUAGUAGCUAUGUUUUUGAUAUCUCUCUCCUGUGAUAAUGAGAUGUCACGAUCUUGAUGUAUCAUGGGCAUUGUUGAUAUAGAUGGAUCAUAUGAUGUUUCUCUCCUCUCCAUCCUUGGUGUGAUGAAUUGAAUCUUUUCCCUUUGAAGUUUUGUUAUUGUCAGAUUGAAUAUUCAGAUUUGGGAACACAUGAUGUAUGUCUUGCAUAAUCAAUAUUCGAGGUGACAAUGGGGUAUCAUAUUGAUUCACUUGAUGUAUGUUGUGGCACUCAACUUGCUGAUUCCUGUACUGACAUUGGGGUAAUCUAUGCAUAUGGGUUGAUGCACGUUUUCAUUAUCUUUUCUCUGAUAGAAACUUUGGGGAGUCCUUGUAGUUCUUUGUGUGGAUUGAAUAUUAUGAUUAUGAAGUUGUUUGAUGCAUAACGUAGAAUCAACUCACGAAUACUUGUGGUGACAUUGGAGUAUCUAGGUGACAUUAGAGUUGGUUGAUGUUGGGGAUAUAACCCCACGGUAUAAACCGUCCUAUUGGUCUGGGUUACUGAAGAUGGUGACUCAACGUUCAUAGUCAGGGCGGCCCCUGAUGUGCAAGAUUGGAGGCGCAAGGCGGGUCACCAAGAUGAGACCGUUGGCGGCCCAGGACACGAAGAUGGCGAUUUAAGGCCCAAAAGGAAGAAGGUCGCCAGGAGUUUCCUUGCUUAGGAGCAAGGCGAGUUAGAGACAUAUCGGGUCACAAAUCAUAACGUGACCCGGGUUCUUGUAAGCUUAGGGUCUCGACCUGUAUAUAAAGGCGAGUCCCCAAGGACAAUAGACUUAAGUUACAAUCCAUCGAGAGCCAAAUCAAGCGAAUUCGCACCCUUGUAAUCAAUUUCAUCAUCAAUAUACACAAAGCAGGACGUAGGACUUUACCUCCAUCGGAGGGGCCGAACCUGGGUAAACUCGUCUCUCGUUCCCGAUCAACCCCUUUGAGUCGCCGCAUAGUUGCGAUGGCCUCAUCACUAAGUCCUUUCACGAGAAAAUAUGUCGUGACAAAACCAUGACAGUUGGCGCCCACCAUGGGGAAGUCGCACGAUGGAGUUGAGUUCUCAAAGGGAGCCCUUCUAGGGUUCUGGAGCUACGCAGUUGGUCUUGUUGGAAAUAUUCCGUAGAGGCAAUAAUGAAAUAGUUAUUAUUAUAUUUCCUAUUUCAAGAUAAUCGUUUAUUAUCCAUGCUAUAAUUGUAUUGAAUGGAAACACAAGUGCGUGUGUGGAUACAUAGACAAAACAAUGUCCCUAGUGAGUCUCUAGUUGACUAGCUCGUUGAUCAAACAUGGUUAAGGUUUCCUAGCCAUGGACAAGUAUUGCCAGUUGAUGACGGGAUCACAUCAUUAGGAGAAUUAUAUGAUGUACAAGACCCAAACUAUAACCGUAGCAUGUGAUCGUGUCAUUUUGUUGCUAUUGUUUUUCUGCAUGUCAAGUAUAUGUUCCUAUGACCAUGAGAUCAUCUAACCCACUGACACCGGAGGAAUUCCUUGUAUGUAUCAAACAUCGCAACGUAACUGGGUGAUUAUACAGGUGUUCUACAGGUAUCUCCGAUCGUGUCCGUUGAGUUAGUAUGGAUCGAGACUGGGAUUUGUCACUCCGUAUGACGGAUAGGUAUCUCGGGGCCCACUGGGUAAUAGAACAUCACAAACAUGCCUUGCAAGCAAUGUGACUAAAGAGUUAUCCACGGGAUCUUGUAUUACAUAACGAGUAAAGAGGCUUACCGGUAACGAGAUUGAAAUAGGUAUGGAGAUACCGACGAUCGAAUCUCGGGCAAGUAACAUACCGAAGGACAAAGGGAAUGAUACACGCGAUUAACUGGAUCCUUGACAUAGAGGUUCAACCGAUAAGAUCUUCAUAGAAUAUGUAGUAUCCAAUAUGGGCAUCCAGGUCCCGCUAUGGUAUAUUGAACAGAGAGUGUCUCGGUCAUGUCUACAUAGUUCUCGAACCCGCAGGGUCUGCACACUUAAGGUCCGGUGACGUUUUGGUAUAGUUGAAUUAUUGAUAUUGGUAACCGAAUGUUGUUCGGAGUCCCAGAUGAGAUCCCGGACGUCGCGAAGGUUUUCCGAAUGGUCCGGAGAGGAAGAUUAAUAUAUAGAAAGUAUCCAUUUGGCUUCCGGAAGGUUUCCGGGCAUUACCGGUAAAGUACCGGGAGAGACGAAUAGGUUCCGUAGUUCCACCGGGAGGGGCCACUCACCCGGGAGAGAACCAAAGAGGCCCAGGGUGGCACACCAUCCCCUGGUGGGCUGGUGGCCAGCCCAAGUGGGCCUGGUUCAGACGAAGGAGGAGAAAGGAAAGGAGAGGUGGGGCAAACCGAAAUAGGAAGGGACUCCUCCUCCCAAUCGGAUUGGAGGGUGACUCCUCUUCCUUCCAUGGCGCGCCAGCCAACCCUAGGGAUUUUUCCCUAGGGCGCCACCCCUCCCUCUCUCCUAUAUAUAGUGGAGGUGAGAGAAGCUUUUGGCACCCAAGCCAUAGUACAACCCUCUCUCCCUCCACCACUUCGUGACACCCCGUAGCUAGUUCGGUACGGCACGGCGAAGCCCUGCCAGAGUAACUCCACCACCAUCACCGCCACGUCGUUGUGCUGCUGGAGAGUUCAGCUACCUCUUUGCCUCUCUUGCUGGAUCCACAAGGCAGAGAUCGUCAUCGAGAUGUACGUGUGCUGAAUACAGAGGUGUCGUCCGUUCGGUACUAGAUCGGGACGGACUUCGUGGGACGCUUGCGAUUCGGAUUGCGAAGACGUUCGACUACAUCAACCGCAUUUAUUAACGCUUCCCGCUUAGCGAUCUACAAGGGUAUGUGGAUCCGAUCUCCCCUCUCGUAGAUUAUCAUCACCAUGAUAGGUUUUGCGUGUGCAUACGAAAUUUUUUGUUUCCCAUGCGACGUUCCCCAUCAGUGGUAUAAAAGCUAGGUUCAUGCGUAGAUGAUAUCUUGAGUAGAACACAAAAGAGUUUGUGGGUGUUAAUGUUCAAUUUUCUGCCCUCCUUAGUCUUUUCUUGAUUUAGCGGUAUUGUUGGAUUGAAGCGGCCCGGACCAACAUUCCUCAUGCGCGUACGAGAGACCGGUUUCAUCGACUAACAUUCAACUUGUUGCAUAAAAAUGACUGGCGGGUGUUUGUUUCUUCAACUUUAGUUGAAUCGGAUUUGACCGAGGUGGUCCUUGGAGAAGGUUAAAUAGCAAUUUGCACACCAUCGUUGUGGCUUUGCAUAAGUAAGAUGCGAUCAUACUAGAUACCCAUAGCAGUCAUGUAAAUUUUGCAACAACAAAUUAGAGGACGUCUAACUUAUUUUUGCAGGGUAUGCAUGUGAUGUGAUAUGUCCAAUGACAUGACAUGAUAUAUUGGAUGUAUGAGAUGAUCAUGUUGUAAUAAUUAAAUAUCGACUUGCACAUCGAUGCUACGGCAACCGACACGAGCCAUAGGGUUGUAUUUAAUUAUUUUGUGCUUGGUGAUGCUUUUCUUUAUCGCUAGUAGUAGCUUUAGUAGUAACAUCAUAGUUAGCGCGACAACCUCGAUGGAAGCAUGAUUAUGGAGAUGAUGGUGUGGCGACGGUGACGAUGGAGGUCAUGCCGGUGCUUUGGUGAUGGAGAUCAAGAAGCACAAGUUCAUGGCCAUAUCAUGUCACUUAUGAUUUGCAUGUGAUGUUAAUCCUUCUAUGCACCUUAUUUUGCUUAGGACGACGGUAGCAUUAUAAGGUGAUCCUUCACUAAAAUUUCAAGAUAAAAUUGUUUUCUCCCCGACUGUGCACCGUUGCGAUAGUUCGUCGUUUCGAGACACAAAGUGAUGAUCGGGUGUGAUAGACUCUACGUUCACAUACAACGGGUGCAAAACAGUUGUACCACGCGGAACACUCGGGAUAAACUUGAGGAGCCUAGCAUGUACAGACAUGGCCUCGGAACACAAGAGACCGAAAGGCCGAACAUGAAUCAUAUAGUUGAUAUGAUCAACAUGGAGAUGUUCACCAUUGAAACUAAACUCAACUCACGUGAUGAUCGGACUUGAGUUAGUGAAUUUGGAUAAUGCGACACUCGAAUGACUAGAGGGAUGUCAAUUUGAGUGGGAGUUUAUUAGUAAUAUGAUUAGCUAAACUCAAUUAUCUUAAACAUAGUCUAAGUAAUCUUUGCAAAAAUUUAUGUUGUAGAUCAAUGGCUCGCGCAGUAGAAACCCUUAAUUUUAAUGCGUUCCUAGAGGAAGCUAAGCUGAAAGAUGAUGGAAGAAACACUGUUGACUAUGCCCGUAAUCUGAGGCUUAUCCUCACGGCUGCCCAAAAGCAAUAUGUCAUUGAUGCAGCACUAGGUGAUGCUCAAAGAGAGAUAAAUUGCCAUCCAGGUACUGGCUAUGGACCCGUAGGUCUGUGGUGAUCCACUUACAUAUCAUCAUGAGGGCAUCAAGGUUGAUGAAGAAGCCCUCGGUGAUCGAUCCGACCUCUGGCAGAGUGCCGAGACAGAGCUCUAGAUGGACCCCCGUCAGAACAGAGACUUGUGGCAGCGUAAAAAGUGUUUCCGGACCUCCGUCGAUGUUUUAGGAUAGAUGAGAAUUUAUAGACUAGAGAACAGAGUCGGGAGAGCCGCGAGGGGGCCACAAGCCAUUAGGGCGCCCCCUGACCGCGCCCUGUUGGCUUGUGGGGCCCUCGUGCACCCUCGUGCCUCCUUUCGAUGCUCCACGGUCUUGUUUUAGUCCAGAAAAAAAUCACAAAAAGUUUUAGGUCAAUUGCACUUCACUUGGUACUAAACCGUAAAAAGUGGAAAACACGCAGAAAACAACAACUAGCACUUGGCACUGGGUCAAUAGGUUAGUGCUCAAAGAUAAUAUAAAUUGGUAGAUAAUUAGUUCAUAAAAAAUGUUCUAAAAUGAUAACAUAAUAGCAUGGAACAAUCAAACAUUAUAGAUACGCUGGAGACAUAUCAUUGUACCGCUCGCUAGGGUUUUCUGCAUGGUACUUGUGUGCACUGAUUGUACCGGUGCACGAAGAGGUUGUACUGCUGUAGUGUAAAAACCGUUGUAACAGUUGAAUUUGGGGGCACUAUAAAAGGGGAUGGUUCUUCCACCGACCUUCUUACCUCUUACCUCUCUCUUUCUCUCUCUUUCCUUCAUUAAUGCCCUCCAAGCUUUCUUGCUCGAUCUCUCUUCCACUCAUUAAUGCUAGCAUCAUCGUACAUUUGGAGUCGACACACUUUGCUAGAGGCCGCUACCGGCUAGCCGAGCUGGAUGUGAUCUGACUUGCAACCAAGUGAACGAGAACCUAAGGGGUCGUGCUCUUAAGAGAAGGAUUCUACGAGGUCAUAUACGAGGACACUGGUCGGAUGUGAUCUGAGCUGGACUUAGAUCAUGACCAAGUAGACUUUAGGCUUUAGGAUCCAUGUGAGGCCCAAAAUUGAGACCGCGACGGAUGCCUAUAUAUAAUGGGGGUACCACACACAUAUUCGGUCGAUUGCUUCAGCAUCGUCAUUAGGGCGUUGCAUGUGUUAGAACCACCCACCUCCACUCGCCGCCGGUUGUGUGAUCGGACCUAGCAGUCCGCCACAUGACGUUCCUCCUGCACGUGCGAAUACCGUUAGAGGUGGUGCAGUUGCGCAGCUCCAACGAAGUUGUCCACGGGAUUCAGCGGACGACUGUUUGAGAGACCGGACGAGGAGGGGGCAACUCCUGGGACGCGCUAGCACCACUAUUCGUCCACUACAUUGCGCUCUAGUGGUAACAAUCUGUGAUUCCUCUCCUUAGCAUGUUCCCGGUUAUACAGUGCAUAGGAAUUUUUUUUAUAUUCCAGCCGAUGCACCUAGCGUAGCCCAACACUAUCCCUCCGUCCCUCCCUUCCUUCCUCUCUCUCUCUCUCUCCCUCUCUCUCUCUCAAACACUUAAUACAUGCAUACUUACAUUAGUUUGAUCAUGUUCAUGUGAUUUAAGGUUAAUUGAAUUUGUGGCACUAUCAUAUGAACAAUGAUGGUGCCAAAUCCAUGGCCUAAAUAAGUUGCAUCCAAAUGUACACGGAAAAUAGUUAGAUAAAAAGUAUGAACACAUCGUAGAACAUAUUACAUCGAGAAUCGAUUAUGGUUCUAUACAUAAAAGAACAAAAAUCUCGUGGUGCAAACUAAACAUACGUUUAUAUUAAUUAAAUGUAUGCACAUUUCGUUCCUGCAAAAGAAAUUUGUCCUAUUCGGAAGAAAAGAAAACAAGUUUUGAAAAAUCAUGUAGCAAUUACUAGAAAGAUUACCAGAGUUGAGAUACACAACUAUGGACGUAGCCAUUUGAGAUUAUCCUGUCACUGUCCACGGACCCGCCCGCAGAUGUAUAUAUGUAGUGCUCCAUUUGGCAAUUGGAGUUGCAGAUGCUCUAACUUCCUUCUUUUUUGUGAACCAUGUGAUGAACAAGCUCUCUCGAAACAGGCUUUCGCCCCGCUUUAUAGAUAAAGCACAACGGCCAGAAUCCAACCCACAUGUUCGAACACAAAAAAUAAAAAAGAGAGUCAGGUGGGGCAACAACACAGUCCAGCCCAAAAUAAAGAGAAGAAACAAAAAAUUCCCACACAGGGGCAAGCUAGGCAGCAAGCAAGGGAGAGGAGAGCCGUCGGGCGGCCGCCAUCAACGCGUCCAGGUAGAGCUGAAGUCGGCCUCGAUCCCGGGUCCUAACGAGCGGAUGCCAAUGCUGCAAGAAGGCAAGGAAUUUGAAGAACGAGUCAGAAGCACGCCGCGGAAACACCUUCUCAAUCAUCAUUUUAUUGUGAGUAGUCUAGAGGGUCCACAUCAUAGCCGCGAAGACCAACCAAAACAGUCGGCGUUUAUGACCGACCUGGGUGGCCCGCACCUGUAGAAAAUCUGCAAGGUCAGAGGCCUCCCACUCUGGUCCCAGAGCCUCGCGUACAAAGCAUCAUAGUGCAUGUGCCGCAACGCAUGAGAACAGAAUGUGAGAGCCAUUCUCCGGGACAUGGCACAGGGGACAUAUGCCGUUACCCGGACCAUGGCGUUUCAGCACCUCGGUCCCUGAAGGUAAACGGUCUCGGAGAAGCUGCCAAACAAAAAUCUUGAUCUUCAAGGGCAGCGGGGCCUUCUAGAGUGGGGAUAACCACGGGAGGACCAGCAUUCUGCACAGGGCCAGGUAUGCCGAACUAACAGAGAAUUCUCCCGAGGGAGAGAGGCUCCAAGAGAUACUAUCACUGACCGCCGAGGUCGAGAGGGGAAUCACUGCCAAGAGUAACUCCCAGUCCAGGACCUCAACAGGGCCAAGGGGUCGGCAGAAUGCAACAUGCCAUCCGUCUUCCAGAGCAGCAGCAGAAACCAGGACAGCAGGGUCGGCGCAGAUAGCAAAGAGCCUCGGGAAACGGAAUCGUAAAAGCUCUCCUUCCAACCAGGGAUCUAACCAAAACUGGGUCCCAGAUCCAUCGCCCACCGAGAUCCCCAAACUCAACCUAAUCUCGUGCUUAAUGCUCUGGAUAGACUUCCAGAACUGCGAACCAUUCGCGAGAGAGCAUGCCAAGAGUGGUCUGCCUCGAAGGUAUUUGGCCUUAAUCAAUUGAAGCCACAGACCCCCAUCUCCGUGCAGAAUCCGCCAAACCCAACGGAGCAUCAGGGCCACGUUCAUGAGGCGGGACGCAGGAAUGCCUAGGCCCCCUCAGUCUUUUGGCAAGCAGAUGUCUGCCCAUUUCACCAUGUGAUACUUGGGCCUACCAUUCCCUGCCUGCCAAAAGAAUCUAGCCAGUUCCUUGUCAAAGGCGUUGUGCACACCUUCGGGCAGGAUAUACAACCCCAUCAUAUACAUGGGGAGGCUAGCGAGGUUAGAGCUAAUGAGGAUGGAUUUGCUGCCUUUAGAAGUGAACCUGCCGCACCAGGGUUCCACACGGGAUGCUACUCAUCCCACAAGCGGAUCGAACCCGCUAACCAGAAUCCUGGACUCCGCCAGGGGCAUUCCCAAGUACGAGAUAGGGAAAGAAGCCAGCUUGAAGUUAAGGUUGUCUGAAUCCUGUGAUGCUCAGCCUCAGAGUAGCCGAGGACCACCACCUCACUCUUAUCAAAGUUAAUCUUAAGUCCAGACAUUUCCUCGAAGCAGAGCAAAAGGAACUUAAGAUUGGCAAUGUCCGAGUCCGAGCCUGAGACCAUGAUCAUGGUGUCGUCUGCAUAUUGGAGGUGUGACACCCCACCCCCCGGGAUGAGGUGACCAACCACCCCCUGGAUAUGCCCGGCUAAUCUCGCCUUAUCCAGGAUGCCGGCAAGGGUGUCCACGGCGAGAUUAAACAGCAGGGGGGAGAUAGGGUCCCCUUGCUUUACCCCCCUGGAAGCCCAAAAAAAGGGGCCUAGUUCACCAUUGAUAUUGAUGGCGGUGCUACCAGAUCGAACCAGCUGCAUAAUCCAGGUGCACCACCUCUCGUCAAAUCCGCGCCGCUGCAACACUAACCUCAAGAAGGACCAACCAAGACGGUCAUACGCCUUAUGGAAGUCCAAUUUGAGAAUGACCCCCUUCAAUCCCUUGGACGCCACCUCAUGGACAAUCUCGUGAAGGGCAAGAAUUCCGUCAUGAAUCUUCCUACCCUUCAGGAAUGCGGACUGAAGGGGGUGCGCAAUCCGUUCGGCCACAGGGGACAGACGAGUGGCGCAGACUUUAGCAAAAAUACGCGCCACCAUGUUAAUCACCGUAAUAGGCCUAAAUUGCCGAAUCUCUGCAGCCCCAAGUAGUUUGGGGAUGAGGGCAAUGACUCCAUAGUUAAUCCUGCCCAUGUCCAGAGUGCCUAUAUAGAAUUCAUGGAACAUGGGCAUGAUAACUGGGUGCACGGUCUCCCAGAAUUGCUGGAAAAAACCACCGGGAGGCCGUCUGGCCCCGGGGUCGAGCACACCUUCAUAGAAGCGAUUGUCUGGCCAACUUCCUCCGAGGAAAAUGGGAGAGUGAGUUCCGCAUUCUCCACGUCGGACACCUGAUCAGCUAGCGGCCAGAAGUCCUCACAGAGAGAGGAGCCUCCCCGCAGAUCGGCCGAGAAUAACUCCUUAUAGAAGGAGUAAAUAUGGGAUGAGAUGUCUUCCGGCUUUCCAGAACAGCAUCCCCAUCCCGGAGGAAAGGGAUGACACAUUUCCGCCUUCGGCCGUUGGCGAUGGCCUGAAAGUACGCGGUGUUUGCGUCCCCCUUGAGGAGCCAGUUCUGGCCACCUCGACGUUGCCAGAACAGUUCCUCGGAGCUGAAGAUGCCCAUGAGCUCAGCGUCGAGGGAUUAUGUCUGGAUCCAGUCAUCCGGGGACAGACCUGUACCGUCCGCCAAGUCAUCUAGGGUCUUAAUCUGGCCUAGCAAGGCCCCUUUACGGGCCCGGAGAUCAGCGCCCAAGUUAGCACCCCAGCCCUUCAUGGCCUGGCGCGCCAUCUUGGCACAGUGAUGCCAAAUGUCCACCGCACAAUAGACACGCGGCGGGGAGGCGGCAGCCCAAUGCCACUGGUCGCGGACCAACUCGCGGAAACCAGGCUGAUCCAACCAAAAAGUCUCAAAGCGAAAGCGCCGUGAUCUAGGGGGGAGCCUUCCCCCGACGAGAAGAGCAGGGGCGUAUGGUCUGAGCCAAUCUGCGUGAUGGCCCUAAGCCCGCACAGGAGGAACAUCACUUCCCACUGAGGCGACACAAAGACCCGGUCUAGAACACUCCGGACGGGGUCCGCCUGCUUGUUCCACCACGUGAACCUGGCCCCUACGCGAGCUAUCUCACGUAGCGCCAAGUCUGCAAUGCAGUCAUUAAAAAGACGCAUCUGGGGUCGAUCUACAUUCUGAGAGCUUUUAUCAGAAGCCCACCUAAUAAAUUAAAAAUCACCAGCCACCACUACAGGGGUGGUGCACCUAUCCACCUUAUUCUUUAGCUCGGCGAGGAAUUCUGCGGAGCGGGCAUGGUCUGCCGGACCAUAGACAAUAAUCACCUCCCAGCUGAGGUGGGUACGUCGGUCGGUGAUGGCCAUGCUCACAAUGAACUCCCCCCGGUCCAUGUCCUCCACCGAGAACGCCUCCUCCCGAACACCAAGCAGGAUUCCCCCAGAGUGGCCCGAUGCAGGGAGCCACUGCCAGGAGAACUGGUGGCGGGAGAGCCUCUGAAGCUCGAGCAUGCUAAAGUCCUACCGAAUCGUUUCUUGCAGCCCUACUAUGUCAAUCUCUUCUUGACGCAAAUACUCAACAAGUUGCCGCCGCCGGCCAGGGAGGCCGAAGCCCCUAAUGUUCCAACAUAGGAGCUUCAUUUAACAAUCUCGCCUGGAUUUCUAGGCCCCGCAAGCGGGGCCGAACUAGCCCGCCCGUCAACCUCGAGGCGGGGGAGCGCCUUAGAUGGACGACCCCGGUGUCCCCGAGAAGAGGGGACAUCGGAGGUCGCCGGGCCAGAGGAGGGAGCUCCGGGGCCUGACACUCGCUCCUCUCCACGUGUCUCAGUGGGGUUGAGACGGGUAGGCGGCCGCCCCCUGGGCUUCCGGACAGAGGGAAGCCCACCUAUGGGCGGCACAGGACCAACUGCAACCGCUGCCGGAGGUGCGCCACCAGCCCUGGUCUCUCUAUGACCAGGACCGGCGUGCACCGGGGGAGAGGGGGAGUUGGAGCGCGCGGCGAGACAGCGCGCUUCCGCUAACACCCCCUCAAGCCUCUCUUUCGCACAGAGGGCGGAGAUAUGCUCAAGAGGGGGACCUUUCUCCCCCCGAAACACAAUACUACUGUUCGCAGCCACAACAGCCAAAAGGGGCACCAAAUCGCUAGAGAGAACAGAAAACCAAGAACCAGAGCCAGAAGGGGGAGGAGAGGAGGCGUACCUGGGAACAGAUCGCGGGCCGCAGCACGCCGGGCCGCCAGCUCAGGCAUCGUCGGGACGCGGCCGUCCUGAAGGGUCCGGGACUGGCUGAUCCGAGCGCUCUGACGUGCCGACACGAUGGGGGAAGUGCCCUCCCGAGGCCGAGAGCGGGGCACAGGAGGGUACUCGGGCGCCCAACCAGGGUUGACGACCACCGGAGGGCGCGAAUCCGGGGACCCCAAGGUUGGGGAAGGGGGGAACUCGGAGAGCACGAGUAGCAAACCACCCCUGGCGAGCGCGGGGACGAAGCAGGGCAGACCUCCAUACCCACACUCACCUCCUCCUCAGCAGCGACCACCGGGAUAGGGGAAGCAGGGAGAGUGAUCUCCAUGCCUACCACCACCACCGGCGCCAAAGUACCCACCGUGGAGCCUCCUGCGAGCCCCGACUGGCCAACACCCGAGGGGGCGGGGGUGCGCCGACCGCCAGAUGGCUCGGGCGGAGCCCCGACCGUAUCAUCGUCCCCCUCAGAAGAAGGCCCCUCCUCCGACGAGCCCCCCUCCUUGUCAAGACCCCCGUCGGCAGGCUCCAGCCCAGGCGGGACCGGAUCUAGCUGAGCCGCUGAAGCCGGGGACUCGAGCUCGAAGGUCAGACGCCUGCCCUUGGACCCAAAGUAGAAGACCAAAGACAACCCGUCAAUCUCAGCAGGAGCCGGGCAGAGAAUCUCAAUGCGGGCAGGGCCAUCAUCCUCGAAAGAUGCCAGGUCGGCGGUGAUCAGUUUGCCCAUGGGUUUAGAGAUGGCUUUCAGAAUAUGACUGAGCUUGCCACCCCGCGGAGCCGCACUGCCCCCCCUUGGGAGGCCAUAGACGAGGACCCAAACCUUCUCCAAGGGAGGGACGGGGUCAGGCUCUGACAUGGCCGCCUGGACGCUGAUCGGGAGCUGGUUGAGGGGACACCGGAUAGGACCAUGCGAGCAGACCCGGAGUAGCUCGGCCGAGGGGAAGGGGACCGAGAAGACCAGGGGAGCCGUCUCAGUCACCUCCCAUGCGAACUCAGAGCCGCGAAAGUCGCCAAUGUAGGCCGCAAGCUCAUCCUGGAUGAGGUCAGACGAGAUCACCAGGCCAUCCGGGAUAGGCUGCUCGGGCUCCAAGGUGACCGUCGCUAGGUGAGGACGAGCAGCUACCUCCUCAAUCUCCGCAUCCACGAAGUAGAAGCUUCCCCGCUCAGUGCCAUACCCAAGAUAGGCAAGAAUCGUGGGGCACCGUGGGGGAGCCUCACACUCCGAGCGGUAGUGCCCGGUGCACCCGCAGUUGAUGCACAUCGUGUCCUCGCGGGAGCGCUGGCGGGUAGCACGAGCAGGGGGUCUAGAGCCUCAUGCUCAGGAGCCCCCUGAGCUCCUGGCGACGUCAGGCCGCCAGCACCGCCAACAGCCUUCUUCUUCUUCGACUUCAUCUUCUUCUUAACCGGGGUCGGGCGGGAAGCGGAGCAGCAGGCAGGGCAUCUGGGGACACGUGCCUAGAAGGCCCGUCGUCCCGGCACCAGUCCGCACCCGUCGCCCGAGAGGAGCGCCAGUCAGCCCGACGUCCAUCAUCACCGCGCCGCAUUGGCGGCCCGCCCCACCGCUCCCCCGGGCGGUGGUCCUGGCGAUCACGGGGCGGCCCGCCCCACCGCUCCCCAGGAAGGCGCCGCGGGGCGGUGAGCGAGGUCCCGAGCCGGGGGGUAGCGGGGCGCUGGCUCCUCACACGGCUGAGAUGCCGGAGUGGGGCGAGCAACCAACUCUGCACACAGAGUCGCUUCCCGGUCCAGGUCGGCCGCGCGGGCGGCCUCCAGGCGGCGACGGUCCCCCGGCGAACCCGGCAACGGCAGGCGGGGAUCCCUCUCCGGAUCACGAGGGGGAGGCGGACGGCGAAGGGAGGUCCCGGAGUAGUACUCCGGGGACUUCCCCGGCCGGGCAGACCCACCGCGCCCGGAACGGGACGAGGCAGCACCCCCUUCCAUGGCACGGUCACGGGCGGCGGGCAGCGCCUUCAACACCGCGCGAGCCUGGUCACGAGAGGUUGGCGUAGGGAGGAGCCCCUGCCCAGCCGGGAGAGGCCGCUUCGGUCGGGCCUGGCCGUUCCCGGCGUGGCGUGUCAUGAGCACGUCCCGGUAGGAGCGCCGUGGGGAGGGGAUGGGGAGCAGGUCCGGGCGCCGGGCAGCAGACGAGGGCGCGUCGCCGGCAGUGCAGGCGAGGACGGACGAGGUGGAGGGAGCUCUAUGGCUGACGGGACGGGGCGAGCGGGGCCUGGGGAACGGCCGGCGGGACGGGGCGAGCAGGGCCUGGGGAACGGCGGGGACGUCCGCGCCCGACGGGAGAGAGCGAGAGGAAAGGGAGCGGGAGCCCGACCGGAGAGAGCGAGAGAAACGGGAGCGGGACGGGGCGAGGCUGCGAGGUGGCGGUGGCGCACGCUCGGCAGGGUAAACCCUAUCCCCGAGCCGGUCCUCCCGACGCAGGCCUGGGCCGGGACGCGAGCAUGGGGGAGGCCCAGGUGGGCAUCGGCCCACUGCCGGUUAACCUUCUCCAGGACUCGGGAGACGCGGCGGGAGGCCCAGGCCAUCUCGCUAGCUGAGAUGGGCCCAGGCCCCGUUCGCAGCGGCCCAUGGGGAGAGCCGGCCCAUCCGUCCGCCAGCCGGCCAGGGGAGUUAGGGCAUGGGGGAGGGGACUGACGAGGCACUCGGGCACCUCCCGCUGCCGCCGGCACCGCCGCCGCCGCCACAGGAGGCAGGGCACCAGCGCCUGGUCGGGGCUCGCGGGGGCCCUCUCCGGCGACCGCCAUGGGGGACAACCCAGGCAGCAAACCGGCUCGGGCCAAGGAGGGGAGAGGGGGAACCACAGGGGGACAGUGCACCGGCGACCGCCGCCCGACCUCCUUCCCCGGCCGCCGGCGGGCAGGGCGCGCCGCAGCCAGGAACGAGCCGAGCAGCGGCGGUGCCAGGGACACCGGCAGCUCCAACCGGUCAUCACCAUCCGAAGAGGCCUCCAUGUCAUCGGGGUCGGGAUCGUCCGUCCAGUCCGCCCAACGUCGCGGCGACCGUUGGAAGCAGAGGGAGGGCGCCCCCGGCGGGGGAAGCGGGGGCAUCGCGCUCACGCAGCACGCCGGCCGACCGCCGUCAGCGGGCACCGCGCAGCUUCAGGUCUCGGCCCGCCGGAGAGGAGCCGCCCAUCGCUUCUUCUCUUCAGGAAUCUAGUCGCCGGCCCACAAGUGGGGUGAUGAACAAGCUAAUGCGAUUUAAAGUAAUCAUACCUCGUCCUAAGAAAUUAAAAGUGAAUUCAUACUGUGCAGCUAGAAAAAGAAUCAUAAAAGUAUACAAGCGCAUGUGAAAAGAAAAAGAUGAACAACUUGCCACUUCAUAUAGGUGAUCUAAUUAACUAAUUUAGGGUUCGAAUAACUUUGUUUCCCCACAAUCAUGACAAAGUGAACCUUUUGUUGAAAGCCGGAAUUCUGCAAUAAAGCUGCAAUGGUAGAUCUAUUUUUAUCAGGGAAUCUACCAUGCUGAGCUGCUGCACACAAGGCGUUCUCACUCACGAGUCGCAAAAAAGAGUUGGUGAGUUAUUAAAAAAGAAGACAAAGAGGACGAGUGAGUUGCACCAAAAUUAAAUACUUCCUUCAUUUCAAAAUAAAUGUCUCAAUUUUAUACUACCUCUAGUAUAAGAGCAUGGUUAAUAGUAUAGUCAACUGCUGGCUAUAAGCUAUCUUAUAGCCUAUCUUAUAGCUAGCUUGUACAAUAGUUAGCUAUAAAAGAGUACUACUUUUAUUCUAUAUGGCCCACCUUUCAUUUUCACAAAGCACCUACGAGCACGUGCUAGAGCUGGCUCUUUACGAAGAGCCCGCUUCCCUUCUCACUCCUAUUCUCUCUCAUCCAACUCAGCAAAAAUACAGUAUUUUAAUCCUUACAGCCUGCUGACUGUACCUUAUUGUACUUGCUCUAAAGUUGUACUCCCUCCGUUCCAAAAUAUAAGACCUUUUAGAGAUUUAUUAGAAGACUACAUACGAAGCAAAAUGAGUGAAUCUAUACUCUAAAAUAUGUCUAUGUACAUCCGUAUGUAGUUCAUAGUGCAAUCUUUAAAAUGUCUUAUAUUUAGGAACGGAGGGAGUAUUAAGUUUGAGGCGGUUAUAUUGAGACGGAGAGAGUACUAGAUAUACGUAAUCUGAAAUAGUGGAGUACCAAAAUUAUAGGCCUCUAUGAUUAGGAGGAUUUUCAUAAAACAUUUGGAAAGUUGUGAUACUUGAGAAUUUUUCCUUUAUCGCUUAUCUGAUUCGUAGAUUGACUCCUAUAGGAUUUUCUCCUAUGGAUUCCCUUUGACUGCACAUUUCAUGAAAAAAAACAUUAGUUUGCCAUGAUAAUUUUUCACCAGGAUGCACAAAAAAUGAACUAGUUCUGAAAGGUUUAUUGGCUUCAUUUGGAUUUACUUAGAAUCAGCUCAUAUUAGCAAUAAUUAAAGAUGGCCGAACGAUGGCGCCGUCUCCCUCCCGACCCGGGGCCGCAUGCAGCCCCUCUCCCUCUGCCCCCCUCCUCCUGUCGGUGCCCUCGGAUCUGGUCCGGGUGGUGUUGGCGGUGGCGGGAUCUCCAUUACCUGUGCGCGGACGUCCUUCCCGAGGCAGGGGAUCGACGGUGGUGCGGCUCGGCCUGCUGUGGUCCGACGACCUAGAGGUGGUGGCCGGCAGCCGACGUGGUGGUGGCGCUGCUCCUUGGCGGCGGGGUGGCCUAGCGGCACGGGGUGGCCGGCUGCACGACCCCGGGCCAGAUCAGGGCCCAUAAGGCCUCAUCUAGGUCCUAGGGGACUGGCUCUGGCAUGGACUUGCUGCCUCCUGUACAGGGAUGAGGAGGGGCGGGUUGAAAGGGGGGCCGCGAUGCCGACGGUGUGCUUUCUGCAGCGCGAUGGCAGGAGCUUUAUGGGUAUUUGUGGGGCCAUGAGCCUGGUUUGCUCCUGCCGAUGUGUCCGGUCGGUUACUGUCGUUGACGAUGGAAGUCGGACCCUCCCGCAGGCCGCCGGUGUUGCUUCCCCUAGUCCCGACUCUUCUUCUUCGAUGUGCAGGCCUCACUUCUCGGUGUCCUGGUGAGACAGUGUGGGUCGCUUCAAGAUUGUGCUUGCGCAGGGCGGUGGGUGGUAUGGUGGAGUCCUCCGGAACGCCCGUGGUGAUGCGUGGGGAUCGGGACGUACAAAUCCUUGUCGGCCUGUUCGACACCGACACGGUGACGCCUGAGGGUGUCGACGGACCUUCCUGGAGGGUGUCGGGUGCUACCCUUUCUUUGUCCUCGUUGUGUAUCGGGGGAAACCCUUGGCAGCAGCGCAGUCAUCGUCGUGUCCCUUCUUGGAGGUGUUGAUUGGUAUCGGCGCUUCGAAGGCUAGGAUCUUGGUGGAAGAUCUUCGAUGGGCGCAACGAUCGCGGGGCCUCUUCAUUUUUGUCGAUCCAUCAUUGUUGGCAUCUAUUCCUUUUGCAUUUUCUUUUUCCCUUCCUUUUGGACGUGAUUGUGAUGUCUCCGUCCCAGCACUUAUUGAUGGAUAUAUCGGGCAUUUGCUAUAUUAAUAUAGCGAGGCGAACGCGUGCUUCGAAGAAAGAUGGACGAACUUACCAACCAUAUUACUUGUGCUUAUUUAUUUUCUUCUGUUACAACGCACAAACAUAUUUGCUAUUUGAACUAAAUCACAUUGCCAAUUGCUCGUCUAUCAUGUCAAAUCAGAACCACGCAUCUAACCCUCCCAAGAUGUAGAUCGAUCGGUUUUACUCGGCAUUCAUUAUGGAUCGGAGGGAGUACUCCUAGAUCAUAUUCAAAAUUGCUCCACGCCACAAAUAAAACUGCACGGUACAUAUGGUAAAUCUGGGAAAGUGAUUUGCGUGGUAUGUGUGCCAUAAUCAACUGAAUUAUUGGACUAACCGCAUCAAGAUCGGAUCACAUCGAUCCUAUCCCCGUCGACGAGACUGUCCUCGAAUCAAAAUAUUUCUCCAAUGGACGCUCGUGUCCCACGCUCUGAAAGCGACGCCUUUUGUUUUGUCAGUUAAUUUUCACGUCAAGCUCACACCCACGCACGCACCGUGUAGGAUCCACGGCUCGACGCACCUCCCCUUCCCUCCCCUUCUCCCUAUUUAACGAGCUAGCCACCCCCACGCUUUUUGCACCUCAGCAAGCACCAACACACACACACACACAAGAAAUGGCGAUGGCUAGGACGACGACGCUCCUCCUCGUCGCCGCAGCUCUCCUCGCGGCCUCAUGCAGCGCAUGGGAGGUCAACAUCCGCAUGCCGACGUCGGCGGCGGACGUGGACGAGGCGGUGGUGGCGCCGCUGAUCCACGCGCUGCGGCCGCUGCUGGGCUCCGGCAAGCACGCCGGAGUGGCGUGCGACAGCUGGGUGCUGGGGGUGGAGGCGCACAACGUGCGGGACUGGAAGACGGUGCCCGCGAGCUGCGAGGGCUACGUCGGGCACUACAUGCUCGGCAGCCAUUUCCGCCGCGACUCCAAGGUCGUCAUCGACCAGGCCCUCGCCUACGUCGACUCCCUCAAGCUCGCCGGCAACGGCAAGGAGGUCUGGGUCUUCGACAUCGACGAGACCACCCUCUCCAACCUCCCCUACUACGCCAAGCACGGCUUCGGGUACGUACUUACACUCUUGUAUACAUUACAUAGACACUACUGAUUCUACGUGUAGUGCAUGCAUUAGACUUGCUAUUUACUGCAGGUACAUCCGACCGAGCAGGGACUUGCACUCAUCUUUUCACUAAGAUGAAGUGUAAAUAAUCUGACUAGAUAUAUAUUGUAAAAAAUCAACUCACUAGCUAGCUAAAAAAUACCAGCGAGAUCUGUAAUGAAUGAAAAUUGGAAAGCACAUAAGGAUAGAAAUAUUGGAAAUAAAAAGGAAUAUAAUCACUAAGUAGAAAAGUACUUUAAUCACAAGUGUUGGACACUUGGACAUCAUCAUUGCCAGUAGGACUCGGGCCAUAUGUCCCUAGUAUGAAUGGCCAACAAAACAAGAAGGAAACAUACUAUAUUUUGAGAUAGAGAUGUGAUGUUGAUGGGCAUGCGAAUGUGGUGGCCGGGUAGGACCGUAUAUGUUGUCCACUUGGCUACUUUAUGGAAAUGUUCUAAUUAUGUUAUGCUAGUCAACUCAUACUUUCUAAUUAUGUCAUACUUUUGUACACAUACACACUAUUGUAGUGCAUUAUACUCCCUCUCUAUCUAAAUACUUAGAGUUCGAAAGAACUAGGUGCAUUUCAGCAGGGGCUUGCACUGAUCUAUUCGUUCAGAUAAAAUAAAUAUCUUACUAGACCUCGUUCAAAUGAACUCACUAGCUAGAAAGCACUAGUAUCAUAAGAUUUCUAAUGAAUGAAAGUGGGAAAACAAAUGAGACUAGAAGUGGAAACAAGGAAUAUACUCACUAGCUAGAAAAGUAUUAAUUGGACGUGUUGGACACACUUAGGCAGCAUCAUUGCUGGUUACCUCAAAUCAGUCACAGAGACGGCCAUCAGGACCAUAAAUAUGUCCCGCCUAUGAAUGGUCAACAAAACAAGAAGGAAACAUAGUACUAUAGUUUGAGAAUAUGGUGGCCGGGGUAGGACCGUAUAUGUUCUCCACUUGGCUACUUUAUGGAAACGUUUAUUUCCAGCUGUCCUUAUCAGCCGAUACGUUCUAAUUAUGUUAUGCUAAUCGAUUGAUAUUUUCUGAUUAUGUUAUGCUAAACUUAGUUCAGAUGGAUAGUACUCCGAUACGUUUUCAUUAUUUUAUGCUAAUCUGAGUUUAGAUGGAUAUAAUUACUUAUUUUAGAAGAUGUGAGAGGUCAGAACAUCUUGUGCAUAGUUAGUAGUUACAUGCUACUCCCUCCGUUCCUAAAUACAAAUCUUUUAAAAGAUUUCACUAGUGGUCUACAUAUGAAGCAAAAUGAAUGAAUUUAUACUAUAAAAUAUGUUUAUAUACAUUCAUAUGUAUUACUCUAACCUCUAAAAAGAUUUAUAUUUAAGAAUGGAUGGAGUACAACUCUAUUCCUCUUUUCUCAAAUAGUUGAACACUAUUCCUCUUAGUUAAGAAGAUUCUCUUGAACCAAGAUGGAAACUAACUUGAAAUGUAGUAGAAGUCUAGGUGAUAUCUAGCCAACAUGAUGAUACCAGUUUAGUUCAAAACAUGAUUAACUAGCUCCGGAUAGCUUGCUUGUGUAUAUUUUGAAUGUGAUGAGGGAGCUAGUUCGUUGUGAUUUAAAAUAAACUGUACCUUGCCGUAAGAACUUUAAAGUGGAUCUACACUGGGCGGCUGGAAAAAGAUACAUAAAAGUAUAUAUAUGCGCAUCAAGGAAAAAAGAAAGAUCAAAAGCUUAUAACAGCAUGUCUAACUAAUCGAGCGGUUCAAAUAACUUUGUUUCAUCACAAUCAUGACAAAAUUAACCUUUUUUGUUGAAAGUCGGAACUCUGCAAUAAGGUUGCAAUGGUAGACCUAUUUUACCAAAGGAAUCAACAAAGCUGAGCUGCUGCGUACAAAGCUGUGCACGAUGAGAUUAAAUACUACAACUGCGUUUUCGGUCCAACAAAACAGUAGCGUGAUGAUGCCGGAGUGAACCUCGCUAUGUCACAUUCAUUGAUUUACUCCACUUGACCAACUUAAUUUACGACGUCCACAACUACGUACUGCUCAUGCACGUGCGUUACGUACAGAUACAGAGCAUCAUUGCGUUUACGUAUUGCCCAUCCCCUUGGCCAUUUGGCCACUUGGGCCAUAAUCUAGGUUGCCUAUGUUCCUUGGAUAUGCAUAAUUACUACUACUUCUUAGUAGCUGAUAUGAUUGAAUCUGCCAUUAAUCUAUCCUCGUAUACAUGUGCGUGCAGGGCUACACCGUUCAACGCGACCAGCUUCAACGCAUACGUGCUACAGGGGAGCGCGCCAGCCCUGCCGGAGACGAAGCGGCUGUACAACAAGCUGCGCUCGAUCGGCGUCAAGCCGGUGUUCCUCACCGGCCGGACUGAGGACCAGAGGGCCAUCACCGUCACCAACCUCCGCCGCCAGGGGAUCUCUGGGUGGAUGAACCUCUUGCUGAAGCAACCCGGGUUCAAGGGCUCUGCGGUGACCUACAAGUCCGGCGAGAGGCAGAAGCUGCAGGACGCCGGGUAUGUCAUCGUCGGUAACAUCGGCGACCAGUGGAGCGACAUCCUCGGCGCGCCAGAGGGUGCCCGCACCUUCAAGCUGCCCGACCCCAUGUACUACAUCGGCUAGGCCGCCUCUGGCUCGGCCGGGCAUGCUGCCAUUGAUUUCUCGAAUAAGCUCCAUGCUCUUAGUUAUAUGCAUGUUUCGUCAGAUAAUCAAUCCCCAAUUGUUGCUUGGUUCAUUUCCAUUGUUGAGAGCUUGAGAUCAAUUGCUACUAUGAAUUAGACGUGUAAGUGGAGAUGUUGCAUGCUGCUUAAUCAAUGGAUCUUUGUUAUGUUGUUUUUCUUUUUGCUCUAUUACAAGGAAUCCAUGGGCAUUAUUACUAUUUGAUAUCUUGUUCUUAAGUCUUAACUUGGAACUUAUAUUGCUGGUGGUAGAUUUUUCUGUACUAAAUUCUGCAUAUGGUGUAUUAAAUAUCAGGGACACAUAAUAUUGUCACACAUAUGGAAUCACUACUGCUAAAAUGACCAGUUCCUGAACCCAUCUGCUAUUGGGCCCAUUUUGGCCCGUCGGAGGAAGGGAUCAUCGUCGGUGGACAGGCAAAGAAGUGCUCGCAUAGACUCCUUCAAAAAAUGUGCCCUCAUAGACGACGGGUAUUUUCCACUGAUGUUGCGCAACUGGUGAUUGCAAUGUAGUUUGUGUCUUGCAUGUUGUAUGCAUAUGUAAUGAAUGUAACAUCUAAUAGUUAAUUAUGCAAGACAAAUAAAGCCCACCCUUUUCAGUAAGUUUAGAGCUAGAUUUGAGUUUGUCUUGGUCUCAUUUUUCUAAACAUACAAUCCUGGAGACAACUCGGUGAAGAAAUGAUGGUCCAAAUAGGUGUCUAACACGAAUCGUCAUCAAAGAAACCCUAUGGGAACCCACACUAUUCUAGUUACUUGGAUGAUUUGUAAUGAAAGAAAUAUAUGUGUCUUCCAAGUUAUUUUGACCAUGCCAAACAACAUCCCUGCUAAGAUAAAAAACGAUGUGGAGACUUGGAUAAAGGCCGGGCGAAGGAUCUGGGAAACAUUAUGCCAGGAGAGUAGUUCCGUUCUAUUAAUUUAUCCUUGGAUGACGUUUCGCGGAGAGAGGGGAGAGGGCGACCUGGGCGAUCUGGGAGCGUCGGGGGCCGCCGUGGGCAUCGUCGGAGAGGGGGAACAUCGGUACUCCUCCUCCGAUCUCGCAUCCCAGGCGCGGCGCCGGAGCCCGAUCUCGGCGGUGGAGGGACCUACUGUCCGUGUCCGAUGGAGAGUUGCGUACUCAGAGGCUGGUUAUUCGGAUCUGCGUGAGGGGCAGAUUGUUUUUCAUUCGGUUUCUCGUUGGAUGACACUACGGGAUGACGACGACGACAUCCUCGCCGGCUGCCAUCUCCAAGAGGAAGAUCUCAUCUGCGAAGGUGCGCAUUUCAUGGUGGAUAUCUUUUCUGUUACUUGUAUUUCUCCUUUCCUGCAGGUGAAUUCACAAGAACGGAUGCAGCCUGAUUUGGUGGACAUAUCUGACGAUGAUAAGAUCGCCUCACCAAGACUUCUCCCUCGAGUUGGGGGGAGGUUUUGGGUACUGGCUAAAGAUGAAGACGACGAGAACCACGACAUUGCCGUAGCACAGGAGGUCUCUGCUCCUUUCUGCGACCAGGUUUUCCAUCCGGCCACGAGGGAUUUUAUUCAUGCAUUGCCUGAUUCGAAGGUCGUUAAGGUAGUUCAACGCAAGGAGCGAUUGGCGAUUAAACCUUGGAGCGGUCCUCUGCCUAAGGUUCAUCUCGAACCAUUGCGGAUCUCGGACAUCAUACCUUGAGAGGCUUGGACUACUGUUUUGCCUAAGAGGAAGAACAAGGGUAAGAGCCGUAAAUUGCAGACGUCAGUCCCUGACAAGGUGCUGUCGUCCCGUGAUUCUCGCGAAUUACGUUUGAACGAGCCGAUGGCUGUUGUCGGGCCGUUGGGACCGGCGCUCGAGUUGGGCUUAAAAGAAACUGGGUAUAUGGCCCAGAUAGACUCCAAUCUAGCAAAACCUGCAAGUCCUACACCUACGGCUGCCCAGAUUUGCCUUGACGAGAAUCAUCAGGACUUGGUUUCUACGUCAAGUUUGCAUAUACCGAGUUCGGCUCUGCCUAGGGUUCCACGACGGCGUUUGCCUGGCUUCCCUUCGCUCGGGCCGGGUCGUGCAGUACGGGUUCCAGCGCUGCGGUGCAUGGCGGGGCGGGGAAACAAGCAGGCGCUGCCUCCCCCUCGACCACCGGCGGUUUCCCAGGCUGUGGGGCGGACUAGGCAGCAGCCCGUGAUGCCGCCAGGGCGCCAGACGGGCCAGGCUUCGGCUGCACCGGUUCCCGCUGCUGGUCAGGGUUUGCCCAACGCGGCUCGGGCGGAUACUAACAGGAUGCAGCCGAGAGGUCGAUGGGGGGAUGAUGGUGUUAAUGCAUAUGGUGAUGGACAGCACCGUGGAUCCUCUUCGUCUGGAGGAGGACGUGGCUAUGCCUGGCAGAGCAAUGGCAGCGCUGCUAAUGGGUUCGCCGGUCCUCCGGGACAGUUUGUGCCCCGGGUCUCGGGUCCUACUCACCCUAGGGAGGUGGAUAUAAGCAACAUUGGGGAGGGAGAGGUGGUGGCAGGAGAUUGAAGCCGCCCACGCCUCCAGUAGAGGUAGAUGCUGCCAAGACAACGGCGGGAGUACCUUCCAAUGCUCCUAAGGGGAAUACACUGCUGCCACCUGUUUCCGAGGAGGAUCCUUCCUUGGCUGACAAGGGAGUAUCGCUUGCGAAGGCAGAGGGGGGGGGAUAGGCCCUCCAAGUGGGCACGCAAAAAAGAAAAGAUGACAUGCUACCGUUGCAGUGAGACGGGUCAUUUUGUUUCCGAAUGCAGCGCGGAUCUGUGUGACUUUUGCUUAAAGCCUAAGCAUGGCUCAGCUAAGUGCCCCCUUACUGUUGGUCCUAUACAUGUCGUCACUUUAUAUGGGGUUUGCUGCCAAGAGUUGAUGUUCUUUGAAUCUCCCUCUGCUUCAACGUCGUUGCAUGUGCCAGACGCGGCCUAUACGGGGACGGUUACGGUGGCUCGUGGUAAUAUGUCAGCUGAGCAGGUGGUGCAACAGUUGAGGGAUCUUGUUUCAUCAAUGUUUCGGUGGGAACUGGUCCUUAUAGCAGAUAAUGUGUUCAAGGUUGUGUUCCCUACCAAGGAGGACCUAGCUAGACUGCUCAAGUUUGGUAUGUGUCGGGUUCCUAGUACUAGUUGUGUGCUAGAGUUCGAUGCUUGGAAGAAUGAGGAGCCAUAAGGUGUGCCACUUCCUCAGAUUUGGGUUCGUUUUUCAGGGGCCCCGUCAAAGGCUCUAAAUGACUUUCUGGUGACUUGGAGUUUGGGAUCUUUGAUAGGUAAGACUGAGAGGGUGGAUAUGCAAUAUACUCGGGCUAAAGGUGUUGCCAGGAUGAGGGUUAGUGUAAUUGAUAUUGCGCUAGUACCGGAUGAAGUUAUAUGGACUUAUGAUGGAAUGCGGUACACCUUGCAACUCGAGAUCGAGAGUCCGGAUAUGUUCGAGGAGGAUGGGACAGACAAAGAUACCGAUAUGGCUGACGGAGAUGAUGCUUCGGGUUCUAGGGAAUCUGAUAAGAAGGAUCAACAGCCAGUUAUUACAAAGAUGGUGGAUCAACCUACCUCAGGUUCUGCUACAGGGGCUGCUCAACCAGUGUCUCUUCCCUCGACGCAGCUUAGGUUCGGUUCCUUUGAACCAGCCUCGGCGCCAGAGAUUCGAGGGAGGGCUUCAGAGAAGUAUGAGCGGGAUCUGGUUCAUCUUAAGCCGCAAGGAAAGCAAGCAAAGUCAGGGUCAUUCAGUAUUAAAAAUCCUAAGGAAGCUUUGACCGUAGUUUCUCUUGGGGAAUAUUUUGUUGUCGCUAGGAAUGCUGAUACGGGCCGGUCUCAGCAACGUGAUGCAGUGCAGCCAGCAAGGCAUAUGUUGUCCGGGUUGGGUACUGUGCCGAGGGGUGCGCCGCCUGGGUCGCCUAGGCAGGGUUCGCUGCUGCUGUAGAGUCCAUCGCCAGCCACCCAGGGGGUUGCUGUUUCUCGGCCAGCCACCCCUGGGGCUGCUACCUUUUUGCCAGCCACACCGAGGGCAAUUACAGCGACUCCUCCUCCUGGCCUACUUCCGUCGUUGGAUGCUGCUGCGAGAUCCACCCCUGCUGCUGGUUUCAUGUCAGCCGAGAGAUCAACCCCUGUUGCUGCGGUUCCUAUCGCUACUAUGGCUGCAACCGGGGCAUCAUCUUUGCGGGUGUCAGGGCUGGAGGGUACUGGUCAGGGGCACCAUGGCGAGGUCGUUGCACCGCCGUCUGUUGAGCAGGUCAUAGCAUACGGAGGUAUUCAAAGUCCGCUGACUUCGGACAGGAGGUCCAGUCGGCGAAUUCAGAAUCAACCUGAUGCGGAUUAUUUACAGAUGGGACGUGCUAUGCGUGCGGCUAAAAUGAGAGAUGUCGAAACUGAGACAGGUAUGUCUUUCAGCAUUAACGAUUCUAUUCUUCAUUUUUCUCCUCAAGAUAUUCUAGAUAAGGCAGGUUCUAUUGGGGUUACAUUGGGGAACAAUGGCCGAGAAAUUUCGAAAUCUAUUAAUGAUCUAUUAGACUUAGAGGUCGAUAGAGCGUUAGACUUAGUACGAAAUUUAGCGGCAGUUAAACCAAUGCAAGAGUCUGAAGUUAACGAUCUAGGGGGACUGAAUUCUCUUUGUGAUAGUCUGGCCCCGUCAGUGGAUAUAGAGGAUGGUGCGGGCGAGGUUUUAGUUGGUCAAGGGAUGUGUGCCCAAUCUCAUAAGGCUGAGCCUCAAUUCUCUGGUUAUAUGGACCAGGAGUUGCUGGAAAAGCCGAAGCGUCCAUGGAGACGGAAAGUGUAUCCGGUCUCUGCGAUACGUAGAAGUGCUAGAUUUAAGAUUGCCAAAAAAAAUUAUGAUGAUUAAUGAGAGGAAUUUUUUGGAAUAGCAGAGGUCUUUGAGACUUGGCUAAAAGAAGAUUUCUAGCAGAGGCUACUUUAGAGCAUCACCUUGAUUUUAUCGCAGUGAUGGAGACAGGGAGGGAUAACUUUACGUCUCAUUUUUUAAGUUCUCUAUCAGCUGGGGUGGAUUUUGACUGGCACUGUCUCCCUCCAAGAGGAAGGUCCGGUGGGAUCUUACUUGGGGUCCGUUGUGACACUUUUCAAGUGCGGGAGGUGGUGUUUGGGGAGUUUGCAGUCAAAUUCAAGAUUAGAUCUAAGGAUGACGGGUUCCAAUGGGCUCUCGUUGCCGUCUAUGGCGUAGCACAGCCAGAUCUAAAGCCUGAUUUCCUAGCAGAUCUGGUCAGGAUUUGUGAUGACAAACUACCAUUGCUGGUAGGUGGAGAUUUUAAUAUUAUUAGGCGGGCUGAUGAAAAAAGUAGUGUUAAUUUUGAUGGAAGAUGGCCUUUCAUGUUUAACACAAUUAUUGAGAGCUUAGAUAUGAGGGAGACCGCUCUAUCAGGUAGGAAAUAUACCUGGGUGAAUGCUCUACAGAAUCAGACAUUUGAAAAGUUGGAUCGUGUCUUAACUAGUGUAGAGUGGGAGCAGAAGUUCCCUCUAGUAACUGUUAGAGAACUUCAACGCGCAAUCUCGGAUCAUACUCCUCUGUUGCUGGAUUCCGGUGAGGCUAGCCAUAUAGGAAACAAACAUGGAUUCUCUUUUGAAUCAAGUUGGUUCACAAGGGAGGGGUUCAUGGAUAUGGUCGAGAGGGAAUGGAAUACAGAGGUCAGGGGCGAAACCUCUAUAGAAAGAUGGCAGUAUAAGAUUAGACAUCUUAGACAGUAUUUGAGGGGCUGGUCUAAGAAUGUGUGUGGAAUAUAUAAAGAAGAGCAAGAUAAGCUCCUCAAACUUAUAGACAAUCUAGAUCGGAAGGCUGAGAGUUGUCUUCUGGAUGCUAACGAAAGGGAUCUCAAAUUCGAGGCCGGACAGCGCUUGCGUAUUCUCCUAAGAGAGGAGGAAAUGAAAUGGGCGCUUGAGCCAAAGUGAAGGCCAUAGUUCUUGGAGACAAUAACACUAAAUUUUUCCACUUGAUUGCAAAUGGCAAGCAUAGGAAAAAGAAAAUAGUGCAGCUUGAGCAAGAUGAGGGUACAAUACUAGGUCAUGAGAAUCUAAAAUUGUACAUCUCUAACUACUACAAACAUUUAUUUGGUGCUCCUGAGCAUAGCUUUGUGACUAUGGAUGAGCAAAAAGUGGCGGAUAUUCCUCAAGUUGGAGAGGCUGACAAUGAGAUUUUAUCCGCUCCUUUCUCAGAGAAAGAGGUGUUUGACGCGAUAGGGAAUAUGAAGAAUGGAAAAGCUCCCGGUCCAGAUGGGUUUCCGGCGGAGUUUUACAAGCACUGUUGGCAUAUUAUUAAGAAUGAUCUUAUGUCAAUGUUUGCUGAUCUUUUUAGUGGUCACCUUCAACUCUUCCAUUUGAAUUUUGGUACUAUUACACUCUUACCAAAGAAGGAAGGGGCCACGCGGAUUGAACAGUUUCGUCCGAUCUGUUUGUUGAAUGUUAGCUUCAAGAUUUUCACAAAGGUGGGAACAGAUAGGUUGACUAAGAUGGCCCAUUCGGUGGUACAAUCUACGCAAACAGCUUUUAUGCCAGGACGGAAUAUCCUUGAAGGAGUCGUUGUCUUGCAUGAAACUCUUCAUGAAAUGCACUCGAAGAAACUAGAUGGGGUUAUCUUUAAAGUGGAUUUCGAAAAAGCUUACGAUAAAGUCAAAUGGUCGUUUCUCCAGCAAACCCUACGUAUGAAGGGUUUCGAUGAGCUGUGGCGUAGGCACGUCGAUUGUUUUAUAAAGAAGGGAAGUGUGGGUGUCAAAGUGAAUGAUGAUGUGGGUCAUUUUUUCCAGACACUAAAGGGUCUCCGCCAAGGAGAUCCAAUGUCUCCCAUUUUAUUUAACAUUGUUGCUGAUAUGUUGGCACUGCUGAUUAAGCGGGCCAAUGAGAAGGACCUUGUAAGGGGCUUGAUCCCUCAUCUUGUUGAGGGGGGGAGUCUCCAUUUUACAAUAUGUGGAUGACACGAUUCUUUUUUUGGAGCAUGAUCUCAGUAAAGCCAGGAACCUCAAACUUAUCCUAUGCUUAUUUGAACAGCUAUUAGGGCUGAAGAUAAAUUUUCAUAAAAGUGAAUUGUUUUGCUUUGGAAAGGCCAAGGAUGAGCAGCUCACGUAUAAUCAAUUGUUUGGUUGUGCUAGCGGGAGUUUACCUUUUACUUAUUUAGGGAUCCCAAUUCAUCACAGAAAAUUAUCAAAUAAGGAUUGGAAAUGUAUCGAGGACCGUUUCGAAAAAAGUUGAGCUGUUGGAAGGGCGAGCUCUUAUCGUAUGGAGGAAGGUUGAUACUGGUUAAUUCAGUAUUAACAAGUAUGCCUAUGUUUCUCCUAUCCUUCUUUGAAGUACCUGUUGGGGUACGGAAAAGGUUGGAUUUCAAUCGAUCACGGUUUUUCUGGCAAAGUGAUGAGAUCAAGACUAAAUACAGACUCUCGAGAUGGGACAUCAUGUGUAGACCUAAGGAUCAAGGAGGUUUAGGGAUUGAAAAUUUAGAGAUUAAAAAUAAAUGUCUACUCAAUAAAUGGCUGUCUAGAUUAUCUAUGGAGACAAAGGGGUUGUGGGUACAAAUUCUGACGAAUAAAUACCUACAAAACAAGACUUUGGCGCAGGUUACAUUGAGACCAACUGAUUCACCGUUCUGGAAGGGGGUCAUGCGGUCUAAGAAUGCUUUUUUUCUCAGGUCUAAGUUUGUUAUUGGCAAUGGCCAAUCUACUAGAUUUUGGGAGGAUACUUGGUUGGGGGAGACGCCUUUAGCCAUGCAGUAUCCGCAACUCUACCAUAUUACACAAAGGCGUCAGGCGACUGUUGCGUCAAUUUUGCGCCAGGUUCCUCUAAAUAUUCAGUUAUGUAGAGCCUUAAUAGGUAACACAUGGUCAAGCUGGCUGCAUCUAGUGAGAAGGUUGUUGGAUAUUACCCUUACUGAGAACCCUGAUAGUGUUCGUUGGAAGUUGACCACUGAUGGAGUUUUCUCGGUAAAAUCUAUGUAUUUAGAUCUCAUAGAUUCUGUGUCCAUCCCGAAGUCCUUACAUAUUUGGAAGGUCAAAGUUCCACUUAGAAUUAAGAUCUUCAUGUGGUUUGUUCGCAAGGGGGUUAUUCUAACUAAGGAUAAUUUGGUCAAACGUAAAUGAAAAGGUAAUACUAGAUGCAGUUUUUGUGAGAACGAUGAAACAAUUAAACACCUCUUUCUGGACUGUCCUAUGGCUAAACUUCUAUGGCGAACACUUCUUAUUACUUUCAACAUUAAGCCACCCAAUAGUUUAAACACGUCAUUUGGGACGUGGUUAAGAGGGGUCGAUGAUAUAACUGCUAGCCUGAUCCGAGUAGGAUCAUGUGCACUUCUGUGGGCUACAUGAAACUGUAGAAAUGACUUGGUAUUUAACAAACAUCAACAUAUUCACUUUUUGCAGGUCAUUUUCAGGGUUAUUGCCUUGAUCCGCACAUGAUCAUUACUCACUCCUGUGGAAGCCAGGGAGCCUAUGGUUACUGGGUGUGUCCGAUGGAAGAUGGUAGCUCAGGUUAUCUUCAACCGUUUUGGAUGACGGCAUAUUAAUAGGAUAGGUGUUUAGUCAUCUAGGCUUAUUUCAAUGCCUCCCGGUUGUGGCGACGACGCCGUGUAUCUUUUUGUUAUUUUCUUCAUUUACUUAUCUGAAGACUCUUUGUACUUUUCGAGGAUUUGGUUUUGAAAUAAUAUAUGGCCGUAUGCAUCCUUCGAUGCCGAGGCCGGGGCUUUGCCUCCUUUUCAAAACAAAAAAAUUUAAUUUAUCCUUUCAUUGUUAACCCCUUUUUUGGACUGCAGUUAUUCUAACUCUCUUUUAAGUAAUGUAAUAAGGCAUAUCUUUUUCCUCCAUUUCGAGACAAAGUUCGGACCUAGCACAACUGUAACAUCCGCUCUACAUCGACUCACUCUAGAGAGACUAGUCUUGGCACCUUUUGCAGAACAUGAUUAGUGUCCUGACAUGGAGUAUUUUAGCAUAUAAUGGUCAACUCUCAAGCACAUAUCACUUCAAAUUGCAUUGCUGAAAAAGAACAUACACUUGCACGUUUUUCGAACUUUCACGCAACAAUAAAGUAACUCAAUGAAAUAUUAUGAUACACUCAAAAACAAUAAUAAGCACUCAACAAAAUAUCAACAGUUUUAUUUUGAUGGACGUAGUAGGACUGUAUCUGUUGUCCACUUGGCUACUUUAUCAACAUAUUUAUUUCAACCACCCUGAUCAACAGACAAUAUCUAAGUAUGUUAUGCUAAUUGAGUUAAAAUGGAUAAUCCUUAUUUUAUAAGAUGCAAGGAGUCGAAACAUAUUGUGAUUAGUUGCAUGCUACUAGCCUACUACAACACUAUUGAUCUUAGUUAAGAAGAUUAUCUUGUGAUUAGACGAAGUCUAGAUCAUCUAGCCAAGUAUGAAAAUAUUUAAAGGAGCGUGUGGAUACCUUUUCUUCUUUAAUAAAGGAAAAAAAAUUGUGUAUAUAUGCGAGUCUGAAAACAAAGAAAAGAAAGAUGGACAGCUUAUCACAGCUUCACAUAUGUCAUCUACUCCCUGCGUUCCUAAAUAUAAGUCUUUUAAAAGAUUUUACUAAAAGACUAUAUAUGAAGCAAAAUGAAUGAAUCUACAUUUUAAAUAUAUCUAUAUACAUUCUUUAGAAAGACUUAUAUUUAGGAACGGAGGGAGUAAUAGCUAAUUGAGGGGUUCAAAUAACUUUGUUUCGCAAUAAUGAUUGAAAAUCAACCUUUUGUUGAAAUCCGAAACUCUACGUACGGUAGACCUAUUUUUAUCAAGGGAAUCAACAAAGAUGAUCUGCUACAUAAAAAUGCGCGUAUGGUCACUCACGAGCCACAAGGACGAUGCUUGAGUAGUGAUGAGUGAGGUGCACGAUGAGAUUAAAUAUUCCAACUAGUGUAACCGAAAAGUAUAGUAAGUUAGACAUCGUUCUUGGUCCACGAAAAUAGUGGCGUGAUCGAUGACAUCUUGAUGCCGGCCGGAGACUAGGAUCUGGCUGUUUGAUAGGGUACCAAUUAAUUUAUACCCUCCACUUGGCCAACUUACUUCAUCACCAGUCGAUAACUGUAUACGCAUUGUUCCAUAUUCAUGCAUGCACGUGCUUACAGCCCAAGAGCAUUGGGUUUAGCUGGUGCUGUCUGAUCCGCUUGAACUCGUAGAAAAAGGGCCUUUGGCCUGGACCCUUUAGUCCCAGCCUGUCUUUCGGUCGGAACUAAAAGCCGGCCACGUCAUCCCAAAUUAUCAGUUUAACCCGCUUGGCCACCAUUUAUAUCAUUAAAAAACCUCAAAUUUGUAGCGGGGUGAGUUUACAUGUUACCUUGGAUCGCCAUUGUUUUUUUGGCCCUGCGUGUAACGACGAUGGCCGGAGUAGGCUCGUGCAGAUUAGUCCUCCUCUUGGUAAUUAAGGAGUAUAUAUCCACUAGCUAGUGUCUGACAUUCAGAACCUCCACUCGAUGGCCAGAGUAUUUGAUAUUUAUACUCUCCUCUUGGUAAUUAAGGAGUGCAUAUCCACUAGCUAGUGAUCUAAACGUUUCUAUAUUAAUUUAUGGAGGAAAUAUUUAAUAAGGUUAUUACCCAACAUUACAGGCGCCAUCCGAUAAACCAUAUCACUUUUUUUUGCGAGGACCUAAACCAUAUUCAAAAUGCAGAAUUACUGGCACGUGGUGUAGUUUACGGAUCGAGCCUCCUCCUUCGUGGGCACCAUAGUAGUCAUGCAAGACAUCGUAGUUAUAUAGUGGUCAAGUGUGAGUUAUGAUUGCUUGUAUAUUUUUUAUGCGAUUUAUGAGUCAAUAAAAGUGCUUUUAUUGAGAAAUGUAUCUAUAUUGAUUAUUGUUGAACCUGCCAUUAAUGUAACUAUUUACACAUGUGCGGGGCCAUGCCGUCCAACACGAGGAGCUUCAAAGCGUAUGUGUGGGAGGGGAGUGCGUCGAUGCUGCAAUGACGAACUGCUCUUGGUCGGCGUCCAGCCGGUGUUCCUCACCGGCCAGACCGAGGACCAUAGGGACAUCAUCGUCACCAACCUCCACCGCCCGAGUUCAAGGGCUCCACGGUAACCUACAAGUCUCAUGAGAGGCAGAAGUUGCCGACGACCUGGUAUGUCAUCGUGGGCACCAUUGAUGACCAAGGGAACGACAUCCUGGGGGUAUCCGGUGGGGGGCACACCUUCAAGUUGCCCGACCACAACGGCUAGGCUACAUAGAGAUCGGCCAUGCCUUGAUUGAUUUCUUGAGUAAGCUCUAUGCUUUCAAUUGUAUGCAUGUUUAGUAAACAAUCCCUCCCUAGUUGUUGCUUUGUUCAUUUUCAUUGUCGAGAACUUGAGAUCAAUAGUUAGUAUUUAUAAGACGUGUUACGCUAAAAGUUGCAUGCAACAUAAUCAAUGGUUUGUUGGUUUUAUUGUUUCUCUCUAUUACGAGAUCCAUGGGCUAUAUUGUUGUUUGAUGUAUUGUAAUUCUUAACUUGGAUCUGUAAUAUUGAUCAUGGUGUACUUUUUAACUAAAGAUUGUUGAUGGUGGAAUUAGUAUGAAAGGUACAUAGUGCUGUCACACAUAGGGUGUCACUACUCCCAUUUUGGCCCAACAGAAGGAAGGGUCAUCAUUUACGGGUCACCAGACUGCGUUAGUAUAGAGGCAACAAGGUAUUUUAACCAUGCCGAACAUCAUUAUUGUGAAGAUUAAAAAUGAGGCGGCAACUUGGGUCAAUUUUUGGGGUGGAGGAUUUGAGAAACACUAUGCCCCGUGAGAAACUCCGCUAUAUUAUUUAAGUCUUUCGUUUUUAGCCUCUCUUUUUUCGGCAGCGGUUCUUCCAACUCUCCUAGUAAAUAGAAAGGGGGAAAGAAAAUCUUUUGCCUCCAUUUUGAAAAAGAAAAGGUUGAGACUAACAUCCCUUUCCAUCGACCCACUCUAGAGAGUGUCUCCAACCUUGUUUUCUUGGCCCUUUUGCAUGACAUGAGUAGUGUCCUAACAUGGACUCCUUGAUGUGUAACGCUCAGCUCUCCUGACCAAAUCGCUUAGAAUUACAUCACACGCAAAAGUUAUAUACUUUUGCAUGUUUUUCGCACGUCAAUGCAACAUUAAAAAUUUCAAUGAAACAUUAUGAUACAUUUUGAAACAAAAAAGAACUCAGCAAAACAUACUGUGGAAAUAGAAAAUUUUUGCCAACAACUAAAAAAACGCAGUCAUCAAUUUAGCCGCAACAAAAAUAAGAUGUUAGAAGUCAGAACAUCUUGUGCAUGAUUAUAUGCUAUAGGACUAUUCAUUAGAGAAACUAGUUGGGUAAAACUUUCUCCUUUUUCCGAAUCUCCUUUUUAAUGUGGGGAAAAAGCUAAUGCAUUGUGGUUUAAAGUAAAUAUUACAUCGGCCUGGGAAAUUUAAAAUGAAUCUAGACUGGACGGCUACAAAGAGAACCAUAAAAGUAUUCAAGCACGUCAGAAGAAAAGGAAAGAUAAAAUUCAAAAAAGAAAAGAGAAAAGGAAAGAUGAACAACCUAUCACUUGCCUCAUAUCUUUACCUAAUAAUAAAGAGGCUAUUGCUUCCGUCGAAAAACCCACCGCUGCCGUUUUUUAAAAAGCCCCCUGUCUUUUAGGUAAUUAAACCCGCAGUACCUUUUUAUGUGUUACGAACAUGAAAACGUUUCAUUUUUGCAGGGAGCCUCCCAUGGCAUUGGAUAAGAGAAACGCAUCUGGGCUGACGAAAACGCACGAGAGGGCUAUCGCUUCUGCCCUCAUAAUCCCACAUCGAUACUUCACAGAUAAUUUCAUCACUUUAUAUACAUGCGCCUUGGUGAUUUUACAAGAGGCAACGGAAAUCAAGAGAGGAACAAAUUCGAGAAGAAGAAAUUGAGAUGACGCAAACAGAGGUGGAGCUGCGAGACAGAGGGGGCUCGGGGCGAAGGAAAGGGUCGGGCGCCGGCGAUGCAUACGUGGAGGUGGGGGCGUCGGGGUUAGAGGAUUCAGGCAACCGGCGGGGUAAGUCUUGCCGGAGACUGGCCCCAUAGGCCGACCUCGCAGCAGCACACCAUGGGAGGUGGUCGCGAGGUGCAGAGGUGGGAGGCGGUGGAGGAGCGGAGGAGGAGGCGAGUGCGGGCGCCAUUGGAAGGGGGGAGUCGGGGAGAUUGGGGAUCCUGUGGGGCUCUCUCCCCUAGCGGCGCGAGGUGGAGGAGAGGAGGGGGGCUGGGGAUCGGGCUAGGUUAGGGGAUUUAGGAGUGGGUAAGGCUAUGCCUUGGCACGCCUAAUGGGUUGUGCACUACUACUCAUCUCUCUUUCCUUUAAUUUCUUUAUCUAAAUUCUUUAAUUAAAAAUAUGUGGUAUUAUUUUUUUUCCGUUGCAACGCACGGGUCCUUUUGCUAGUAUCAUCUAACAAAUCGAGGGGUUCGCAUAGAUCUGCUUCGCCACAUAAUAAUAUAAUCAUGACAAAAGGCUACCUUCUGGUGAAAGCAGAAGCUCUGCAAUAAAGCUGCAAUCGUAGACCUAUUUUAUGAAGGGAACCAACAAAUCGAGCUGCACAAUCCAAUUAAAUACUAAUUCCUCCGUUCCUAAAUAUAAGAUUUUUUAAAGAUUAUAUUAUGAACUACAUAAAAAGAAAAAUGAAUGAAUCUAUAUUUUAAAAUAUGUUUAUAUACAUUUGUAUGUAGUUCAUAGUUAAAUCUAUAAAAGGUCUUAUAUUUAAAAACAGAGGGAGUAUAAGUACUGAGUAAGUUUGACAUUUGUUCUUGGUCCAACAAAACAGUCGUGUGACCCAUGACGAAGCGGCGAUGCCGGAGUUGGAUCUCACUGUCUGAUAUUUAUCGAUUUGUGCCCUCCACUUGGCCAGCUUAAUUGAUCACCAGUCUCUUUCAUUGACAAUUAGUGCUGCUCAUACACGUGCGUUGCAUACAGAUGAUAUAUUGGGUUUAGGUACGGCUGUCUGAUCCACUUGGCCACCUUCUCACUAGAAAGCUCAAGUUUGCAGCGACGAGUUUGCAUGUUACUACAUUGGAUCGCCGUUGUUUAGCCCUGCGUGUGUGAUGAGGGGCGGAGACCCGGAGCAGACCCGUGCAGAUUCGUAUUCCCUUGGUUAUGUUUUAUUCUGUAUAUUAGGUUUGUAUAAUGUAAAACCUAAAUUUGCUUCGCCACAUAAUAUAAAAUAAUAUAAUCAUGACAAAGGCUACCUUCUGGUGAAAGCAGAAGCUCUGCAAUCAAGCUGCAAUCGUAGACCUAUUUUAUGGAGGGAACCAACAAAUCGAGCUGCACAAUCAAAUUAAAUACUACUCCCUCCCUUUUUAAAUAUAAAAACUUUUAAAAAUUAUACUAUGAACUAUAUAAGAAACGGAAUGAGUGAAUCAAUACUCUAAAAUACUCCCUCCGUUCUAAAAUAGGUGUCUUAACCUUAAUACAAUUUUGUACUAGAUCUAGUACAAAGUUGAGACAAUUAUUUUAAGACAGAGAGAGUAUGUCUAUAUAUAUUUAUAUGUAGUUUAUGUUGGCUUUGGAUCCGUAGAUUAAUUCACCCAGUAGCUACCACAUACGUGCAAGCUAGCCUCUAAGCUAGCAAGCAGGCACACAAGUGGAUGGAUAUCCAAUUCGUAGAAAUAGAACGACGUACGACGAGCUAGCUAACUGAUUCGAUCGUCUUGACUGCUCGGAAUGUAACUCGUUGAAAAACUGAUCGAUGGAUUGCUAACAGGCUCGUAUCGAGCCUGGUACUUUUUUAUUGCGUUUUGAUCUCUGGUGUUACAAGCAACAUCUCUAGGAUGCCUUUUAUACACAUCCACAAGGAACUAUGAAAAUAGACUAGGACUAGGUAUCCUAAUACUACUAGAACUCGGUUUGAUUUUCUUUCCUAAUCCUAUGUGUACAAGGCAACGUGAUUAACUCACAUUCACCCCCUAAUCACGAUGUCCUUACUUCCGACCUGGGUCCCAAACACGAUUGCUGCUUCUCAUAAAUGUUAUCAUCGACAUGGCCUUUGUCGUCCCUUGCAACAUUUUAUGGACCGUCUUUACUGUCGUCGGCUCGUCCGUAGCUCGAUGACAACACUCCUUUUUGGUCGUGUCUUCAAUCUUCAUCUCUUCUUCGGUGCUUUGUAGACUGUCCUUCGGAUCAUCGAGGGUACAUCUUUUGAACCUGAGCGUGACCAUACUUUGGUCUAACUUUGAAUUUCAAGCUCUUGGCGCUUGCAUCAGCCCGUAACUUUGAACCACAAGGAAGAAGUACUUCUUUCCUCCGUGAGUUGCUGGGGUGAUAGGGCCACAUAGAUCACCAUGGAGCAGCUAGAGUGCAUCACUUGCACGAUAGGUAGACUGAGCAGGGAACGGCCUGCGGUGCUGUUUUCCAACCAAGCACCCGUCACAUACUCGAUCAACAUGGUCGAUAACUGGCAUCCCGGAUACCAUCUCCAUCUUUGACAUCUUCUUCAAGGCGUAGAAGUUAACAUGUCCGAAUCAUCAUCACUCUUGGCGAGCCAACACUCCAGUUGAGAUUGAUCAAGGUUGAGGAUAUAGAGCCUGUUCCGUGUGCGAGUAACACGAGCUAGCACGUUUCGGAGGUUGUCGAAGAUCGUCAUUACUCCGUUAUCGAUACCCACCUUGCAUCCAUUCUCGUCAAGCUUCCCAAUAAAGAUGAUGUUGUUGUGAAGCCGUGGGAUGUAGUACACUCCGGUAAGUAUGCGAUGUUCGCCUGUGAGACCCUCGAAGAGGACAGAUCCUUGCCCACAAAUCUCCACAUUUGAACCAUCACCGAACUUGACUGAGCCUUCAACAUCGUAUUCCAGCUCGAGGAAUUUCUCCUUGCACCCCGUCAUGUGGUUACUGGCACCCGUGUCGAGAUACCACAACACAUUCUGAUCACCAGCUAACUUCGGUGUCACUUUGUUUUCAUGAAGUAGCACCUUCCGGCUUGGUUUCACAACCACCGUUUCAGCGAGAUCACAAACUUCGGCCAUCAGAAGACCUGGACCUUCGUCUUCCUCCUUUGCCAAAUUUGCCUUGAUCUCUCGCUUGUCAUGCUCCGGACAAUCCUUUGCAAAGUGACCCAUCUCGUUGCAGUUAUAGCACUUGACCUCGGACAUAUCCAAGUUCCGUUGCUUCCGCCCUUUAGAUCGGUCAGCCUUACCACGACCUUGUAGCUUGCCUUUUCCUUUGCCUUCUCCGGUUUGUCCGCCGCGCGUUGUGCUGCUUGAGCCUUCGUUGCCAUCACACCUUCCUUUGCUACUUGGGGACUCCCAAUCUGCACGUGAGUACAUGAGUUGGUCACUACCUCCUCCGUUGCCUUCCCGACAACUACGAGAAUUCUCUUCCCACGUCCGCAGGCGUCCGAUCGCCUCCGUUAUGGUCAUGUCGUCGAUGUCGUAAAGCUGCUCGAGCGUGCCAAUGAUGUACGUGAAUUUUUUAGUCACCGAACUGAAAAAUUUCUCCACAAUCUCGGUCUCCUCGAGCUUUGCACCAAGCGCGCGGAUCUCUCCCACCAAAGUAGUAAGACGCAUGGCAUAGUCGUUCACCGAUUCAGUUUUCUCCAUCUGCAACUUGUGAAAUUGGCGCUUCAGCACUUGUGCCCGAGCCUUGGUGACGCGAUCUUCUCCGAUCCUCAUCUCGUUGAGUGCGUUCCACGCCUCUCUUGCCGUCUCGAACUCCACCAAUGUCAUCAGCACGGAAUCCGGCACAGACUGGGCUAUGGCGGCCAUGGCACCUUCGUCGCGCUCCUCGUCGACGUCGUCGUCCGUGAUGGCCUCCCACACUCGAAGAGAUCGGAGAAUAAUCUUCAUCUUCACCGCCCACACGUCAUAGUUGGCAUCGGUGAGCAUCGGGUACUGGAUGGGGAUGUUGCGAUGCGCCUGGACGUUGGCGCUGCUCGUUCCUCCAUCACUCGUUGCUGACUUGUCGUCCUUCUUCACCUUGUCGUCGUUCUUGUUCGCCUUGGCACCGCCUUUGCCGGAUUUGACCGACUCAGCGUCGCUGUCCGUCAUCGUAGAUCGUAGAUCGUCGAGGCUCUGAUACCAAUUGUUGGCUCUGGAUCUGUAGAUCAAUUCACCCAGCAGCUACCACGUACGUGCAAGCUAGCCUCUAAGCUAGCAAGCAGGCACACAGGUGGAUGGAUAUCCAAUAGAACGACGACGAGCUAGCUGACUGAUUCGAUCGUCUUGACUGCUUGGAACGUAACUCGGUGAAAAACUGAUCGAUGGAUUGCUAACAGGCUCGUAUCGAGCCUGGUACUUUUUGUAUUGCGUUUUGAUCUCUGGUGUUAUAAGCAACAUCCCUAGGGUGUCUUUUAUACACAUCCACAAGGGACUAUGAAAAUAGACUAGGACUAGGUAUCCUAAUACUACUAGGACUCGGUUUGACUAUCUUUCUUAAUCCUAUGUGUACAAGGCAACGUGAUUAACUCACAGUUCAUAGUUGAAUCUUUAAAAGGGCUUAUAUUUAAGAACGAAGGGAGUAUAAGUAGUGAGUAAGUUUGGGACACGCCGUUUUGGCUCCCGGACUCAGAUGAGCCCGAGCGUAAACAGUACGCCAGUUUGGGGUGCAAAAAAUGUUCCAAAAAAUCAAAAAAAAUUGUGAUGCAAGAUGCUCCUAUGUGUGAACUCUCUGUAAAAUUUUGUGAAGUUUGGACAUACGAGGAGCUCACUGCAAAAAAGACGAAAUUCAGAUGUGUGAGAAACUUUUGAAAAUCACACUAUUCAUGCCUGAUUUUGUCUUUUUUGCUGCAAACUCUUCAAAUGUCCAAACUUCAUAAAAUUUUACAGAGUUCACACAUCGAAGCAUCUUGCAUCAUAAAAAAAUAUUUUUUUUAAACUUUUUUGUAUUCCAAACCGUUGUACUGUUCACCGGGCUCAUACGAGCCCGGGCUCACAGAUGGAUUACCGGUAAGUUUGACAUUUGUUCUUGGUCCAACAAAACAAUGGUGUGAUCGAUGACCAAGCGGCGAUGCCGGAGUUGGAUCUCGCUGUGUGAUAUUUAUCGAUUUGUGCCCUCCACUUGGCCAGCUUAAUUGAUCGCCAGUCUCCUUCAUUGACAAUUAGUGCUGCUCAUACACAUGCGUUGCAUACAAAUGAUAUAUUGGGUUUAGGUACGGCUGUCUGAUCCACCUGGCCACCUUCUCACUAGAAAAGCUCAAGUUUGCAGCGACGAGUUUGCAUGUUACUACUCCCUGUGUACCGAAAUAUAAGACCUUUAAGAAAAAUUCCGACCAGAUGAAAAUGUGGACAAUUGACCAGGUUACCCCCCACCUCCGGCAGCUCGCUAAUUUCAAAUCAACCCAGAUCCAGUCGCCCCCCACCUCCGGCCAGCUCGCUAAUAACCCAGAUCUCACUACUCUGCUUGUCCGCUCCCUCCUCUGCCCCAGCUUGUCCGCUCCCUCCUCUGCCCCAGCUUGUGCGGCCCCUCCUCUGCCCCUACCUCCUCUGCCCAGCUCGUCUGCUAGCUACCAGCAGCUUCUCCAGUAGCCAGCGGCAGCAGCUCCUCCGGCAGCUAGCAGUAGAUCCAGCAGCUCCUCCACCAGCCAAUAGGAACUCCAGCAGCUCCUCCACCAGCUAGCACGAGCUCCAGCAGCUCCUCCACCAGACACCAGCACCAGCUCAUCCACCAGCCAGCGGCAGCCCCUCUGUCUGCCGGCAGAAGCAGCUCUUCCGCCUCUGCACUCCCAGCUGCCUCAACGAGGUCCUCUCCCAGUGAUGCACCCAUCGCCCAACAGAUCGCCGGAGGUUUUUCUUUUGAUCCAGGGUGCAGAUCGCCACAGGAGGUCCUAGUGGUGUUGGAUCCUGCUUAUCCCGUCUCCUGCAAACCAAAAAAGCAGGACAAUUAGAGGGUAUUUAUCACAACUUAGCAACAGUUGAACAGAAAACAGUUUAACAACAGCAGCAAAAAUUUUAGCGAGAUCAACAACAUCAGUAGCAGCAUCAAGACAUAGCAACAAUAGCAGCAAUAGGGAGACAUAGAAGUAGCGACAUGGAGUGGCAGCAGGAGUUCAUCAAAAUCAAUAGGGAGUAGCAGCAGCAGGAGUUCAUCACAAUCAAAAUCAACAGGGAGUGGCAACAACAUGGAAUUUGACCUCAACUGUACUCCGCCCGAAGAAGAUGAGAUCAGUCAAAAUGAGAUCAACAUGGAGGACUCACAGGGAGGCAAUGAUCAUGUUGAAGAUGAGAUCAACAUGGAGGACUCACAGAGAGGCAAUGAUCCUGGUGAACAUGAUAUGAACAUGGAGCAAAUAAGGGGAGGCAAUGAUCCCCACGAAGAUGAUAACAGUAAGCACAAUAUACUCAUUUAGCAGUAACAGUGUCUCAUUUACCAAGUUUUUGAAAAUGAACAGCAAGUCUAGUUUCUGAAGAUGAACAGUAACUCCACUUUCUAGAAAUAAACAGUAAUAGUAACUCAUUUGAUCAUUUGAACAUGUGACCAUUUAAAUAUUUUAUCAAUUUAUCAUUUGAUAAUUUGAGUAGGACUAAUAUUUUUUCAUUGUUGUGUUUCUUGUUGCAGUUCUUGAGCAAGGAGUUAGAAAGAGGAAAACUCUGAGUGACCAACAAAAAUAUGCUGCUUAUGUGGCAUUGCACAUAUUAUGUAUGAGUAGAGGUGGAAAGUUCAAGAUAACGGAUAAGAAAAACCUUGCACAUUUUUUUAAUGUAGAAUUGAGGAGUAUACAAAGAGUUUGGCAGAAGGCGAUGAAGCAAAUUUCAGAAGGUUUCGAGGUGGAUGUUUCCAACCAGAAAAAAGGAAAUGUGGAAGAAAACCAAAGGACAUCAACCUAGAGAAAAUCCCUACAAUACCACUCAAUAGUAGGUCUACUAUCAGAUCAUUAGCCUGGCAACUGGGAUGUAGCCCUACCACUCUCCACAGGAAUUCAAAAUGAAGUUGAUAAAGAGGCAUACAAACUGUGUCAAGCCAGCUCUAAAGGAAAAGAAUAAGAAGGAUAGAAUGAAAUUUUGCUUGUCAAUGCUUGAUGAGGCAACAACAAAAACUGCAAGGCCUAAGUUCAAGACUAUGCAUAAUGUUGUACAUAUUGAUGAGAAGUGGUUUACGAUGACCAAGAAGAAUAAAACUUAUUAUCUGCUGGAUGGGGAGGAAGAGCCUACAAGGCCUAUACAUGGCAACUGUAUUGGCAAGGUUAUGUUCUUGACGGGCGUAGCUAGGCCACGGUGGGAUAGUGAAGGAAAUGUGACCUUCUCUGGAAAAACCGAUGAACUCACGAUAAACUGCGUGCGCUCUUUGUCCCAGUUUCAGUUCCCUUGUUCUUGCUUUUCUAUAUCCCGAUGAACUCACGAAUCCAUGAUCCAUGGUCAAUCCCCAAUAUAUAUACUCAAGCAAUAUACUCUCUCAGCAGUAUAUAAUCAAUCAUACAGGAAAGAGUAUCACUCUCUCAGCAGAAUACAUACUCACGAAUCCAUGGUCAAUAGCAGCAUAUACUCCGUGUGGGGAUUAGUCUAGCUCGUAAGCCACGGGUCCAAAUCAAGCAAUAUAUCUACACUAGAAUCUGUAGCAGAGUACACAUCUGACAAAACCGAGAGAUGUGGAGAGGAAGGGGGUAAGAGACGGAAGGGUACCUGGGUGAGGUCGCUGAGGUGGAAGCAGCCGGUGGAGCGGUCGAGGUCGCCGCUAGGGUGUCGCCGGUGCACUGGAGCUCUGCCAACUCGUCCCCAACUCGACGCCCAGCUCGACGCCCAGUCCGGCGCCCAGCUCGAUGCCCAGGUCGACGCCGUCAUUGCUCGGGCUCGGCUUCAGCGCCUCCUUCACCCUGUCCUUGCUCGCCCAGCUCGUCGGCUUCUUGGUCUCGACGAGGCUCCCGCUGAAGUACUCCACCCCCGCCGCCGCAUAGACGAGCAACCCAACUGAGGGCGCCCGCAGCUCCCGCUGAAGUGAUCUGCUAUGUCCAGCACCACUCCGUCAUCCAUAUCCAACAUCGGCGCCCACACCAGCUCUGUCGAUGCAAAACAAACACAUUUUUGACCUUUGAGUGGGAAAGGAAGGAGAGGAAGCACGCAGUGGGAAAGGAAGGAGACAACACACGCGGUGGGCUGUGGGAGGAAGAACGCGGUGGGCUGUAGGAGGAAGAACGGUGGGCUACGGUGGCCGGCGACGACGUAGAGAGGCGACGAGGGAGGGGAAUGAGAGGGUGUGAGAUCUGGGCAGCGAGUGGAUGAGAAUGGGCAGGUGGGGGCAUUUUCGGAAACUCGGAAAGUUUCGUAGUGUCGCGAGAUUUACACUAGAAUCGCUAAAACGUCUUAUAUUUCGGUACAGAGGGAGUACAUUGGAGCAGACCUGUGCAGAUUCGUACUCCCUUCGUUUUUAUUUAUUCUGUAUAUCAGGUUUAUAUAAUGUCAAACCUAAAUCCUUUUAACAAAUUUGUAGAAAAAUAUAUCAACAUAAUCCCUUCAUUUCACAAUUUAGCGCUCGUUCGUGUGCUUUUCGAGAUCUAAGUUUGACCAUACCUUUAAACAAGAAGACCGAUUGCUAUGGGAGCAAAAAUUGAAUCACUGAAUUUGUAUUGAAAUUAAAUACUGAAUUUGUAUCGAAAAUAUAAAUUCAUUGGUAUAAUUUCUGUUGCCACCGCAGUCGGUCUCGUUGGUGAAAUUUAUGGUCAAACUUAGACCUCAAAAAACGCGAGCGCACUACAUUGUGGAACGGAGGGAGUAUACACCAUCAAAUCAAUAUCAUUGGAUUCAUCAUUUCAUAUAUUUUCACAUCAUAUAAAUUUAUUAUUGUAAAUGUUCAUAUCGUUUUCUACAAAUUUCAUCAUACUUUAGAUAGUUUGACUUCAGACAAAACUAAUAUGAGGAGUAAAUAAAAUCAGAGGGGUACCACUCCUAGUAAUUAAUGUGUAUAUCCACUAGCUGCUGAUUGACAUUCAAAUUCUCCACUUGACGAUGGCCAGAGUAUCUGAUAUUCAAACUCUCCACUUGGCCACCUUAUUUCUUCUCCCCAAAUGAGCUAUGAACUGCUCAUUCAUCCAACAUUAAAAUCACUGUGAUGAAACUCUACUCUUUCAGUUUCAUAAUUAGUGCAUAUAGUUUUUCCCCAAAAAACUAAACUUUGACAAAGAUUAUAAAUAAAAAGUCUAUAUCUAGCACAUUGAAUACAUACCAAUAGAUUCGUCAAAAAUAUUUGCAUAUAUUAUAUGAUGGUAUUGUGGAUAUACAUAGAGUUAUCUAUAAACUUGGUCAGAUUUUACAAUGUUUGACUUUUCUAUAAAACCAAUAUGCACUACACUAGGGGAUGGAGGGAGUAUCGUAUGAAAUAUUAUGUGGAAUUAUUCCGUUUCAGACAAUGUUUGGUAUCAAACACAACAGGUACAAUGUUCUAUAGUUUCUCCAAUGUGCAGAAUUAUUAGUUGAAUUGGCAAUUAUUUACAGGAGGGGAGUGCGCUGGUGUGACCGAAAACUAAGUGGAUCGAUGUAUAACAAGCUUCUUUUGGUCGGCAUCAAGACGGUGUUCCUCAUUGUCCGAAUCGAGGACCGGAGUGCAGUAAAUUUUACCAAUCUAUGAUGCGCUCUGGGUGGAUGAAACUGCUCCAAAAGUUGCCCGAGUUCAACGACUCUGUGGUGACCUACGAAUCCGGCGAGCGGCAGAAGUUGCAAGACGUCAGGUAUGAUAUCGUAGGCAACAAUAGUGACCAGUGGAGUGACAUCCUCGACACACCCAAGGGCACCCGCACCUUUAAGCUUCCCUACCCGAUGUACUAAAUCGGCUAGGUUGAAUGCUAGCUAAUCGUCCACGAAUAAGCUCCAUGUUGUUCACUAUCCAUGCUUUGUGAUUACCUUUUUUCCGGGCAUGCUUCCUCAAUACUAAUCCACUAUUACUGCUAGUUUUCUAAUUUCUAUUGAGAAAUCUAUUGCUGCUUGGUUAAAUUCCAUAGUUGGGACCUUGAGUCAGUUACUAGUAUUAAUAAGGUAUGCUACAAAGAAAUUGCAUCUUGCAUAAUCAAUGAAUCGAUGCUCCAUUUUUCCUUGAUUAUAUAAUAUAUGUAGUUUCUAUUUUACACUUUGAUUUAUUUAUUUUUUACUUUUAAUAUUUCCUUUUUUUUCAUUUUCUAGUUUUAUGUUUUAUUUUUUUAUUUGAUCUCCCUUAUGUAUUUAUUUUCUUAUUUUAUUCUUUAGAAUGCUUUCUAUUUGUAAAAAAUAAUGAAUUUUUCCAUACCCUAAUAGUUAAAAACAAUUCCGGGAUAUUAAAAUUACGAUGAACAAGGUCCUAAUAUACGUCGAGAUUUUCCCAAAUACCUGAUGAAUAGUUUUUAUAUGUUUAAGUACAUUUAUAAUUUUGUAAUUACACCAUCAAAUUUAAAUAUAUUUUAAAUAUUUGUUGAAUGCACAAAAAGCAUUUACUAAAUAAUUCGGAACAUUUGCUAUUACAUUGUGAACAUUUCUAGAAUACACAUUGAACAGUUUCCAAACCAUGAUGACUUUUCUAAAUAUGCAUUAUAAAAUUUUCAGUUACACGAACUAAACUGUUUUACCCUGAAUUAUUAUUAUUUUUAAAUUUGUUUUUUCUUAGAAUUAUAAAUAAAAUUAAAUUGAAGUGUUUCAGAGUAUAAAGGACAGAACGGGUAAAAACAAUGACAGAAAAAAUAAAAAUUGCAUUGGGUCGGGUCAUUGUGGAAUACUAUGGGCGAGCCCAAAGGAGUGUUCAUUACUGGUGAAUUAUAGUAGCAACGUGAGGGAAAGUGUGCUUCUCAGCCCGAGCUCAAAUGAGCUCUGGUGAACAGUAAAAUCCAAAAAUAAUUAAAAAAAUAUGAAAUUGUUUGGUGAAAGAAAUUGAAAAUAGUCGUAACUGCCUCCAAAAUUGUAUUAUGAAAUAACAUUUAUUGAAGCCAUGGAGAAAACAAAAUCGAUACUCCAAAAUGCUUUUGAAAUUAGUAUUUUCAGAGUAUCGAUUUUGUUUUUUUGCCACAUGUCACACAAAUGUGAUUUUCUGAUGAAAUCUUGCAAGAUAUUAGAACUUUUGCCAAUGUUUAUCACAAAAAAAAAUAGAUUUUUCUGGAUUUUUUUAAUUUAGUUUUGAUUUUACUGUUCAUCAAAGCUCAUUUGAGCUCGGGCUGAGAAACUCCACAUCCCAACGUGAGCGCCUAUUUGGUGUCGUGCUCAUUUCUGGUAGCCGACAAACUGAGUGGUUUUGUGCGUGACGUAAAAGACACAAAACAAUCAGGGCACUUCGAAGGAAUCAACGUUGUGUCCUUUCACAGGGAAUGCGUGAUGCUAGUUGCUGGCCACUCGUGCCAACAAUUUUUGCUAAUAGAAACACAACAACAAUGUGCAGGAAAUUACUGCAGCGGUGAAUUCCAAAUAUUUUCUAAAGUACACAAAUAUUUCAUCAAAUCUGAACGUUUUUUGAAAAAUCACAGUAUUUUUAAGAUGCCCAAUAUUUUUUUUAACUUUUCAGAAUAUUUUAAAUUUCAAACUUUUUUUUUAAAUUGCCAAACAUGUUUUGAAUUUGUGGACAAAACUUUUGAACAGAGAAACAGUUUUACAACAUCUGAAACCUUUUUUGGAACGCAAUAAGUUUUUCCAAAUUUCCAAGCAUUUACAGAAAAUGGAACAUAUAUUGACCAUUUCCAAACAUUUUUCAAAAACAUGAAUACUUUUUGAUUUAUGAACAUCAUUUCAAAACAGGAACAUUUUUUGAUAAUUCUGAACUAUGUUAGAAAAUGCGAACAAUUUUUGGACGUUUGUUGAGAACCCAAUCAUUUUUAGAAGAAAAACAAUUAUUAAAGUUUCAGACAUUUUUUUACUUGUGAAGUAAUGACCAAAGAAAACCAUAAAAUGUAAAACAACCGAAAAUAAGGAAAAAAGGAAAGAAAAAGUUGAAAAAAAUAAAAAUAUGAAUAAUAAAAAAUAAUAAAUUCUGGAAAGCAGUGAAAAAUAAAUCACAAAACGGAGACCAGUUUAUACGUCCUGCUGCUAUAUGACAAAGUAAAAAAUCUAAAAAGAAAAUCCCACAACAAAAGCUAUUUGACAUACCGAGCGUCAUAUAGAAAAUUCAAACAACAACCACCACAGAACGCUGAUACAGAUGACGGGCAGGUGGAUGUUUCUCAGAAUCAGAUUUUGAAGAAUCAUGAGGCGAAAAGAACUGGUGCCUGCAAUCGGCCGUGGCAUGUACACAGGUGCUAGUAAUGAUAUAAAUCACGGAUAUUGAUUUUGAAGGUCGAGCUCCAUGGAGGUCUUUGAAUGCAAAAUUCAAAAUUCAUGAAAAUAUUUUUUUUUUAUAUUUCGAAAAAUUCCGUAACAAAUACAGAGAUAGAUGAAGGCAUAAUACACAAGUGUGUAAAUUUUUAGGACCAAAUACGUUGAAAUAAGGCUGUACAAAAAAGGCAAAUCUGAGGUUGUUUAACACAUGAUACUAUUCAUCCUCUCGGAACAUGAUUUUAUAUUUUUAUACAGGUUGCAUUUCAACGUAUUUCAUCCUUGUUUAGUUUUAUAAUUGUUUUCAAAAAAUCUGAGGAUGAGGCAUAUGUCUCACAUCCUUGUUUAGUUGUAUAAUUGUUGUAAGAUUUUUUUUUUAAUUUUGAACUUUUCAAAAAAUCGGCCUCGGCCAAAACGCCUUUCUCUAUAAAUCGUGAUUUGUAUACUGGUAAGAAGAAUGAAGCAAUGCAUAUUCAACUAAACAAACUACAUAUUGUCUUGAAUUCACUCAUUUGGAAUCUAGCUAGAAAGGGUGCUUUUUAGGUGCCCAGAUUUUUUAAUUUUUUUGAGGGAAGUGACGAGGUUCUUGGGAAGAAAAGAUUUAACAGAUUCAUUGGUUUUCACAAAGAGAGCAAAUCAAUAUGAGCGCAGAAGCAAUCGAGUUUUGCCAUUAUUAAGCAACAACAUGACAUACAUGAUACAACUAGAGGUACAUAUAGCUAAAUUAGCGGAAGCCCUUUGUAUUGGUACUGCUCGCCGAGCUCCGCGAGCAGAUCGUUUUCCGCCUUGAGUAUGUCGCCCAUGUUGUCCAGCAGGAGGUACUUGUCCAGCGAGAAGCCCGACUCCGGCGAGAUGAGCGCCGCGACGUUUCUCAGGAACUCCUCGUCUAAUGGGGCAAGGGGCUCCCACUUUUGUCCCGACGUCAGCAGCGGCUUCUGAGGUCGCCGCCUCACGACCUUCAUUUUCUUCUUCUUCAUCGUCAUCCUCCUCUUCUCCCCUCUUGCGGGCGUCGGCGACUUCGCCCCCGCCUCCGUGUUCUCACACGAUGAACUCGCCAUGAUUCUUCUCCCGUCCUUCUUCCGCUGAGAAGAUUGGUCUGCUCUGCUGGUUUCGCAGACUUGCGUGCUCGCCGGCACCGGUAUAAAUACAGCAAAAAUAAGAGAUCGAUGAUUCAUUUCUUGGCUAGGGGAGCAGUUCGUUGUAUCCGACUCGUAUUCAGUCCACGGUUCCGGUUCCUACUCCCGCAUGGUCGACGCAUCGGUUGGGAUCCUAAUUGGGACGGCCCAAUGGUAGGUUAUUUUAUAGUAUUUUUAUGUAUAUUGUCUAUAAGGACGUUACUGCAUCAAAAAGAAAAGUAUAAUGGCUCUGCAUCUAGUCUAGUUGCUGAAGCGUGUGCGUCGAACAGCUUCCCCAUCGCUUAGUGACAGUUCAUGAAAUCGUGUGCGAUGACCAUUUCUAUGGAUUUUUUUUGCAUGAUAAUAUGUGUCUCAUUUAUAUCAUAAUGAAAAUAAUACAAGACCAUUGUUGUGGAUUAUAACAACACAUAUACACAGCCAAAUACAAACCCUACGGUCUUGGUCACAAUAUAGUGGUACAGGUGUCCAUUAGGACAUAUGUCCGUGUGUUGCAACGGAAAAAAAAUUAAUUUGUAUUUGCAAGCACAACACGUCAUGCUCCGCUACGAAAGAACGCUAGUUACCACAUGACCAAAACGACCAUCGAUGCAUCACUACAUCCAGAGAGUGUCACCACCUGCAGGGAGGCGCACGUCAAAGCCUUCAACAAACGCGGGGACUAUGUUACUCCCUUUGUCAGACAUUAUUAGGCUGGUGGACCACUUAGCCUCAGCCGGACAUUAAUCAUGAAGUGAGCCUUAGCGCAGAUGGUAAAGAUAUCUUCAACGUGACGAUGUGGCGUUGUGGCUCCCUGGCCCAGAUCUUCCCACCAAUGAAUAGUAAAAUCGACAAAAAAUAGAAAAAAUGAUUUUUUUUUUUGGAGUGCAAGAUGUUCCUUUGGGUGAUGUCAAAAACUGCUUGGAGCUGAUUUUUAUUUUUUUUUGCCAGACGCUCCUCGAAUGUCCAAAUACCUCGAAAUUUUGCAGACAUUUUAGCAUCUUAUGAGCCAAAAAGGAUUCAGAUUUUUUUGAUAUUGUGCUUUUCACCGGAUGCAGAUGAGCCGGGGACCAUUUUGAUUAUUAUUAUGGCUAAUCUAGUUUAAAUGUGUCAUUGUUCAUGUAGCCCACAAUCAUUUUUUCUUUUAUUGUUUGAACACACCACGUCCUUCAUUUCUUUUAAAGGUUUCCUUGCAUGUCUGCUCGUCGUGCAGUUCAUUCCUUUUAAUUGUCAUUCCUUUUAAUUGUCCGCUUUUAGCAUCCAUUUUUAACUGUCUUGCUGAUAUUCCAAGCAAACCGCAAGGUAUAUAAACCGGUAGGGAUCUAUCUAAAGAGGCAAGGUGGGUUUAUUUAACAUAAAAUAUUGAUGUCGAGUUAUUUUUAAAAAAACAGCCUCAACUUUAUUAAUUAGAGAUAAUUGUUACAUCGUCUAUUAAAAAAGAUACAAUAUUUUCCAAAGGCUCCUCAAUCCACUCACUCGUAUCAGAACUCUUUGCUAAUCUAGCAAGCUCAUGUGCUACUUCGUUCGCUUCUAGUAAAAAAAAUUCAGAAGCCAUAGAAAAACAAUCCUCAAAGGUUGCAGCCGCCGCUCCCGCAUAGUACCCUCCCUUGUUCAUUGUUUCAAUUACUUCCGAGAAUAUUGAUGUAGAGUUGGUUAGUGCAGUUGCCUUACCCUGGACAUGGAGUAUUGAGUUUAAUCUUCCAUAAAUACAUAUUUUUGUACACGUUGUUCGUGGCCCAUGGCAGACGGCCCAAUAUUGUAGCGAAGCCCAGCAGUGCAGCAACCUGACAUGGUACGAUAGAUGGUGAGGUGUAUGCGUGCUAGCAACGUAAGAAAACGGCCAGGGAGAGGCAAUGUAUGUACAAUAUUUUUAACCAUGGAUUCAAGCUCGUAAAAUUUUGAGACUUUUCCAUAAAACUGUAUGACAGACUAAGAAUACAUAUUUUCUUAAUUAGUAGGUAUAGAUGCGGCAAGUGGAUUGUUUCCUGGUUUUGGGAAGUUUCCAUAAGCUUUUCAGACGGUUUUUCAUUUUUUCUAUUUUGGGGUUUUCCUGUACCAAUCUUGUCUAUUUUUUAUUUUCUACUUAUUUUCAUUUUGCUUUAUUGCAUAUUCUUUUACUUUUUUUCAUUUUCCUUUUUCUAUUUAAUUUUGGCAAAACACGAAUUGUUUCAAUUUUAUGAUACUUUUUUUAAUUGAGGAACUCCUUUUCGAACUCGUUUUUUCAAGUUCAUCAUUAUUAUUUUUUAAAAUUAUCACCUUUUUAAAAAAUAUAUGAACUAUUUUUAAUGUUUGUGAACGCUGUCUCAAAAUUGAUGAACUUUUUUCCUAAAUGCUGAAGUUUAUUUUAAAACUGAUGAACUUAUUUUAAUAUUUGAUGAUCUAAUUUUAAAACCGGAGAAUGUUUUUGCAAAAUAGACGAACUGUUUUUCUAGCAUAUGUACCUUUUGAAAAUUCAUGAACUUUUUUUCAAUUUUUGGGCUUUUUUUAAAAGUUGAUGAGCUUUAUUCAAAAUCGUGAAAUAUUUUCCAUCUAUGUGCAACCUCUUUUUUCAAAAUCAUGAACAUUUUCGAAUUGAUGAACUAUUAACAGAGAUUAUACGCAUGACCUUUUUUGAAUUCGCAAACUUUUUGUUGAAAUAUCUGCAUUCUAUUUGAUUUUCUGAUUAUUAUUUUCAAGCUAGCGAGCGUGCUCGUGGGCUCACCCAUGCUAGCAAUGGUGCGAGCUGGCACUGGCGCAAAACGCGUCAAUUAGGAAGAGCAACUAAUUAAGGAGUACUCGUCCGAGAGCCUCUCGAAGGGUCCAUUGCCACGUGUCGUACUCUUGGUGUUUCCUUUGGAUUUUUUUCUAUACAUAUUUAUGUCUGGAAUUUUGGCUUUAAGAUGAUUUUGUUUUCCGGGUUUUUUUGGCUUUUCCGUUUACCCCCGAUUUUUCUUACAAUUUAGACCCAAAAAUAAGAUUUUAAAGAAAAAUCACAAAAAAAUGCAUUUUCUCUUUCUUUUUUCCUACCCUGAGAGACAUGGAUUUGCUUCUCUUAGAGGCACAUGUGCCUCCUGAAAAAGCAAAAAAAAUGUUUUUUCCUUCCGCGAGGCAAGGUCGUGCCUCUCAGAAAAGAAAAAAGAUCCAUUUUUCCUUUCACGGAAGUACGGAUUUGCUUCCCUGAAAGGCCUAGUCGUGCAUCUUGAAAAAGGAAAAAUGCAUGUUCUCAUGAAGGAAAACAACGUGGUUUUAGUUUGGUUUUUUUGUUUGAUUUUUUCGUGAAAAAAAGUCCAACGAAACAUAUCAACAUGUGGUCUAGUUUUUAAGAUCUCGACGCAUGGAAUCUAACGGCAAAACCAGUUCUAGAUUUGGACGUAGGUUUUGAGAGAUAAAAUGUUUUGAAUAAACAAAUCUGCGAAAAAGGAAAAACCCUUAGGUUGCUACAAGUGACGCACAUGCAGUUGAAGACUUGUCGCACCCUGGGUUGGGGGAGUGAUCUUUGCCAAGAGUAGUUUUCAAUUAGUGAUUUCGCUAAUUAGAAGCUCGCAUCAUCUCCGAUGCGAGCACUAGUGGAUCAGCCCAUGUGCGCUCAUAUGGGUUUUUUGGAGCGGCUUUUGGAAGCUUCUAUGGAGCUGUUUAGACAAAUUUGAAAACCUUUCAUUCAUUUUUUAUGUGUUCACUAUAUAGAUUUACAUGGACUAAAGUAAAAUGUAGAUUUACAUUAUUUUUUCCCUUAGUUUUCUUUGUGUGUUUUUAUUCAUUUUUUGAAUACACAUGGAAUUUUUGGAAAUACAGUUCGAAUAUUUUUUGUUUACAUGUUAUUUCUUUUAUACACGUUGAUGAUUUUUGUAGACACAUUUAAGUGUUUUCCAAAAUAAACAGUAUUGAUUUGUCAAAUGAACAUUGGAUUUCUUAUGAAUAUAAGGUGAACAUUUAUGAAACACCCAUUGAACAUUUAGAAAAAUUCCAUGAACAUUUUUUUCUUAAAGCAUGCAAAACAGUUCUUAAUGUUAGAACAUAUUUUUUAAUGUCAAAGACAUUUUUGUUGAAUGGUACAAAAUAUUAUUUAAAAUUACAAGACCAUUUUUACAUACUAGAAACAGUUGUGGAAAAUGUUAUGACCAUAUUUUUGAAACGGCUGAAUAUUGUUUAAAUUUCAUAAAUAUAUUUAGAAUGGUAUGUCAAAAGUUUAAAAAUAUGUGAAUAUUGUUUCUACAUUGUAUAAAAAAUUUAAAAACUGUCAUGAACAUAUUUCUGAACACAUGAACUAAAUGUCAGGAACAUUUUUCGAAUGGUACAAACAUUUUUAAAAUUGUGGAGACAAUUUAUUACACUACAUGAACAUUUAUUUGAAACACGCAAUGAACAAGGGGUAAGGGACACGUGUCAUGUGCUUUGCUAGCGCAUCGUGGUUGCUGAGUGUCUCAUUCCUUUGUUGUUGAGUUUUGUUUUAGUGCGGAGUGUUUUUACAGUAUACUCGAGAAAGAUCCUACGUUACGAAGGAUGUGUUUGGUAGGCGUUUCUAGCGGGACUGGCUCGUGGACAUUGGCUCAACAAAGUUUGGUUGAGAUAAAACGAUCAUAAAACUAACAUCUGCAUUUAGUUUGGUUGCCGGCAUACAUUCUAAACUGAAUGGGGUGUCAUGAAAGACAUACUAUUUGGUUGUCUGUUUGUGUAUGCGCAAACACAAGGCCUACUAUUUGGCUGCAUGCAACACUUGUUGUGAGAUAACCUCUUCGAUGCGGUGGUGAGGUUACCAUCACAUAGCGGCGUCAGGAAGAACACACAACAUAACAUAGUAGUAAGCAGUUAUAAAUAUUGUGUCACAUUUAAAUAGAUUAGUUUAAAUGCAAAGCAGUUCAAUAUUAAACUAAAGCAACUAGAGCAUAUGAGCGGUUGUCCUAGACGUUCACAACGAAGGCAUCGUCAUGUCUCCCGCACCAGGCCACCACUUUACUGCCAUCGUCAUUGAAGACGAUGACCUUCACCAUGUCGGGAGUCAUCAACUGUGACCAUGAAGCCUAUCUUGAUUUGUUGGACGGCGACGAAGGUGGCCCAAACCUGGUCGAGGGUGACCCUUUCGUUCAACAGACGGACAAUGACCCUCCUAGAGCACUCGGUGUUCGCCUUCAAAUUGAACUCCUGUGGCAUAGACGGGAAGUGCUUCAUGAAGUCGAGUGGCAUAGGUAUGGCCUCGAGUGGCAUGAUUACCUUGCAGAAGUUAUUUGGCUCACCCAUCUCAUGGUAGUGGUCGUAGUUCUGACGCUUGUCGCUGGGGGGCUCCUCCGCGUAUCGUUGUCCGUGACCGGGCUCUGGACAGGCGCCACCUUUGAGGGCGGCACAACAUCCUUGCACUUGUAUUGCUCCUUUGGUGGCACCACCUCAUUGCCCUUGUUCUCCGUGUCGAUUUGCAGUGUGAAGAGGUUCAAACGAUUGGGUCAGGAUUUGCAAUAUGAACAUUGCAUCAUUGUCAUUAACUUAUUGUCGAGAACCCCAUUAUUUACCUAGGCUGAUGGUUACCACUUACCCACCACCUAGUUGUUUGUCUCUCUUCCUCCAACCCAAUGCCAUGAACUCUAAGAACAAGUCUAACCCCAUCCGCAACCCCUUUCCUUGGGGCAUUGGAUGGAGGGCCUUCUUCCUAGGGUGCUCGCUCGAUGACCGCACCAAGUUUGAGAACACCAUGAAAGUGUGUUCAAACUUCAACAGCUUGGAGGAGCAGUACAAAGAGUAGGACGCUAUGGUGAAGAAGGCGAGUCGGAGGAGUUGAAGACGCUGAUCAGUGACCCAAUGAAGGGUUCUAUGUGAGCCGACAUACUUCAUUGAGCCAUGAAUCAAGCCGUCCCCGGCGACGCUGGACAGAGGGAAAACUGAGCCAAGUACAGACAGCAUCGGUGUUCUUAUGACCACGGGGCCGCAACGUACUUCACCACAAAGAUUAUGGUGGUGCCGGUGGAGGAGCAUCAAGAAGUGCUGGCUAUGGAGGUGGAAGAGGAAGAUGCAGUGGCGACGAUUGUGAGGGCGCUGGAGCUAGGACACCUAAGCAUGCCAAUCAAGUUGGACUCCGGCGAGGAAGAAGAUAUGGUGGUGUAGGUCGAGGAGAAGACCAAGGCCAAGGCUACCCACCGCUCCAAUCGCCUCCAGGGUCCUGUGUACUAUGUAAGAUGAACCCUAAUCCCCAUUCCGAUUGUACUCAAUCCUGAUUGGGAACCUCAUAUCUACCCGUAGUCAUGACGAUGUUAUGACCACUCCUAUGGUGUUUACCCCGAUUCCCCAUUCUCCUAACAUGGAUCGAACCUAAACUCGGAUCAAAUGCAAAGUAGUACAUGAGGAGGGGGGAAAGUGCUUACCGCCAUUGCCGAAGUGCUGCUGUGGAUGCCGGUGAAGAGGCCGGAGUCGAUUUGCUGUUCCUCGAUCUGAUGCACGCCAUCGCCGCCGUCGGUGAGAGUAGGGAGAGUGGAAAGAGAGCGGUGAGAAAAGGUAAGGGUAAUGACUGUCGACGCUUCGGGAAACAACGCGGCUUCUCAAGGGUGGCUCCCCUUGUGCAACCCCUGCCGCCCACGUGCAUCGCAGAGGCCUGGCUCGCGAGAAACUACCAAUUCGAACGUGCCUCGCGAGACAUACCCAGACAUGCUUUAAAGUUCGUGACAUGCAGGCCCAACAAUGUAUGUUGACAACCAAUCAGUUUGUUUUCUUUCCACGGGCCUGGUUGGACCUUAUGCGGGCAACCAAACGCAUCCCCAAGUGUUGUUUAUUUGUCGGAAUUUUCUAAGGUACUGGGCAAACGACAUGUGUACUGAGUGCCCAUGAAAUUACACCAGGCAAACUGUAAAAUACUCAGCGUAAUUUUUUUCCUGUAGUUGUACAAUUGGCUGCGCUGCAGUUCCAAAUUUGAUAAAGUUACAAGGUUGGUGUACCAGAAAUUCAUUAUCUACCAAUCAUCAAUAUGUAUGCACAAAACAGUUGCCUGUCUGGGCCUUUGUAUCAACGUCCAUCCAUGUGUAACACGUUCAGCGGAACCGUCUACCAAACGUCUGACAGACACAGACACGUGCAUAUCCUCCAAACCGGGCAGGCUGGUUGCUUGCGCCCUCGUCGCUUUCUUGUCGAACUGGCUCCAUAUAUAGACUAAUGCACACCACAGUUCAAUUUCCAUUUUCGUUUCAGUCAUCGUACAUAUGACUGCAUUAUUCAGCUAACGUUUAAGCAUAGGGAUUUUUAUUUUCAUGUCCCGUCUUUCUUAGUUAUGAUUAGUUUUGCCCCGUUCAUUUAACAUUGCUCACUUUUUUCCCUUCUUUACUCAUCUACGCCUCGUAAAAGAUCAAACGGUGUGUUGACAUUGGGUUAGACCAGGGGCGGUCCUCAGAUUUUGGGGGCCCGGGGCUGGAUUAAAAGCCGGGGCCCUUAAUAUAGACAUAAUAACAAUAACACUGAAUAUACGUACCGGUGAAAUAUAAACACUUAAAUACGUCUAAUACUAAUAUGCAUAUCAAAUGUUUUAAAAAUAUUACCUCAAACAAUAAUUCUGACAUACCUUGAUGCAAAGGCCAUUAUGAUGGCGUCGAUGUUAAUAGCGUCCAAUAAUUUCUUCUCGAUGACAUAAUGUCACCAGACCAUAUAAACACUCUUGGUUCAUCGGUGACCUCACAUAGUUCUUCAAUCAAUAUUUCCAACUUCAGAGAGCUUCUUCCGACCAAUACGAUAGUCACAGGCAUAGUAAAUAGGAUGCAAUAAGCAAUGGAAAUAUCAGGAUAACAGCCAACUUCUAUUGACAUGCUGCAAAUCUCCAUUGCAGAUAUUACAGUCAUAUGGCAGAAUGAAUCCCACAAUUUUUAAUUUAGAAGUAAGAUCAUACUCCCUCCGUUCCUAAAUAUAAGACCUUUUAAAGAUUGCACUAUAAACUAUAUAGGAUGUACAUAGACAUAUUUUAGAAUAUAGAUUCACUCAUUUUGCUCCGUAUGUAGUCUCCUAGUUGAAUCCCUAAAAGGUCUUAUAUUUUAAAACGGAGGGAGUAUAUCUCAACAUCAUGAUACACAAUGCUGACAAAUAACAUUAAUUGUUGAACAAUAUCGAUGUACCGGCGAUGCAUCUACAGAAGCACAAUAAGAAUAUAUGAUAUACGUACCUCGGAUGGCUGAAUCAGCCAUGACGGAAAAUCAAAGCCGGAUUAUAGGACGCCCCGACGAAUUGAAAUCGACGGCGCGCAGCUGAUGAUCUAAAUUAGGAAAGAAAUUAGGUUUGGGAGAAAAGUAGAAAGGAGGGUCGAGCACGCAGUGGCGAACAGACGAUGCGUCGGCGGCCGCUAGGAAUCGCUGCGUCAAUGCGAGAUGGAAUAGGAAGGGAUCAAUCACUCCUAUUUUUUCGUGAAAAAACGGAAGGAACGGUUGCUGCCUUUGUGCCUCGCUGGACUGCUGGGUGCAUGUUUGCCUGCAUGCUACGUGAGGCCCAGUCAACCAACCCGAUAGGUCAUUUUUUUCUGAUCUGUAAAAACAUUAAAUAUGUUUGGACAAAGCCUAUGUACAUACGUGGGGAGGGCCCCCUAAACUUUGGGGGCCGGGGCGGCCGCCCCCCCCUGCCCCUCCCCUCGGCCGGCCCUGCGGUUAGACUACCAACAAUGAAAGUAACAUAGGUGGUAACAUAGAUAUCAUCUAAACAACAAAUGUGAUGUGGCAACUAAUUAAAGAAAAGUAAGAGAAAUUGAAUAACUUAGCAUGUUACUCAUAUUAGGAGUAACAUAGCGGAUACCAAGGCAAGAUGGGUGUAUAGGCUAAUAAAUAAAAGACUCAAUGUUACUACCCCUAUGUUACUAUCCACUAUGGAGGUAGUAACUUAGAUUAGUAACAUAUGUAUGUUACUCCCCAUUGGUCUUUCAGCGGCGUUCAGAGACUCCUUCAUAUUAUUAGACAUAAUUAUGUCUAGAGACACAACACACGAGGCUAUACGUAAAUCACCCUUAGAAUACCAGCGAGCUCUCGUUUAACCUACGGACCCGAUGGGCCAUGUUAAGACUGGUAUGAAUACCAGCAAGCUCGCUGACAAGGAUCCGACGACUCCAUUACCCCUCGCAUCGCUUAGAGAAAAAACCCGAUACAAGUCACCCCCUUGACUUGAUCUGGAAUUAUCUGCGAGAUGCCAUCUAUGCUCUCAUCUAUCAACAAUUUCAACACAUGUUCUGCCGGAGUUUUGGUGCUUGGAAACCAUGAGCAAACCGCUUGUCACUUCUCCCGUGAGAGAGCGUCACCGGCACAGAACACCUCCAAUGGUUUCGUGAUUGCCGAUGGCGGCUGCAGGAUUGGGGGAGGUAGGCUGCUCGGGCUGCGGGGGAUGCGAAUUGAGAGAGAGAGAGAGAGAGAGAGGGAGGGAGAGGGAGAGGAAGAGAGAGAGAGAGAGAUUUCGUCCCCCUUUUUAGGACAAAUGACCCAACCAUCCACUAGCCGGUCCCACAUGUCAGCAUUUCAUGUCAGUCCCAUGCGUCCACGCGUCAACACCGGACGAAGUAACGGUCAACAGUUUUGACCCGACGGUGAGGCAUUGUUUGGCCUUUUGCGAGACGGAGGCGAGUAGAGGAGGGAGAAAAGUGAGUAAUGUUAGACGGACGAGGCAAACUGAGCACAACUAAGUAACGAUGGACGAGGCAACUUACGUAAAACCAGCUACAAUUAUAAUAGCUUUCGAUGUACACCCGUGUGAUCACCAGCCAUCUAACAACCUUUGCCGACAGUUGUCCUUCAUCCACAAAGACAACAUCAUCCAAAUAAUUCACUUGCAAUCCAGGUUUCUCUAUCAUCUCUUUGGACAUUGUGAUAUUUACUAAUUCCCGAUCCAGAGGUCUCAUACGCCAUGGCGAUGUCAUGACCAGUCUAGGAGAAGAAGCACCUCGUAAACUAGAGCGGAACAGAACCUGGGUUUUCUAGGCAUGGCCUCUCGAUAAGAAGUUGAGAAGAUUAUGGCUGAUACAUGGUGAGAUAGGAUGAGGUGUCUACGCUGCCAUACGACAAAACCCUAGUAACAGGGGAUGCUUUAUCUGUGUUAUUUUUUAAUUAAAUCACAUGAAUAAUUGGCCGUGUGUAUGUAAUUCUAUAUUAAUAUAAUAGGACACAAAGAGGCAGGUCCAUAUCAUCUCGGCCAACAAAUCUAAGAUUUGAUGGUUCAUGUUGAGCACCAAGAGACGAAAACCGCUCGCGUCGCCUCCAGGGGGCGACACGGGCGCCCUAGCCGCCGUCGCCCUCGACCUCCCUCCUCCCCCGCUUCCCCGCCGUUGCCGGAGGAGGCCGGCGAGCGAAGCUCGCCCGGCGGACGACGGACGGCGGGCCUUCCUCCCUUCUUCACGAGGGGGUCCUUUGGCUGAGAUGCGACGGCGCCCCUGGGGGUACAACAUGGAGGCGGAGUUGGCGUGCUCGGGCGGCGUGGGAUCCCGGCGGCGCUGCGGGGGCUGGCGGCGGCGGAUCUGGGGUUCCCCACCCCAGAUCGGUUCUCCUCCGGGUGGUCGGGCUCAGGCGCCGUCCAGCGGCCCUAAGCGGUGGUGGACGCGCGCGUUGACUGUCCUCCUUCACAGAUGUGAUUGGAAACGACAGGAGGUGUUGGCGUGCUGCUAGAUCUGAACAAGGUGAUGGCGUCAUCCCCUUCAUCAGGGAUGACGACCAGGUGGUGGGUUCUUGUGGCGUCGCCGGUGGCGGCGGAUCUUGGGAUCCAGUUCCCGGGGACGUCGUGGGAUGUGGUGGCCCGUGCAGGAGAGAUGGGUUCUUCGAACAGAUCUGGGUCAAAGCUUGCUUUCGGCUAUUGCUAAGGUCGGCGAUGGCGGCGCUGUCUACAUCGUUCCCUUCCUGAAGGCAUCGCCGAGGAGAACUUCAGGGCCACUCUCUGCUACCUCCUGGGGUAACCCUAGAUCAGUAGAUCGGAUGACGGCGACGCUCUGGUGUCAUUUCCCCCUUGGGGGCGUCAUUCAUGGUGGUACACACGGGCUCGAGGGACCAUUGGUCGGCAUUUACGAUGGAGCAGCGUUCCUAGUGACACAUCGACGUUGUGGAGUCUCGGCGGCGAGGCGCGGCAAAGUCUCGGCAAUGAAUGCAUGAUGAUGAGCACGCGUAGGGAGGAGGCGUUGUCUGGCGCCGUGGGGGCAUCGAUGGCAGGCCUUGCAAGGUCGAUGCGUCAGUAAUUUUUCUGAAGAUGGAUUGAUGGAAGGCGGCGACGACGACCUAUGAGGGUGCGUCGGACCGUUUGUGCCCCUGACCCGGUAUGUGGCUCUGUCGGGGCCUCCGGCUUUAGAUGUUAGGCUAGGUGAGAGGUCUGGGUAUGUGGCUCACACUUUCUGCACCCCCUUCAUCAUUGUAUAUGAGUAGCGACAGAUGUUGCCAAGAGGACGGCUUCAGACAUACGCUUAACACUCUAGCUAAUUGACCACCAGUAGCACGGGAGAGGUGUUUUGGCUCCCGGGUAUAUGCACUCGGAUGAACAGUACUGCGAAAAAAGUUCUAAUUUUUUUUGUAGAUGAUUGUAUUAGUGUCGCAAAUAUGCAUGACAAUUUUCGUGCGAUAAGGAGCAACGGUGUUUCAUCAGCAAAAAAGACAAAUUUAGGAUGACAUUUUGGGGUAACUUUUGGUGUUCAAUUUGUUUUUCUUGCACAAACCAAAAUGUUUUAUCUUUUUGUCUCAAAAUUUACAAGUAGUAUUUGGAUGUGACAAAGCAUACAAACAAAUUUUGUCUCAUUUUUUUCCAUUUCAAACUUUUUUUUGGCCCCGAAAGCAUAUGCCGGGAGCCGAAUUGCAUUUCCGCCGGUAGCACUAGUUACAUACACACUAGACUCCGCGCAAUCCCAUGAAAUCUGUUUGGCGAUUAACAUACGGCUAAAUAUCAACAUGCAAAUAUUAUCUUACCAAAUGUACCAAAUGUGUAACUAGUAUCUUAAUUCUACUCCCUUCAUAAACUAAUAUAAAAACAUUUAAAAACAAUGCUUUAGUAAUCUAAACGCUUUUAUUUAAUUUACAAAAGGAGUGCUACCUAAUAUCAACAUGCAUUGCACCAACUCCCUUCAAGGUCUAAUGCGUUUUUAGGGUUGCCCUUGACUAUUGAUAAGAUUAAUAAUAUAUGAGAUCUAUGAUAAAGAGUCUUUUCACAUCCGAAUUUGACAAUAUACCUGUAACAUGCAAGUUAUAUAUAUAUAAUUGCUCUAACCCGUGGCCAAAGGAAAUCUUGCAAAAUGUAUCGGAUGAAGGGAGAACAUGAUAAUACCAGUCUAACAAAUAUAUCCUCUCCAAUCGCAAACAUUUAUCCCCUUGGAUCACAACCAUGCAUACCCCUUUUGAGUACUCCCUCCGUCCCAAAAUUAAUGUCGAGCAUGUAGUUCAUUGGGAAUUUUGCAAAAAAAAACCUCGUAUUUACAAAAUCGUCUCAAACAAGCACCUCCACCCCUAUCUUCUUCGUCCGUCCUCGCCCGUGCAUCGCGAGAGGCCGCGCCGUCGAACUGGAAGGGCUCCGCCGCCGUCGCCGCCAAUUACCUCCUCCAUCACCACAACCCAGAUCUGCGCCACCGGAUCUCUUCCCGCUGCAGUUACCUGUCGGCGUCGUUCUCGAGCUCCUGCCGGCGUCGGAACCUUCCGCCACUUCGUCCUCUGGCUCCCAUGCGUCAUCCUCGAGCUCCCGUGCAUCCUCCCCAAGCUCACGCGCAUCCUCGCUGGAAUCUCUACUGCUCCUUCUCCCUUGCAGCCGGUGUGCCUGCUUAUCCCCUGUCACCGGAGGAGCUCCUCUGCACGUACUUGUUGGAAUUAUGCCCUANNNNNNNNNNNNNNNNNNNNNNNNNNNNNNNNNNNNNNNNNNNNNNNNNNNNNNNNNNNNNNNNNNNNNNNNNNNNNNNNNNNNNNNNNNNNNNNNNNNNNNNNNNNNNNNNNNNNNNNNNNNNNNNNNNNNNNNNNNNNNNNNNNNNNNNNNNNNNNNNNNNNNNNNNNNNNNNNNNNNNNNNNNNNNNNNNNNNNNNNNNNNNNNNNNNNNNNNNNNNNNNNNNNNNNNNNNNNNNNNNNNNNNNNNNNNNNNNNNNNNNNNNNNNNNNNNNNNNNNNNNNNNNNNNNNNNNNNNNNNNNNNNNNNNNNNNNNNNNNNNNNNNNNNNNNNNNNNNNNNNNNNNNNNNNNNNNNNNNNNNNNNNNNNNNNNNNNNNNNNNNNNNNNNNNNNNNNNNNNNNNNNNNNNNNNNNNNNNNNNNNNNNNNNNNNNNNNNNNNNNNNNNNNNNNNNNNNNNNNNNNNNNNNNNNNNNNNNNNNNNNNNNNNNNNNNNNNNNNNNNNNNNNNNNNNNNNNNNNNNNNNNNNNNNNNNNNNNNNNNNNNNNNNNNNNNNNNNNNNNNNNNNNNNNNNNNNNNNNNNNNNNNNNNNNNNNNNNNNNNNNNNNNNNNNNNNNNNNNNNNNNNNNNNNNNNNNNNNNNNNNNNNNNNNNNNNNNNNNNNNNNNNNNNNNNNNNNNNNNNNNNNNNNNNNNNNNNNNNNNNNNNNNNNNNNNNNNNNNNNNNNNNNNNNNNNNNNNNNNNNNNNNNNNNNNNNNNNNNNNNNNNNNNNNNNNNNNNNNNNNNNNNNNNNNNNNNNNNNNNNNNNNNNNNNNNNNNNNNNNNNNNNNNNNNNNNNNNNNNNNNNNNNNNNNNNNNNNNNNNNNNNNNNNNNNNNNNNNNNNNNNNNNNNNNNNNNNNNNNNNNNNNNNNNNNNNNNNNNNNNNNNNNNNNNNNNNNNNNNNNNNNNNNNNNNNNNNNNNNNNNNNNNNNNNNNNNNNNNNNNNNNNNNNNNNNNNNNNNNNNNNNNNNNNNNNNNNNNNNNNNNNNNNNNNNNNNNNNNNNNNNNNNNNNNNNNNNNNNNNNNNNNNNNNNNNNNNNNNNNNNNNNNNNNNNNNNNNNNNNNNNNNNNNNNNNNNNNNNNNNNNNNNNNNNNNNNNNNNNNNNNNNNNNNNNNNNNNNNNNNNNNNNNNNNNNNNNNNNNNNNNNNNNNNNNNNNNNNNNNNNNNNNNNNNNNNNNNNNNNNNNNNNNNNNNNNNNNUGUUGGAAUUAUGCCCUAGAGGCAAUAAUAAAUGUGGUUAUUAUUAUAAUUCCUGUAUCAAGAUAAUAGUUUAUUAUCCAUGCUAUAAUUGUAUUGAAUGAAGACUCAUUUACAUGUGUGGAUACAUAGACAAAACACCGUCCCUAGCAUGCCUCUAGUUGGCUAGCCAGUUGGUCAAUGAUAGUCAGUGUCUUCUGAUUAUGAACAAGGUGUUGUUGCUUGAUAACUGGAUCACGUCAUUGGGAGAAUCACGUGAUGGACUAGACCCAAACUAAUAGACGUAGCAUGUUGAUCGUGUCAUUUUGUUGCUACUAUUUUCUGCGUGUCAAGUAUUUAUUCCUAUGACCAUGAGAUCAUAUAACUCACUGACACCGGAGGAAUGCUUUGUGUGUAUCAAACGUCGCAACGUAACUGGGUGACUAUAAAGAUGCUCUACAGGUAUCUCCGAAGGUGUUAGUUGAGUUAGUAUGGAUCAAGACUGGGAUUUGUCACUCCGUGUGACGGAGAGGUAUCUCGGGGCCCACUCGGUAAUACAACAUCACACACAAGCCUUGCAAGCAAUGUAACUUAGUGUAAGUUGCGGGAUCUUGUAUUACGGAACGAGUAAAGAGACUUGCCGGUAAACGAGAUUGAAAUAGGUAUGCGGAUGCUGACGAUCGAAUCUCGGGCAAGUAACAUACCGAAGGACAAAGGGAAUGACAUACGGGAUUAUACGAAUCCUUGGCACUGAGGUUCAAACGAUAAGAUCUUCGUAGAAUAUGUAGGAUCCAAUAUGGGCAUCCAGGUCCCGCUAUUGGAUAUUGACCGAGGAGUCUCUCACGUCAUGUCUACAUAGUUCUCGAACCCGCAGGGUCUGCACACUUAAGGUUCGACGUUGUUUUAUGCAUAUUUGAGUUAUAUGGUUGGUUACCGAAUGUUGUUCGGAGUCUCGGAUGAGAUCACGGACGUCACGAGGGUUUCCGGAAUGGUCCGGAAACGAAGAUUGAUAUAUAGGAUGACCUCAUUUGAUUACCGGAAGGUUUUCGGAGUUACUGGGAAUGUACCGGGAAUGACGAAUGGGUUCCGGGAGUUCACCGGGGGGGGCAACCCACCCCGGGGAAGCCCAUAGGCGUUGGGGGAGGCACACCAGCCCUUAGUGGGCUGGUGGGACAGCCCACAAGUGCUCUAUGCGCCAAGAGAAGAAAAAUCAAGAGGAAAAGGGAAAAAAAAGGAGGAGGUGGGAAAGGAGGAGGACUCCCUCCCACCAAACCUAGUCCAACUCGGUUUGGGGGGGGGAGAGUCCUCCCCCUUGGCUCGGCCGACCCCCUUGAGGGUCCUUGGACCCCAAGGCAAGGCCCCCUCCCUCCCACCUAUAUAUACGGAGGUUUUAGGGCUGAUUUGAGACGACUUUUCCACGGCAGCCCGACCACAUACCUCCACGGUUUUUCCUCUAGAUCGCGUUUCUGCGGAGCUCGGGCGGAGCCCUACUGAGACAAGGUCAUCAUCAACCUCCGGAGCACCGUCACGCUGCCGGAGAACUCUUCUACCUCUCUGUCUCUCUUGCUGGAUCAAGAAGGCCGAGAUCAUCGUCGAGAUGUACGUGUGCUGAACGCGGAGGUGCCGUCCGUUCGGUACUAGAUCGUGGGACUGAUCGCGGGAUUGUUCGCGGGGCGGAUAGAGGGACGUGAGGACGUUCCAAUACAUCAACCGCGUUCUCUAACGCUUCUGUUGUACGGUCUACAAGGGUACGUAGAUCACUCAUCCCCUCUCGUAGAUGGACAUCACCAUGAUAGGUCUUCGUGCGCGUAGGAAAAUUUUUGUUUCCCAUGCGACGUUCCCCAUCAGUACUGCUGCUGGUCAUCUGCCUGAGUUGUUGCUGCUCCUCUGCUGGAGUUGAUGCUCCUCUGCUCGAUCUACUCUGCCGCUGGUGAAGCUCUGCCCGUGGUACUGCUAUUCCUCUGCCCAUUUGCACCUGAAGAAGGUACUGAUGAAACUGUUUGUUGUUUACUGCUACCUAAAACUGCUGUUGUUUGAGAAACUGCAUUGCUUGAGAAACUUGUAAUGUUGUGGUAUCGAAAAUAAUUUUGUGCAAUACUUGUAAUGUUGUGGUAUCAAAAAUAAUUUUGUGGAGUAUCAGAAACAGAGAAGCCUGGUUCAAGGUUUUGCACUGGAAACAGAGCAGUCUGGUUCAAGGUUGUGCACUGGAAACAGAGCAAUCUGGUUCAAGGUUUUGCCUAGAUAAACCAGACCGGAUGAGAGACCAAAUACAUGGGCAAGUAGUCAAAAGAAACACAUAAUUUGCCUAGAAUCUUGUUGUCCUGUGAUGCAAGAAAAUUUCACCAUGUGUAUGUUGUGGAACGCUUACAGUUGCACAAAUCAGACAUAUCAGUAGGUUGGUUCAGGUGUUGGUUCUUGGCCUAUUAACAUAGAAAGCCCCUUUGUAACUACUAGGACAAUCAGCUUGUGUAAAGAUCAUAUUUAGAGACGAAUUGCAAGCAUUAACCUGAUCUUAACAUAUAUAAAUGGAUAUUAAGUUUUCCAUUUUAGGCGAAUACAGAUAGAGGUUUCAACUAGACCUAGUGAGAAAUGGUUCCAUGGUAGCAUUUCUUGUUUGGCUGUCGUAGCUCGAUUACAUAUUGUUUUUACGUGCGUAUAUAUUCUUGUUACAGUACCAUGGUGUACUCAUCUUUUGUCAUUGAUAGCAGGAGUAUGGAUUUGAACAUGAUACCUCAAGAGGAGGAUGAAGGUAUUAAUUUGAAUUGGAUCCCUCAAGAGGAAGAGGCUCAAGGGGGAGAGGAUGGAGGUAUGGAUUUGAACAUGAUGCCUCAAGAGGAAAAGGAUGAUGGUAUUAAUUUGAAUUGGAUCCCUCAAGACGAAGAGGAUCCAGGGGGAGAGGAUGGAGGUAUGGAUUUGAACAUGAUGCCUCAAGAGGAAGAGGAUGAAGGUAUUAAUUUGAAUUGGAUCCCUCAAGAGGAAGAGGCUCAAGAGGAAGAGGAUGAAGUUAUGAAUUGGAUACUUCAAGAAGAAGAAGAAGGUCAAGAAGGUGUACCAGGUAAACAGAAAAGAAAAGAAUUGUCAAAUAAGGAGAGGCAUGCUGUUUACUUUGCUCUGCUAGUAAUCGAGCUCAGAGAUGGAUCUGUUCAACCAAACGACAAGCUGCUAGUAUCAAUCUUGUUGAACAUACAUGUACGAUCUAUUGAGAGAAUCUGGUCGGAGCCAAAAAGCAGAUUGCCGCGGGCCAAGAAGUAGAUGUCUCCAACAAGAAGAAAGGAAGAGUUGGUCGAAAGAGAAAAGAGCUGGAUCUUGCAAGGACCUCAACAAUCCCAUUGAAUAGAAGAAGGACAAUUCGAUCUCUGGCACGGUCUCUCGGUGUGACCCGCUCAACCCUACAUCGGAGGUUCCAGUUAAAUGAGCUCAACCGCAUCACAAACACAGUCAAGACUUACCUCAAACCAGAGAACAAGAUUGCAAGAUUGAAGUUUUGUAUGUCCAUGCUCGAUGACAAUUGGAUCUCAACUUCCCAAGCUAUAUUCAAGCCAAUGACUAAUAUGGUCCAUAUAGAUGAAAAGUGGUUUGACAUGACAAGACUAAAGAACAACUACUAUGUACUUCCAGGAGAGCCUCCACCUGAGCGCACCGUGACAAACAUUAACAUCAUUGGGAAGGUAAUGUUUCUAACGGUUGUGGCCAGAUCUCGAUACAAUUAUGAUGGAGAGCUAACAUUUGACGGGAAGAUUGGUAUUUGGGCAUUCAUCAAAGAGUCUGAGGCAGUGCGAACGAGUCACAAUAGAGCAAGGGGAACGACAGUGCUGAAACCAGUGAAAGUAACGAGACCUGUGUGUAGAGAAUAUCUGAUCAAUAAGGUUAUACCAGCAAUUCAAGAUAAAUGGCCUGACGAUGAUGAGGGAGCAACAAUAUUCAUCCAACAAGAUAAUGCAAAGCCUCGCGUUCUUCCCAACGAUGAAGCUUUUCGAGAAGCUGUGGAAGAAACUGAUCUCGACAUUAAGUUGAUGCAACAACCUCCAAACAGCCCAGAUUUGAACUGUUUGGACCUCUGCUUCCACAAUUCUCUCCAGUCUCUAACCGAUUGUAGGUCACCUACAAACAUCCAGGAACUGAUACAGGGUGUGGAAGAGGAGUUUGAGAAUUAUGAUCCUCACAAGUUGUACAACAGCUUCAUCACAUUGCAAGCAGUUAUGUUUGAAAUUAUGAAAGAUCAAGGAGGAAACCAAUAUAAGUUGCCCCACUUACACAAGGAACGUCUUCAGAAUGACGGCAGAGAAAUAACAAGUGUAUAUUGUGACAGUCAGCUAGUUGCUGAUACUAGGGCCAUUCUAGAAGAAAUGCAAUAGGAAAAGGAAAGGAAGAAAAGAAGUAGUUGUAGAAAGGAAAAAAAGAAUUGAACUUAUCUGAAUUGUACUCCUUGUGUACUCCUUGUACUCCUUGUGUAUGUCUUGUGCAAUAGGAAAAUGCAAUUGGAAUCAUUUGAGAUCAAUGAUGAUACUGGUUAUCCAACAUUUCCAUCUUGUGUAUCGGAAUUCAUUUUAAUUGUUUGGACUAAUUUGUUUGAGUUUAUCUUGAGUUUAUCCAGCAUUUCCAUCUGUAUUGGAGAUCAAUGAUCUUGUGUAUUGGAAGGGUCAUGUACAUGGGGAUGUUGCCUCAAGUUUUAUUAAAUUUAUUGUUUCAGGUUUCAGUAUACAAAGAUUACUGGGGUAUUGUCUAUAGUUUGGAUAAACCAAAUAAAGUUCACAAAUCUUUAUUCCCUUUGUGCAUAAAGUUUACAAAUCCCAAGCAUAGAGUUGGGAUCAACAAAAAAAUUCUAAGCUUACAAAUCGUGAGUGCUUUCAUCUCAAAAAAAUUCUAAGCUUACAAAUCCAGAACUGGUAGCCUUCCUUAUCUCAAUUCUCUGGUACUGAUUUUUGCUCUCUUUUUUUACCUUCCUUCAACAAGUUGUUCCUUGAACUGCAGGUACUCAGGGACAGUCAACUCCUCGUCGUCUGAAUUCUCAAGUACAGUAGUACUAGUAGCUUGGUUCAGGUUGAUUCUCAAUGAUGCCCUGCACUUGACACUAAAGCCUCCAGCCUGCAGAUAUACAAACGAAAUACAGAUACAUGCAUCAGUCUGAACCUGAAGAAGAAGGAAUGCAACCUGUGAAAUGUGUGAAAUGCUCCUACCAACAGACAAUGGAUGGUUUUUUUGUUUUGAUUGGUCUUGCUCUCGGUUUGAAGAUGAAGUGGUGUUAUUUCGCUUACCGUUGAUGUUCAAGUGUAGGCUUUUGCCUGCCCAGCACCUCUUAACCAUGUCAUCUCCUUGCAGUGCGUCUGGUUCAGGCCGAGCUCCGGGAAGCGGCUGCGCAUCAGCGGCAGCAGCGUGUCCGACGUCCCCAGGUACAUGGACUGGAAGUUGGCCUCCUGUUUCUACACGAGCACCCUGAUGAAGAGGUCUUCGGGGAGAGCUGGGGCGACUUGUUGCCAUCUGGUGAGGACGUCCACGGCGCCCUGGUCGACGGACUUCGUGACGCUGAACAUUGUCACUGUCGGGGGACGGGAACGUGCUUCACCUGCCACGAGAGCACGACGCCGAAGCUCUCGCCGACGCCGUUUCCGACGCAGCCGGAGAAGACGGCGGCGGUAGGUGGAGAAAUCAUUGCUUUUUAUGAGGAAGGGGGAAGCUUGGGGAGGCAGGCGAGUCGCAACUGCGGCGGCGGAGCGGCGGGGGACCGGGGGAGCAGGGGAGUUGCGGCAGGCGGAGCUGCAGCGGGCGAGCGGCAGCUGCGGCGGGGGAGUAGGGCAGCUGCGGCGGCGAGGAGCAGGCAAGCUGUAGCGAGCGUAGAUGGGGCAUCUGUCGGAGGAGGAGGACGAGGAGCGCGGGUUUGGUCGGGAGAAGCUGUAGGGGCUUUUCGCAAAAUUACCGUCGCGACAUUAAUUUCGGGACGGAGGGAGUAGCAUCUAAUCCUUCCAAAUAACACAGAACAUACGUGUUGCACGACCCAAAUGGGGCCCGGUCAAUGACAUCAAUCCCAUAUGUCACUCUCUGCUCCUACUACCUCGCUGUCCAUUACUUCAUGGUAAAUCUGGGGACGAGGAGGACAUGGUCGUCUGUCUGGCUCUUCACCUCCCUCGGGAGCAGUGCACUCGACCACGGUUGGACUCUAACCGGUGGAAAUCCAUGGUGUCCGUUCAAAUGUCGUUUGGAUGCGCAGGGAUGAUUGCUCGAGGCGUGCGGGCGCGGCCUCGACGGACACAGUGAUCGCCGUCCAAUUCUAGUAUGAUGAUGCAACCCCUUUGGUGGUGCCUCAUCCCUACGCCCUCGGGCUCGGAGUCGAAGAUCUGCACCGGCAUGAGUUACGGUCCAUCUUCUAACAUGGAGUGGCAUACCCGUCGUGCAAGGCAAAGGCCGCGUGGCGAGACGUAGAUGCUCUAACCACAUCUAGAUGGGAUCACAUCGAUUUAUGAUAUCCCGACUUCCCGAUCAACGAGUCUCCUCUGAUCAAAACCAUGUUACCCUAAUAUGCAUGUAAAAAAGUUAGGCUAAUAUGCGCGUAAAAAAGUUGAUUAACUGCUGCUAAAAUGGUGUGAUGUGAUAAGCCGGCCCUCCCCAACAAGAAAUAAUAACAACUGCCCCCCUAUCUCUCAUAUCCAAUUUAUAUAUGAGCCGGAUAUAGCGAGGACUGGAUGCGUCCGUCAGGUUGUAUCCGGCUCACGCUGGUUCAUCCCGACCCAUAUAUAUCCGUCUCUAUCUCCAACCUGGACGAAACCCUAGCUACUCCACCCCUCUUCUUAGCUCCGUUCCGAUGAUCUCCAGCCAUCUCCGACAUUACAGGCAGCGUCCGACACGGAGUUGGGAUCUCGCCCCAUGCGGGGAUGAGGAGGACAUGGCCGUCCGGCCGGCACUUCGCCGCCCCCGGAAGGAGUGCGCUCGACCACGGUUGGACUCUAUCCGGCAAAAACCCAUGGUGUCCGUUCAAAUCUCGCUUGGAUCCGCAGGGAUGAUGGCUCGAGGCGUCCGGGCGCGGCCUUGCCGGACGCGGUGACCACCAUAAUAUUCUAACUCCGGGAUGGCGAUGCAACCCCUCCGGUUGCGCAUCAUCCCUAACAUGGAGCGGCGUACGCCGUCGUGCGAGGCAUAGGACGCGGGGGCGAGGUGUAGAUGCUCUAACCGCAUCUGGAUGAGAUCACAUCGAUUGAUGAUGUCCGGAUAAACGAGUCUCCUCAGAUCAAAACCGUGUAAUAAUCCUACAAAAUAAAGACAUCGCCCAACGUGUUCCAGAACGCUCUGAAUGAGACCCCGCGAAUGGCAACAACCAUACCAUUUAUGAGCAAGUUUUGUCAGUCCCCCCACCCGGCCAGCCCGUGACAUCGAUGUAGCAGCUUCCGUUCCUAUUUAACCAGCGUACCAUUUGCACUACAUUGCAUCACAGCAAGCACACACACACACACACUCUCUAGAGAAAUGGCGAUGGCUAGGACGACGGCGCUCCUCCUCGUCGCCGCGGCUCUCCUGGCGGCCUCAUCCAGCGCAUGGGAGGUGAACAUCCAGAUGCCGGCGUCGGCGGCCGUGGACGAUGCUGUGGCACCGCUCAUCCACGCGCUGCGGCCGCUCCUGGGCUCCGGCAAGCAAGCCGGCGUGGCGUGCGAUAGCUGGCGGCUGGGCGUGGAGGCGCACAACGUGCGGGACUGGAAGACGGUGCCCGCCAGCUGCGAGGAUUACGUCGGCCACUACAUGGUCGGCGACCACUACCGCCGGGACUCCAAGGUCGUCAUCGACCAGGCCAUCGCCUACGUCGACUCCCUCAAGCUCGCCGGCAACGGCAAGGAGGUCUGGGUCUUCGACGUCGACGAGACCACCCUCUCCAACCUCCCCUACUACGCCAAGCACGGCUUCGGGUACGU